CAGAUGUGUAGAAGUUAUCGCCAAGGAAGGCCAGAGACUCAAAGAGCUGUACUUGGUAACUUGCAAGAUCACAGAUGACGGUGAGUGUUACACGUUCUUUUCACGUGAACCUGUUUAAAUUAAUUUAUUAGUGGUUUUAGGAAGAUGUAAUUAGCAGAUUAGUAUGUUUAGUAUUUAUUGACCUACAGUAUACGGAGCACUUUGCAUACUAAACAGGAUGCUAAUUACAUAGCUGCUCAGGUGAGGCUUGUCUUUGAGAGAUGCUAUUUAUCUUGUAUAUCACUGUUUGCAAUUCCUCGCCAUUCUAGAACUGCAUCACCCAUGAUACUUUUCCAGACUUAAGCACUAUAAUCAAAUCAGAAUCAUCUCCGCUGUAAACUCACCCCUUCAGUGCAAGACAUCACUGAACGAAAAUUCCUGUUUAAAUGUUUGUAUUGUCUGUACAAUACAAAAUGCUUAUUGCGACUGAACCUGAGCCACGACUGUAUGCUUGCAUCUGGCAGCUCUGUCCCUAAAUAGCAAAGCUAGGUUUUAGAGAGCAAUUCAAUUUGUUUUAUCUGAUGUAUGGAAUUGCUGUCAAGUGCUCAACUAUAUGUUUCAUAAACCGUGACUGCGCAGGCGUUUAUAGAUCAAGCUGAAUUGAAAGUACUAUAGAAUGUUACUGGAGUAUUGUGAUUGGCUGAGCCACUUACUAGUCUGGGCAUUCCAGAAAAUGCAAGAUCUUCAAUGGUGAAGCAAUAUUUUAUUAACUUUUUAUGUGCAAUGCUUUGUCUAUAUACUUUAAUUAAAAGGUCAUCCACAGCCCACAGUGUUCAGUUAAUGCUAGCAAAGCUUCAUGGGAGUUGUAGUUCUGGAAACAGCUGGGAGUUUAUAUUGUGACCGCUCCUACAAUGUAUUAAUGCUGUCUUUUUACUGCUCAUGGCAAUCAAAACAAUCCCCUUCCCCUCUAUUACUGAUUGAUUCCUGCUUAUCUAAAAUCAUCAAAUAAGAAAAUGGUUGUUACGGAAAAGGGCAGUUUUUUUUGAGCAGGUUGUUCCAGUCUUCGAUACAUAAUGGCUAUAAAGACUUUUAAAGUGUUCUUUAGAAAUAUGAUCGCUAGUGGGACUGAAAUACUGUGCUGAAAUGUAUGUAAUCUGCCCCAGAUUAAUGUAAUGCAAACCAUAGCUGUAGGAUUUGUGAAACCCACACGGCUGUAAUGAAGGGAAAAAAAACACUCUCUAAAACAUUCCAAUAUGUUCAGUCCGUUACCUGGAUUAAUCCUUUGGCUUCAUUUUGUCUUUUCGUGUGUUUUUUUUUUGUUUUCUGUUCUUUUCCUUUCUUUCGGUGUAAUUGUAUUAGGCAGGGAGAACUAUCUGCAGACAGUGUCAGAAUUAAAACACUCAGCACAUGAUAACUUGUUAACUGCACUAGGGUAAAGGCACACCAUUGACUGUAGGCUAGUCAGAGAUCUCUUGUUCAGCUGCUGGGAAAGUGUGUGUCAAAUUAAUUACAUUGAUCAGCCACAACAUUAAUACCACCUGCCUAAUAUCAUGUAGGUCCCCCUCGCACUGCCAAAACAGCUCUGAUGCUUUGAGGCAUGGACUCCACAAGACCUCUGAACGUGUCCUGUGGUAUCUGGCACCAAGACAUUAGCAGCAGAUCCUUUAAGUCCUGCAAGUUGCAAAGGGGGGCCUCUGUGGAAUAGAUUUGUUGUUUUAGCACAUCAAACAGAUGAAUUGAGAGCUGGGAAAUUCGGAGACCAAGGCAACACCUUGAACUCUUUUGUCAUGUUCCUGAAACCAUUCCUUUGAGUGCAUUAUCCUGCUGAAAGACUGCUAUCAGGAAACACCAUUGCUAUGAAGGGGUGUACGUUGCCUGCAACAAUGUCUAGGUGGAUGGUACGUGUCAAAGUAAAAUCCACAUGAAUGCCAGGACCCAAGGUUUCCAGCAGAAUAUUGCCCAGAGCACAACUAUGCCUCCACCAGCCUGCCUUCUUCCCAUAAUGCAUCAGUAAAUGACGCACAAGCACCCAGUCAUCCACCUGAUCUAAAAAAAAACAUGAUUCAUGAGACCAGGUAACCUGCCUCUAUUGUUUCAUGGUCCAGUUCUGAUGCUCACAUCCCCAUUGAAGGCGCUUUCGACGGUGAGCAGGGGUCAUCAUGGAAACUCUGACCUAUCUGAGACUAUGCAGCCCCAUUUGCGGCAAACUGCAAAGCACUCUGUAUUCUGACACCUUUCUAUUAUGGCCAGCAUUAAGGCUUUCAGAAAUUUGAGCUACAAUAGCUCAUUUAGUAGCCUUUGCUCCCUACAUAUAUCAACAAGCCUUGUUUGUCCAUGACCUUGAUGUUGGUACACCAGUUGUCCUUCCUUGCCCCACUUUUGGUAGGUUCUAACUGCAUAUCGGGAACACCCCACAAGACUUGCCAUUUUGGAGGUUCUCUGACCUGGUCAUGUAGACAUCACUAUUUAACCUUCGACAAAGUCACUCAGAUCUUUUUUUUGAUUGCCCAUGUUUCCUUCUUCGAACAUAUGAAAUUCAAAAGUGACUGUUCACUUGCUGCCUAAUAUAUCGAACCCCUUGACAGGUGUCAUUGUUGUGAUAUAAUCACAACAAUGUUAUUCAUUCAGUGGUUUUAAAGUUGUGACUGGUCACUGUAUAGCAGUGAGAAAGGACACAACUUACCAACAGACUUGUGACUCUGACAUUGAUUCCCCACCUCCUUCCCUGAGAUUGAAUUUGUUUUGCUCUGUGAAAGAAAGUAGGAAUUUAGUGAUGUUUUGUAUAUGUGACCUUGAACAAGACUGUUUGUGUGUGUGUGUGUGUGUGUAAGAGAGAGAUGACAAAAGAGAUUUGGGCUCAAAAUUGGGACACGUGGGAGCUAUAAUAAUGCAAACGUUAUGUCUCGUGGCCCUUUAAGUGCCAGACGUGUCACACACAUUACUUUGCAAUGUACUUGUCAUAUGUUUUCCUCUUAACAGAUUAAACGAACAAAUACAGCAAUUUUUAUAUUCCACAUGAGUCCAACAGAGGAAGAGUGAUUAAUAAAAACAGGGGUUGAAGGUUGGUGUGGGAUGCCACUAUCUUAUAACUUCACUAGUGCCAAUGCCAGAAUUGAAAAAUAGUGUUAUUUAAAUGAUCACUCCAAGCACUAUCGGAUUCUUCUGUAGCAUCGACAUGUAACACAAAACACUGUCUGUUGUUACUUAACAUUGUUAGCAGAUGCUCUAAUCCUGCAUUUUUAUUAACUAGAAUUCAUUAAGUCUAAUUGCAGCAGAAUCCCAUGUAAAAUGUUUGUCAUCACAAUUUACCAUUGGACAACUGAUAUAAUGCAGAUUUAGAAUGUAUAUUUUUUAUGAUAUCUGAUCACAAGUGCACAAUAUAUUUUAACGUAUAAAAGUUCUGCCAGACACCUUUGAUGGUGAAGCCAUGAAAAGUUAGCUAUUUCCAGGAGUAAAAAAUCUUAGAGAGAUACAAGGUGGUUAAAGAUGCCAGACAGAAAUCCAUGUAUAUGAUGUGUUGGUCAUUUUAAUGUCCCUAUGCUCGGAGAUUGAAGGUCUUACCUGCCCUCCUUUUAAUAUGAACUGUCGAUUUUCUGGAAAUAAUGCCAUUGAAUAAAAAUCUGAAAAUCACCUAUAACUUUCUUCUUCUUCACGUAAUGCUCUGUGUUUUGACCUUCGAAACGGAUAACAGUUCCGUUCUGGUACAGCUGGUGCACACAGUGCAUUGAGGUGGGAAUAAAAACAUUGAUUGUCAAAGUAUUGCUGAUAUAUUUGUAUCUAAUUUUAGGUGAAUAUUUGAAGAAGAAGAAAAAAAUAUAAAAUAAAUUGCUCCAAUCUGUUGGUUCUUUUGCCGCCUAGGGGUCAUUUUUGACACUUUAUGUUUUUUAAAGCGACGGAACGGAUAGAUCAAGCUUUCCGCUACAGAAAAGGGUUUUUUGUUACUUCUUUCUUUCUUUGUUCUUUUUCUUUUCUUUUUUUUUUAAAGUUAUACUUUCACUUUAACAAAAGAAGGCAGAGAAAACAAUUAAAGUGUACUCAAUUUAUAAAUAUAUAGUUAAGUUGCAACUGAUAUACCUUAUGUGAAAGGAGCACGUCUCUGUUAAUAAGUAGCUACGAUGCAGAGCACAGUAUGUUUUUGAUUAGGAACAGUUACUGUAACUCUGGCUAGAAGAAAUGACCGCAAGCAGAAUCCUUCAGGUUUUGCAGGAGAUUCCCCACUUAAUGUGGGUAGUAUAGUUUAAAGAAUGGUUGUUUGGUGGGGUGUCAUGAUUUGCCCCAUGGGGUGUGCCCAAUGAAAGUGAUUACUAGUUGUGUAAUGAUAUGUACAGCCUAAUGUUUGAUUUUUGGACAUAGUAGCUAAAAAGGAAUUUAGAACUAUGCUGAGGUUACUAUUGGUUACUUCUACUUACUUGAUCUGUUGUCCAAUUGAUGAAAAGUACAUAAUGUUUAUUAUGUAUACAGUCAGGUCCAUAAAAAUUGGGACAGCGACACAAUUCUAAUCUUUUUGGCUCUAUACACCACCACAAUGGAUUGAAAUGAAACAAACAAGAUGUGCUUUAACUGCAGACUUUCUGAUUUAAUUUGAGGGUAUUUACAUCCAAAUCAAGUGAACGGUGUAGGAAUUACAACAGUUUGUAUAUGUGCCUCCCACUUUUUAAGAGAGAAGUACAAACUACAGAACUACCAUAAAUGUAAAAAAUAAAUACAUUCACUAAAUUUUCCUGCCACUAGAGGACAGCAGUGCUUUCUCGAACGGAGAACGUAUAGUUCCAAGACACAGGCUAAUGCUGUCAGAUCAUUUGCUGACACAUUCCGUGUAUUCUUAUUAUUUAGCACAUUAUGCGUAUUUCGGCACACACAAAGAUGACAUUCGGUAUACAAUAAUUAAGCCCAAAGAGAUCCAGCUCACAUUGUAUAUAAAUUUUUUACAGGUGAAUAGGGAUCAUAACGUAAAGCAGCAUAGGAAGACUAUUAAAACCAAGCAUUUGUUGAAUUUUUCAACUUUUUUUAUCUUAUUUGCAGCACAAUUUAUUGUACUUUUUUUUUAAUUCAUUGUUCUACAUGAAAAGUCAUAUAUCCGUAUACCCUGUGUUAUUGAAAACUAAUCUAGCUUUAGAUUAUUUAUUAAAACUUAGACUCUUUAAUAAAAACACAUCUACAUAAUGUAUGGAUUUUCUGUUUGCCAUUUUUUGUGUGUAUAAUAUUGUAUUCUUUUGUUUUUCUUCAAGAUUUUCUGCCUAUGUGCUAAACGUAUGGUUUUAUUAAAUCGUCACUUUACAGACAUCAUAGAGAAUAACGUUGUCCCUGUGUUGCUCAUUUAGCGGGCCCCUAGCCUUCAAUAAAUUCUGCAUUUUAAAACGACUCACUUCUAGGAAGUCUGUAUGUUUCCAGAAGGGCUGUACGCGAUCAGUUGUUAUGGUGGAUUUCAGUGACAUCACAAGGACUUGCAAACUAAUGGAAACUCUUUGGUAACCAUAGGUUUUUCACAUGUGAUUUAGAACCAGCUUGGAAUGGUUAAGUAAGAUCUGGAGAGGAAUAGCUAGAUCUUAAAGUAUUAAUAGUGUUUUCUGAAUGGGAAGGGCUGCUGCUUGGUGGAUUGUACACUGGUAUUAUUGGCUAUAUGAAUAAAUAUAAUUCCAUGUCUGCUAUUUGCUGUGUUUAAGCUAUCAUAUACUGUGUUAGUCAGAAAAUUGCCCCAUAUGAAGUGUUUAAACAGGGUAUAAGAAGAUAGACAAGCUUUCACUGGGUCACCUGUUUUGAUAAUAUUGUCAGCAGUCGUAGAGAUGAUCAACUGUUGGGGGACAGCAUGGCCGUCGAACCACAUGGCCCUCUGCUGUGCUUACUCUCACUUUUUGCUAUAGGACUUGCUUUCUCAACAUAUUACAUGUUUCCAUUUUACGUCAAGGAACCCUUUUAUCCUGGAUAUCAUUCAAUUCAAUUGUAGUUUUUAAACGUUGAUUCAGUAAUUCUCAUUAUUUGUUUGUUAGCAAAAUUAGACGUGUCAUAAUAUCCAUGUGUGGAAUGCGUAUGGUAUAUAUCUCACUGUGCGAAUUGGUGUGAAAUAUAUAUAUUUUUUUUCUACUCUACAUGUCUGUGUCCAGGUUGGGGCUCAGUAUAUAAUAUUUUGGAAACUGCUCAUAACUUAACUGACAGCGAUAACCAAGAAGAGCUGGAACGGGGACUAACUCCCUAAACAGGAGGCAGGAGGAUUCAAAGUGUGUCGGUCAGGAAAGACACAGAACAGAAGUUCAUGGUUUGAACUACUCCAGGAGCAAUGGCCUUAGUAUCAUCACACCACCUAUCACCAGUAGAGCUUCUUGGUUAUUUAUGGAGGUUGCAGUAGGAGUGCCAGUGAGUGAUGUAAUUUGGCCAAUGCACUAUCUUACCUCCAAAUUAGUAGGUUGAUUUAAUGACAGUCACCUUAGCCUGUCAUCCCUCCCAGGAUGAUAAAUCAGUCUGAGAGCAUACCAGUUCCAUGGACUGUUAUCUGUCUGGCUGUUGGUUUUAUAAUUGUCUUAUUGAAAGUCUGUUUACAUGUAAACAUACCUCUAUUAUGCAGAACUACUAGUCUUUAGUGAUUCUCUGGACUGCUUUUUAAAAAUUAGUUUGGAGAAAAAAAAAAAAAUGAAAACAAUUGCGUAAUAUAAAAUAUUAAAGAAUAAAGAAAGAGUGGGAACAAAACAUUGAAAAAUGUGAAGAUUCUGAUAUCUUUCAUGUUUCAUGACAUGCAUGCAGAGAAAGGUGGCUUACAUGCCCUUCAAUAAAUUAAUCUAAUAAUAUUACUGUGAUCACUGCUGGAGACCGAGGGGGCGACAAUACGUUUUUUCCUUUAGAAGGACCUUGGGGAUCAUCGGCACAAGAUUUCAUGAUCAGAGAGACCAGUGGUAUCUAAUGAAAAUGGAUAUUUGUAAGGUAUAUAUUUUCACUUUUAAAUUAAAUAUGAAGCCUAGGGACAUUUUAUGGGAUAAUUACAUUACAUACAUUACAUGUCAUUUACAUCUUGGCUUACUGCAAACCGCUGUGCUUUUUUUACUUUUUCUUUCCUUUCAAGCUGAAGUGCGCUAAGAAUAAAGGCUGAGCCCUUCAGAACGGACAUGAAUAAUUUCUUUUAAAAACUGCGAAUUGAAUUUAUUGCUUGUUAUAUUUGCACAGGAUGAUACUUCUUGCCUAAUUUAGUAGGCUUUUCUUCUUGUCUAUUUUGCCGUGCAUUUCAAUCCGUGCACGUUUUAAUUGUUUCUGUUUAUUUAUAUGUUAGCUAUGUGGGACUGCAAUAUUUAGUAUUCGGUCUAAUUUGGUGUAGAUUACCUUAAUUAGCACAGGGACCAAAUCUCGGCUGUCUUCGGUGACAAACUGGAGAUAAUUGUAUCUGUAAAUCGGUGAACCUGUUUUAAGCACUAACUAUUAAGACUUAGUUUACUGUAUGUAAAAGCCACGGGAAUCUAUAUGGCUUUAUUUAUAUCAAUGAAAUGUAGUGUAGGCCAGAAAGAAUUAUACUUGCAAUUAUUGCAGCUGUGUCAGGAUCAAUAGCCAUUGCAUGUCGUCAAUUUUCAACUUUGUAAAUCAUGGUGAUUAAACCUUCGCUAAGUCACAUAAUCCACCAGUGUUCGUGUUAAACAAGAUAGCAGGUGAGAUAUUGAUCAAAGUUUGCCUCUUAUACAUUGUCCAUAAUUCCCUGCAAUGUUCGUCAUUUUCAUAUAUCUGAUAAUAAUGAGACUAGGAUUGUACUUGGAUGGACCGCUAAGAAUGCAAAUAUUCCCUCCUAAGGCAGGGAGCUAAAUGAGCUGGAAAAAUAUAAGGAAAGGAUCAGUGUAGCAUCUAUUUAGAUCACUGCUGUCCAAAUGGUAGAGUGUGCCAGCCUGUCAGCUCUGUUUUGUUUGUUUUAUUAAUGUGUGGGUGUAUAUAUUUAUAUGUAUAUAUUUAUUAUUACAUUUGUAUGAUUCCAGUGGAGUAACCAGCACCACUUGCAGCUGCAAUGCAGCCCCUUUCUACCCCUGUUGGUUUGCAUACCCUUCAAGUGUCUACUUUAGGCCCAAACCCUCUGUCCCUCUAAAAAAUUAGGACCUGGUCCCCCGCCAGACCAUAUGCUGGUAUAUAAGAUGGUGUAUGUACAGUGUAUUUGAUUAUAUAUGUGCAUGUAAAGUGAAUGUAUGUUUUUGUGUGUAUAUUCCCUGUCAGCCUUGGUUUAAGUGAAUAUAUGUAAGUUUGUGUCUAGUGUCACGAUGUGUGGAUUCAGAGUACCCUAAAAUAGGGUAGUAUUUAAAGGACCACUAUAGUGCCAGGAAAACAAACUUGUUUUCCUGGCACUAUAGGGUCUUUGGGUGCCCCCCAGCCUCAGGGUCCCCUCCCGCCGGGCUCAAAAUCACUUACCUUUCUCCAGCGCCGGCCUUCCUCAGCUCUGGGGAAAUCUCCUCCCUCUUCCGACGUCAGCGCUGAAUGCGCACAUUCAAUAAGUCCCCAGAAAAGCAUUUUUCACAGUGAGAAGCACGGAAGCGCCUCUAGCGGCUGUCAAUGAGACAGCCACUAGAGCAACGUUAGUCCUCAGGACCCCCUACCAGUCCAGGGUUUAGGGAUUACCUGGGUGUGUCUAAGGUGUUUAGAAAAAAAAAACACCUUAGAGUCUAAGGUGUUUUUUCCCCUUUUUCUAAACACCUGAGACACACCCAGGUAAUCCCCAAAUCCUGGACUGGUAGGGGGUCCUGAGGACUGGGUUGAGAACCCCUGCACUAGAGGCUGGAUUAACCCUAAUGUAAAUAUAGCAGUUUCUCUGAAACUGCUAUGUCUACAGCUACAGAGUUAAUCUUAGAUGGACCUGGCACCCAGACCCCUUUAUUGAGCUGACUAUAGUGUCCUUUAAGUGUGUUUGUGAAUCAUGGCAAUGUGUUUAUAUGAGCAGUGCAGGCAUCCAAAUUUUGGGUCUUGAAGUACUAUGUGCUGAAAGUUACGAGCCACCUUAAAGGGACACUAUAGUCACCAGAACAACUUCAGAUUAAUGUAGUUGUUCUGUUAUGUAUAGCCAGUCCUUACAGGCAUUUUAAUGUAAACCCUGCCUUUUCAGAAAAAGGCAGCGUUUACAUUACUGCAUAGGGACACCUCCAGUGGCAUUCACUCAGAUGCUUCCUGGGUCAGUGAUCGACAAUGUGCAGCACUGGUGUUCAGUACCUCAUUGCUCUGCACGGAGGCGUUGAACUUCCCCCACAGAGAUACAUUGAUUCAAUACAUCUCAUGAGGAGAUGCUGAUUGGAGCAACACAGUGUUUUGCCAUGUGUGCCAAUAAGCUUCCCAAUGCUUCCUAUGGGAGAUCAUUGAAAUGGCUGAGAUUAUCAGUUCUGAUUAUCUCAGUCAUGGGCUGAGCCAGCGCCGGCGGACCCGUGUGGCCCUGAAAUAAAGAAAAGUUUAUUACUUUUUUAGGAGGGGCAAGGGGAUACUGGUAACCUAAAUGGUGUUUUUUAAACUAUAGGGUCAGGAAUACACAUUUAUUUUUUUGUUUGUUUUGGAAUUCAUUCUAGUAUCAGGGUGUGUAUGCAGGGAUGAUUUAUAUUGAGGGUCUGCAUGCAAGGCCAUAUUUGGAUGUAGUUUGUGUGUGAACUCAGGUUUGCAUGUGUGGAACAUCCAUGUGUGUGAACACAGGGGCAUGUAGUUGUUAUAAGUGCUGAAGUGGGGAAGGGGUAAUAGAGGCAAUAGUGGGUAACAGGGGUUGUAGAAUAUGUAGGGGGGUAAUAGGGUUGUAGUGGGUAAUAGGGGUUGGAUGUGUAAGUGGGUAUAGGGGUUGUAGUAUGUGCAGGUGUGAUAGGGGGUUGCAUUUGGUAAUAGGGGUUGUAGAGUGUGAUGGGGUGAUAGGGGUUGUAGUGUAUGUAGGGGGUGAUAGGGGUUGUAGUAUGUGUAGGGAGUGAUAGGGGUUGUAGUAUGAUAGGGGUUGAAGUAUGUUAGGGAGUGAUAGGGGUUGUAGUGUGUAGGGGUUGAAGUAUGUUAGGGAGUGAUAGGGGUUGUAGUAUGAGUAGAGGUGAUAGGAGUUGUAGAGAAUGCUGGGGUUAAUAGGGUUGUAGUGUGUGUAGGGGAUGAUAGGGGUUGUAGUGUGUGUAGGGGGUGAUAGGGGUUGUAGUGUGUAGGGGUUGAAGUAUGUUAGGGAGUGAUAGGGGUUGUAGUAUGUAGGGGUUGUAGUGUGUGUAGGGAGUGAUAGGGGUUGUAGUGUGUGUAGGGGGUGAUAGGGGUUGAAGUAUGUUAGGGAGUGAUAGGGGUUGUAGUGUGUGUAGGGGUGAUAGGGGUUGUAGUGUAUAGGGGUUGAAGUAUGUUAGGGUGUGAUAGGGGUUGUAGUGUGUAGCGGUUGAAGUAUGUUAGGGAGUGAUAGGGGUUGUGGUGUGUGUAGGGGGUGAUAUGGGGUUGUAGUGUAUAGGGGUAGAAGUAUGUUAGGGAGUGAUAGGGGUUAAAGUGUGUGGAGGGGGUGUAGUGUGCAGAGGUUGAAGUGUGUUAGGAAGUGAUAGGGUUGUAGUGUGUAGAGGUUGAAGUGUGUUAGGAAGUGAUAGGGUUGUAGUGUGUAGAGGUUGAAGUGUGUUAGGGAUUGAUAGGGGUUGUAGUGUGUGGAGGGGGUGUAGUGUGUAGAGGUUGAAGUGUGUUAGGGAGUGAUAGGGGUUGUAGUGGGUGUAGUGUGUAGAGGUUGAAGUGUGUUAGGGAGUGUUAGGGGUUGUAGUGUGUGGAGCGGGUGUAGUGUAUAGGGGUUGUAUGUAUAGGGAGUGUGGAUAGAGAAGGAUGUGGAGUGGGUGUAGUGUGUAGAGGUUGAAGUGUGUUAGGGAGUGAUAGGGGUUGUAGUGGGUGUAGUGUGUAGAGGUUGAAGUGUGUUAGGGAGUGUUAGGGGUUGUAGUGUGUGGAGGGGGUGUAGUGUAUAGGGGUUAAAGUAUGUAUAGGGAGUGAUAGGGGUUGUAGUUUGUGUUGGGGCUUGGUGAAUAAAGGGGAUGGAUAGGUUAAAAUAAUGUAUCCCUCCUCCCUAAACCUUACCUUUGUCCAGGAAGUUCAAGUGGGUAAUUCUUACCCACAGUGGUGCAGAGAGUUUAACAUGGCAAGUCCAUCUUGCCAUGUGUCUAGAAGAGCUCCCUCCCUGGCCGGCCAUGGAAUUGCGGGGAGGCUGCCAGAAACACUGAUAAAGCAGUUCCGCACGGGCUGCUCUGAUCAGUUACAGGCAGCCUGCAUGGAGGGCUCUGCUCCUGGAGCCUCUUUCAGCUGAGACAAGCACAGUGAGAGGCAGCCUGGAGGGUCUUUGAUAAGGCCCCUGGGCUGUCUCUCAGCAUGCUACAGAGGUCUGUGCGGACCCCUUACUGAGUGCAGGCUGGCUGGGGAGCUUGCCGAACUCCUCAGCUGCUAUUACUUCUGAACCACGGGCGGGCCCCCCAGAGCCUCGGGCCCGAGUGCUCAGUCCGCCCCUGAAUAUGCAAAAUGUUAUGGCAAAUAAUACAAUCUAAGAUUGGACACCUCCUAUAUCAACCGACCCAAGACAAAAUUGAUCAGUUCUUGUCCAAGGUGACAUGACACAGAUUGUCACCAGAGCUAUUGGAAUUUUUGAUAGAAGAAGUAAACCAGAUGGAUUUACAAAUCUGUACUAGAAACAUCUUUCCUCCAGUCUUACACUCUGCAUUGUCAAAUGCCAUACAUCUUUCAGAGCCGGCCAAAUCCCCUUCAAAAUUUUUUCACUUUUGACCAAUAUCCCUAUUGAACACAAACAUUUUUGCCAAAGUCUUUGGAAUUAGAUUGAAAACGAUCCUAAAAACUAACAUCCGUACUGGCUAAGUGGGCUUCGUUAGAGGGCGACAGGGUAUUAUUAUUGCCAUUUAUAUAGUGCCAACAGAUUCCGUAGUGCUUUACAAUAUUAUGAGAGAGGGGAUUUAACUACAGGAACGAUAGGUUGAAGUGGACCCUGCUCAAACAAGCUUACAGUCUAUAGGAAGUGGGGUAUGAAACAUUAGGACAGUAAAUAGCAAUCAAAUAAGGUGGGAGUGAAGCAGAGCUGGAGGAGAGAGUAGAGUGCUGUCCUUUAGGAGAGAGGAAACUUUCCUAAAGAGAUGAGUUUUAAGGCACAUCUUAAAAGAUUGGAGACUAGGGGAGAGUCUGAUGGCGGUAGGCAGCUAUAUCAUAGGAAGGGAGAAGUCCUGCAAGCGUGAGUUGGCCGUAUGGGUUUGAGCAGCGGACAGGAGAAGGUCACGGGCAGAGCAGAAAGACCGAGAAGGGGCAUACCUAUGGAUCUGCGAAGAGAUAUAAGUGGGGCUAGAAUUGUUCAGUGCUUUAUAGGUAUGGGUUAGCACUUUGAAUUGACUCCUAUAGGAAACAGGAAGCCAAUGUAAAGACUGACAGAGGGGUGAGGUGUGAGAGGACGGACUAGAGAGGAAAAUCAGUCUGUGGCAGCAUUCAUUACAGACUGUAGCGGGUCAAGGAGAGAGUUCGAAUUGAGUAAGUGACACAUACGGGUAAAGACAAUGUAACGGAGCUCCUUGUACUCCGACUGCGUACCCUCCUUUGACGGAUGCUCCUAGCGCUUCCUGAGGACUCCAAGCAGUGCAGCAGACACCACAACCACCGCAGACUCCGCAACCGCUGUAUCUUGACUGGAGUCUUGCCGUCUUCCUUCCACCCUGGAUCAGCUUCUGUCCUCCAGUACUGUGUGGUAAAGAAUUCUUCCUUCCACCCUGUAUGAACCUCCAGCAUCCAGGACUGUGUGGUGAAGACCCCCCCUCCAAGGAGAGCGUGUCAGGAACAAGCUCUUAAAAGAGCCACCUAACCCACCUAGUUGGUAGCAAACCUCAGCAGUACAGGAGAGCAGGCAAUACAUUUCACAGUACACACACACACUAUAAACAAUUACAUUACACACACCUAUAAUGGGUACAGGGUGACUAAGACAUAAGAUAAAUAAAGCAGCCUACAUAAAUAGUCUGUCUGAAGGUAGACUAGGGGCUUUAAAGCCAAAUACAUGGAAGAGUCAUAGAAGAGAGAGAGAAGGCAGUUGAAAAUGUGUGUUAAGGAAGGCUCGAGACAGGGGGAGAGAGAUCUGAUAAGGUGAGAUGGGACAGAAUCGAGCAGGCAGGUGGUGGUGCGUGAGGAAAGUGCAGCCACCUCAGUUCAGUAGUCCGGGAGACAGUCUGAAGGGUAGGAAAGGUAUGAGCUACGUGUGGUUGAGAAAGAGAACGGCAAGGUGGGGAGAAUUAUUUCCUCCAUUAUGAAGCCCUCUUCUGUCCAAAGUAUUCAACGGGGCUUCUUCUUUGGAUUUGUGGACCACCAGGGAGUGUCUGACCAGAAAGGAAAUUCCAACAUAAAGGCGGACUUAACAAAGGACCUGUUCCUGAUUGGCUAAUGAGCCACAAGGAAAUAACAAGUGGGACAUUUAAACGAUAUGUGAUGGCAAGACUGGAGGACACUAGCCGGAUACCCAUGACAAAGACUUAGGACGAAACGCGUAGGGCGGCAGAAGUGUUUAUUUUUUGCUGUUUUAUUAUAUAUUUUGUUUUAUUCGCUUAACUUCUGAUCCUGGAUGUUUAUCUACUUCCUUUGAGAGACUGAAGAUACAUUGCAAUUCUGAUGGGCUUUUUAACUACUUACUUCUUUUUUAAAGUGGGAGAAGAGAAGAACAGAAGUUUUUGUUUUGAAUUACAUCCUCCGCCUAUUUUACACAUAUGUUUGUGAGUGUAUCUUAGUUUUUAUUCUUUCAUGGUGUGUAAUUGUAUCUGCACCAUUUGUGGUCCUUCUCUGUUUUAAUUGAUUCUUGGUUGUGUAUUUUUAUAUAUCUGUACUAGCGAAGACAUAGAGGAGUCUUCACACUACCUUUUAUGGGGUAAUUUAUUAUUAUUUAUUCUCCUGUUCCACUAUUUGAUUUGCAUGCCACAAAGGUAAUAUUACAUUGUUUAUUUAUAAGCUAUACGAAAGAGCCAGUAUACACUACCUACAAAACUUGUAUUGUGAAGGUGAGCUAGUGCCAUUCUCCGAUUUGGAAACUUCACAUAAAGUUUUUCUAUAGCAAAAUUCUUGUAUGUUCAGCUCAGAUUGUGGUCAUAUAUGACUUGUGCAUUAAUGCCUCAACAUGUAAGCGAGCAAAUGCUAUCUGACUGUGAGAAAUCCUGUACAGCAGGGGUGCCCAAAAGGUAGAUCCCCAGAUGAUUUAAAACUACAGCUUCUAUGAUGCUUUGUCAUUCUAAAGGCAUGCAAAGCAUCAUGGGAGUUGCAGUUCUACAACAUCUGGGUAUCUACAUUUUGGGAACUCCUGAUGUACAGGUAUAAUACCACGAACAAAAGCUAUUUCACAGAUAUACAAGGAUCCAUUAAUGUUCAUAGUUUAUCAUGCAUACAAGCUGGGGAGAAAGAAUUAGGCCGUUCAUUUUUAGAGAUGAUGAGAUUGGGAUGAAAUGGUCUGGGUUCAUUUGUUGGUCCUUUGGUAAGAAUGAGGAUGGAAUAAGAAAUGAAAUGGAAAAUUGAACAGAAAGUAGAGAAUGAAUGAAAAGAGAGAGAUGAAUUGGGUUGAUGUGUUAAGAAUUGAAGAGGGUGUUAAUGCAAAGGGAAGACACAAUUAUCAGGAGAGGGAGUGGUAAAUGGUGUUUGGGUGAGAAUUCAAGAAAGUAGGAGUUUAGCCGUAAUAUUUGGCUAGUAUAAGGUAAAGAAAUACAGUGGGUUGUAUAUUUAUGUGCUAGUCUUAAUGGACCUGGUUCCCUGGCAUUAUGAUCCAACACAAUCUGCUCCCUAUAUCAAAGCCAACACUGAUCACGAUUGAGCUUUACAUUGCUUUCCCGAAUGAGACCUGUUACAAAUGAAAAUUUUGUUUCACAGUUAUUAUAUUUUUAUAUCUACAGACAGUGUGUUCUAAUGAUUGCAUUACUUUCCCUUUUUUAGCUUAGUAUUUCUUAGCUUAUUAAUUAAAGGCCCAACCACUUCCCCUACCAAUAGCUUGAGGGAAUAAGUUGAGUUUUGUUUAAGAAAGUCCAUAAAUACCAAAGAACAUCAUAUCAGGAAGUACAUUGAUUAAUCAAUAGGAUGUCCUUUCCAGAAAAUUGAGACAGUUUUAUUGUGCAGCACAACCUGAAGGAGCACAUCAAAUUUAAAAUGUGCUGAAACAGAAUUCUGUUUUGGAGAAAGAUAUAAUAUAAGAAUCUUCUGUUGUCUGAAUCAGAAAGGGGGAGAGAAGGCAGGAAGACUACCCGGUUUAACAAAGCCAAAGCCACGUGUGCCUUACUUGGUUAGCUGUUUGCUUGGCUCAGGUAGUACAAAGAGUUAGUUCUAAGAAUUAUAUCAAAAUCCAUUUCAAACAAUGGGAAUGGAAGGAAACAACCUACUUGCCAUGGUGUGCAGCAGAGAUUCAGAGGAAGAGCCUCUCCAUGGGAUGUAAGCAAAGAGGAAAAAUCUCGAUAAAGUGAUAUCAGGCUCUUUUAUAAAUAAACAAUAAAUUAGAGUCCAUGGAGUAAAGUCUCCUGAAAGUAAAAGUUAUCCCGAAAACAGCAGAGUCCAGAUAACAAAUAAGGCAGGUGACUGGAUGGAUGCUAUGUGAGUAGGAAUAUCAAGAUAAACUUAAAAUACCAGCUCCCUCCAUGGUGAAUGAUGGGGGGAUCUUGCAGCUUGAAAAUGGCUAGCAUCGAAUGCUUUGAUGGGACAGCAGUUUUGGUUCAGAUCUGGGGCCCAUGGGAAUGAAAGAUUCCAGAUACUUAACAAGAAUUUAACUUAAUUAUUCAAAAGCCAAUCAACAAGGAACAAACACAUUUUGUGGCAGACAGAAUACCUUCUUAGAUCCAGAAAAUAGAAUUCAGUGUCAAGUGCCAGGGAAUCCAGAACAAGGUAUCAGGGGAUAUGCAUUCCGUGAGUUAGCAUACAUAGACACCUGGUACCUGAGCUCUGUGUUAAACACACCUUGUUGACAAAGUUUGCAGAGGGCAAUAAAAUACAUUUGUUUUUCAGUGCAUUCAGCACCUGAUUUAAGAUUAGGAUUCCAUGGUUGGAUUAUUUUAAGAACUGGGACAGCCAUGACGUCUCCAGGAUUCAUAGAAUUUUUCUUGGACUGAGAUUUUGAUCUCAUGUAAUACGACUGAUUAUACCAAAAUCGUUUUCUUCUCUUUAUUAAUAAUUUCAUAUAGAAAAAUUUAACUGGAAAAGAAAAUAGCAUUUUAAAAACCAGAACUGAAAUUCAUAAUUCCGUGGCAGCAGGAGCUCAAACCUCCCAACAGUCCCUCUUUCGGUGUGGCGGUCCCAAUUUUGGAGCAUAUGCUCAUCAUUAGAUUAGUUUGAGUUGUGUAGUGGACUAUAGGACCAUCCAGGUUUCACAUCAGCAGGGCUUGCUGCGUGGUCCUGAAGGCAGGGGCUAGCCAGGCAGCAUGUCAAUGUUUGGGGCCCCACCCACCUCAUCCUAAUUCUUCUCUCCCAAUUGCUGGGAGGCAUUAAGAGAUGGGGAUUUUUGCAGUAAGAGAUGGAUGUGAUAUGUUCUUGCAGAUUGAUAUCAUCUUAAUCUGUGUUGUUACUACAUAGUGAUGAAAUACCAUGUGAACUGUGUUCAAGUGUUGAUGGGUGUGCUAAAAUUCACAGAGAAGACAAUACAUAUAGGUUAGAGAGUUUACAACCUUCAAGAAUGUUCAAAGGUGAAAACUGCUUUAAACAUAGUAAUACUUGUUAAAUGCCUCCCAACCAUCCUGAUUAUCGACAGGACAGUCCCAAUUUUCAAGUCCUAUCCCACCUUAGUCUCAUGGUGUCCCACUUUUAAGGGACACCAGGGAACUGUCCCUACCAAUCAUACAACUAGGACAUCAUUAGAACCGUGUGCUAUGUUUAGGGCACUAGGACUUUGUAAAGAGCACUGAAACAGUGUGCCCUGCAAUGUCAGCCCCCAGUGGGCCUUCCAAAAUGACUGACAGGCAGCCUGGUGUGGAUGACCUGCCAGUAAUGUGAGUGGGCAUGCCCCUUUCUGUGCAGGUCCACUUGUUUUUGGGUGGAGCCAGUAAUACCAUAGAGUCACUGGACCCACUCCCUUUACUCCCCUCCCAAUCGGGACAAUUCUGGUACUGCAUUUGUUGGGAGAUAUGGUGUUAUACUUAAUUUUCUGCAGUUUUGAUACCACAAUUUACCAAGCAUGCGCAACAUCUAUAAGUUGCACAACUUUGUUCUUUUUUAAUCACCCUAAAAUAAAACAAAACUUUGUGGUCAAAAUUCUAAAAGUGGAGCCGUCUCCAUGGAAACGAAUGGAAUGUAUUUUUCAAUUGCUCUACUUCUAGGACUUUGGGCCAAAUUGAUUUUUAUACAUGGCUCCUACUCGGUGAGUGAAAUAAUCUUCUUUUUGUAGUUAAAAAUCUCACCUAAAAAAACCCGACUCUGAUUUACCACUAUGCUUUAUUGAUUGCAGUAUUUUUUAAAUUUUUUUAAAUAACCUUACAUAUAUUUUACACUAAGCUAUAUGUCUUUAUUAUCUAAUGCUGUCAUCAAAACGUCAAGUUUUCAUCUUGGAAAUAAAAUGGUUUUGCAAUUCAAAUUUGUUAAGCUAGUAAGGGGACACCUAUAAUCUUUCAUUUUCAUUACAAAAUGUUAUACUCGUACAAGGGAUUGGAUGUCAUCUGAAAGCACCGAACAAAAGAAGACUUAUUGCUAAUGAAAUGUCUUGAGUUGAGAAUUCCCAGGUUAGUGCUGCUGUUGGCAGUGUGAACAGAACACCCUGAAACACAAUCCUAAUUUGAGCUCUUAGCGACGCUUUAUUAAGGUUUUCAGUGUAUUCAAAGCGAGUAAUAGGUGGGUUUGGCGUAUUGGUAAAGAAUAUUUUUGAUAAUAAGGAAAAAAUUUGAAAGAAAGCAAACCAACCUGAAAAUCAAACAGGGAUUUUGCUCUCCCAGUCAAGUCGAGCUGUUUGUUCUCUUGUUAAUAAAAGAGAAGAAAACCACAGUUCUCUGGUACAGUAAUACGCGUUUGGCAGUGUUCGUGUUAUUUUUUAUAUUGAUAGUAUCACACUCGUGUAAGAUUGCUAGUUAUUGAUCUCAUUUUAUGAUUGUAUUUCCAGAUUGGGCUAGGAUUUUUAAGCAGCUCUAUUAGACCAGUAAUGCGAAGGCUGAUCCUUCCUUUAGCAAAGCUUCAACGUUUUUAAAGGGAGAGAAUAUCCCAAUACUGGUGAUUUCAAAAGACUACAAUAAGCUAAUAGCAAGAUACGGCUCUACACUAUGAGCGUGGUGCAAUAUAUAAAAGUUCCAAUUCUAACUGCAAUCACUCUAUUUGUAUCCCCGUGCUUUAUUUGUGGAGUGAUACUUCAGUAGAAAACCUAGGAGAUUUAAAGGAACAAUAGUGUUAGAAUUACAAACAUUACAAACAAUCUUGAUGAUCUUAGCCAAUCCAUAGGAAAGCAUUGUGAGGCUUAUGCGCAUGCACAGCGCCAAUCAGCAUCUCCUCAUAGAGAUAAAAAUAUUAAUGUGUACAAAUAGUUUCUUGGAAUUUGAUACGUUUAAGGGGUGCAGACAUCUGGACAUCGAUGCUCUUUUUUUUUUUUUUUUUUUAAUUUUCAGCCCACCAAAGGUUCUGAAGUAUCUAUACUAGAAAAAUAAAGAUAAGAGCCUACGAUCUUAUAAUAGAGAAAUGCAUAUUCUGGUACAGUUUCAUUCUAGAGAAAUACAUUUUUUCUCCCAUUCUAUAAUUGAAAAAUAAAGGUUCUGGUUCUGUCUUAGAAUACAUCAUAAAAUAUAUGUAUUACGGGAAUACAAUGUCAUCAAGGGGUUCUAGAGACAUCAUAAUUAACCACAAGUCCAAAUUGAAUUGUCUCCAGAACCCUUUGAUAGUGCUGUUACCUGCCUUGUGCAUGCUUUAUCAUUCAAUAUGUUUUAUACCAGAAAAUGUAUAGGCUAGGAAUUGUGUGUUGGGGUUAAGAGUAGUGUGUAAGGAAGUACUUAAAGGGACACUAUAGUCACCUGAACAACUUCAGCUUAAUGAGGUUGUUCAGGUGAGAACUAUAGCUCCCUGCAGCCUUUCUCAUGUAAACACUGUAUUUUCUGAGAAAAUACAGUGUUUACAUUGAAAGCUAGGAACACCUCCAGUUGCAGUCACUCAGAAUGCCACCAGUGGGACUUCCGAGUUGAUUGAGUUGAUUGCAUAACACUCCUCAAUCCACUCAGAUCUGCUAUCAGCAGAGCUCAGGGCAGCACUGUCUCCUCCCACUGCAUGCAGACACUGAACUUUCCUCAUAGAGAUUCAUUGAUUCAGUUCAUCUCUAUGAGGAGAUGCUGAUUGGCCAGGGCUGUGUUUGAAUCAUGCUGGCUGAGACUGACUGAUCUGCCUCUGUCAGUCUCAGCCAAUCCUAUGGAGAAGCAUUAAAGCCACGAUAACCUAACUUGGUUAUUUCAUUCUAACUGUAUUGUGAUAUUAAUAUAUAUAUAUAUAUAUAUAUAUAUAUAUAUAUAUAUAUAUAUAUAUAUAUAUAUAUAUAUAUAUAUCAAUAUACACGUAGAAGGAAAUAUAUAUAUCUAUAUACAUAAAUAUAUACGUAUAUAUCACUAUAUAUAUAUACCUAUAUAUAAAUAAAAAUAUAUAUUUUUAAAUUAUAUAUAUAUAUAUAUAUAUAUAUACACACACGUAUAUUUAUACAUAUAUUAAUUCAACAUAUAUAUUUAUGUAAUAUUUUUACAUAAUUAGGUAUCUUAAUUAAUUACAAUUAGCGGGACCUGCCUGACAACUCAUGCCGAAAGUAAAGGGAAUUUAAUUUGCUACCACUAUAUUUAACCCCAUAAAUUUCCAAGACACCAUAAAACCUGUACAUGCAGGGUACUGUUCUACUCGGGAGACUUCUCUGAACACAAAUAUUAGUGUUUCAAUACCGUAAAAUGUAUUACAACGAUGAAAUCGCCAAUAAAAGUGACUUUUACAGACGAUAUUAUUGCUGCGAUACUUUUUUACUGUUUUGAAACACAAAUAUUUGUGUUCAGCGAAGUCUCCCGAGUACAACAGUACCCCUCAUGUACAGGUUUUAUGGUGUUUUCAAAAGUUACAGCGUCAAAUAUAAGGCUUUUAGUUUUUUUGCAUUUUUCACACACAGACAAAUACUAACGCUAACUUUGGCCAGUGUUUGUGACCAAAUAGCUACUAAAAAAGACUGGACAUACCGCAUUUGCAAUACCUUGGGUUGUCUACUAUUGCAAAUGGUAUGCCAUUAUGGGUGUAAAUUUCAUUCCUGGGCUACUAUAAAGUCCCAAAGGCAACGUAACCAAUCUGGCGAAUUUCAAUUUCAAAUGUAAUGUGUUAUAGUUGACCCUGUAACUUCCCAAAACACCAUAAAACCUGUACAUAGGGGUACUGUCUUACACAUGAGACUUUGCUGAAUACAAAUAUGUAUAUUUCAUUGCAGUAAAAGCAAACCGUAUUAUGACAUUGACAGUUAAAAUGUCACGUAGAACUAAAAAAAAACAAAAAAACUUUUCUCCCAUUUUUUUCAUAUUAAAUUGUUUCAUAGCUAAAUAUUUGAUAUUAAAUGAAAGCCCUGUUUCCCCUGAAUAAAAUUAUAUAUAAUAAGGGUGGGCGCAUUUACUAUGAAAGAGUUUACAAAAAUCAGGAAAUAUACACACACACACACACUAUAUAUAUAUAUAUAUAUAUAUAUAUACACACACACACAAUGCAUUAUCAUAAAAUAAGAAAUGAUAUAGUAGGCAGCAUUUUAUCAAUAAUUUAAAAAAUUAUCAUAACAAUUAAAGGGAAACUAUAGUGCUAGGAAAAUAAAGUUGUUUUUCUAGCAUUAUAACUCCCUAUAAUGCCCCGCUAACUUCCUCCGAUGUUCCUCGGUUCUGGUUCAGGCUCUGCUUCUGCUCCUCCUCAGCAGGCGGGAGGGACCUAAUGCGCAAGCACAGUAAGCGCCACGCUCACAUUAGGACCUACCCCAUUGAAAAGCAUUGUAUAAUGCUUUCCUAGAGGGUUUUGGGUGAUGCUGGAUGUCCUCCUCCUUAGGCAAUCCUGAAACCUGUAGUGGUUAUGGUGCUUGGAGUGUUCCUUCAAAAAUAAAUAUGCCACGCAUUUUAUAGCAGACUGCACAAACAAAUAAGAAAAAAAAUGAUUACCUACAAAUUCUUUUCCUGAUCUAUCCAAGUUAUACUAAAUUUACCCUGAAUUGCCGCUGUUAAAGGACCACUAUAGUGCCAGGAAAACAUACUCGUUUUCCUGGCACUAUAGUGCCCUGAGGGUGCCCCCACCCUCAGGGACCCCCUCCCGCCCGGCUCUGGAAGGUGGAAAGGGGGAAAAACUUACCUUUUUCCAGCACUGGGCGGGGAGCUCUCCUCCUCCGAUCCUCCUCCUCUCCUCCCUGUCGGCUGAAUGCGCAUGCGCGGCAAGAGCUGCGCGCGCAUUCAGCCGGUCGCAUAGGAAAGCAUUAUCAAUGCUUUCCUAUGGACGCUUGCGUGCUCUCACUGUGAAAAUCACAGUGAGAAGCACGCAAGCGCCUCUAGCGGCUGUCAGUGAGACAGCCACUAGAGGAUUUGGGGGAAGGCUUAACCCAUUCAUAAACAUAGCAGUUUCUCGGAAACUGCUAUGUUUAUAAAAGAAUGGGUUAACCCUAGAAGGACCUGGCACCCAGACCACUUCAUUAAGCUGAAGUGGUCUGGGUGCCUAGAGUGGUCCUUUAAGCUCUGUGCGUCGCCCAAAAACUAUUGGUGGCAGCUGUAUAUUGAAUAAUGAGGAACCAGUCAGAACUCUGGAUCACCUGUAUUCCACUAUGGAAGAACAUGGUAUUUCAAUUUUAUAAAUGCCCACUGUGGCCAAGAAAAAAUUGCUGUUAAAACAUUUCUUAAUUUAUGAUUUAUGAUCUGCUCGGCAGAAUGUAUAGACCAUUUUUAAAAUCCCAUAUGAUGGUGUACAGACAGUUUCUGUUGCUGGAUACACUUUUAUAGAUUUUUGUUUAAACAUAUGUCACCAGAAUAAAUCUUAGAUUCCUUUUUGUUGGAGAGUGAGGGAGAGUAUGCAGAUUUAGACAUAUGCUUUUAAUAAAAUGUAAAGAAAUGCUUAAACACUGGAAACCCCGAUUAUCCAUAGCAUUGUUAUGCGGUAUGUUCUCUAAAAUAAUAAAAAAAUAAAGACCUAUAUUUAGAGCCAUAUAGCAUCUUUUUUUUCUGUAUGCAUUGUUUAUCCUUGCGAAUCAAAGAAAAACGAUUCAAAUGCUCGUAUUGACCUACCGCAGCUAAUAACAUAACUCGAUUUGUAAUUCUCUUUUAUGCCGUGACAUAUUUUGGCUUAUUUAUGAGAGCUACAGUACAGUAUACACAUAAGUAAUCACUAAUUAGUAAAUGUCAAGAGCUUAACAAAAAAGUGUCUAUAAAUAUGUAGGCUUCAGGUUGUUAGUAUAGAUAGGAUAAAUGGGGGUAAAAUAGCACAGGGAGACAGGCUGUCAAAGCAAAGUAAAUAAAAACCCUUUGAGAUGCUAUUUCUAGAUAUCUCGAAGCCAAAAAGGCAGCAGAUUUUAAAUUAUGUAGUGAGAUUUCUCUUCCUUUUUUUUCCUUCUUCUCUUCAUCUGUUUUAUAUCUCUCGCAGCCGCUAAUAGAGAAAAUAUGAGAAGCACAGUAUUAAAUAUUCCAUUAUUUUAGAUCAUUUUGAUAAAGUUUCACUACUUCCAGCCAUUGUCUCUGUCUUCUAUUAGCAAGUACAUACGUUUGAGUCAGUCAUCUCAUCAUGGGUUUUGACGAUCUACCCAAAGCCGAGGGUCAAGCCUGCUUUUCAUUUUGUGGAGAUGUUUGCAUUUUAUCUAUCACACACACGUUUUAAAGCUGGCCAAGAAAUCAAACGACACACUUACAGCUUAAAAACAUAUCAUUUUCCGUAGCAGUAGAGAAAAAAAUAUGGUGUGAUUGAGUGUCAGAAUCCAUUAAAAUUGAUAUGGAGAAAUUACAUUCAGAGUAUAUUUGUCCAAAGCAGCCUGUCCUACUAGCUUUUUGGAUAGUCCGUAAAUCUUUUAUACUGCUAUGUUGACAGACUAAGCCCUGUUAAGGAAAAAAAAAAAAACAUGGUAACAUCUAUGUACUCUGUCUGUGGCCUUGCAAACAGUCUUAUAGAUGUGCAUGAUCUAGAACAGGGAUAGGCAACCUUCGGCACGCCAGAUGAUGUGGACUACAUCCCCCAUAAUGCUCUUACACCCAUGAUGCUGACAAAGCAUCAUGGGAGGUAUAGUCCAAAACAUCUUGAGUGCCGAAUAUUGCCUAUGCCUGAUCUAGAACUUAUCUCAUGGAGACUUGAUGAAUAUAGUCCCUAAAAGGUCAUCACACAGCUAUUGGGUCGAAACGGCGAUCAAGUUAUUUGUAAACCUUUUAUGGAUUAAAUACUAUUACCUUUUGUUAAGAGACCUUUGAGUGCAUCCUUUUUUCUAACUCUAUUAUGAAUAAGCAUAGGAUUGCACCAGGGCACAGUUUCUAUUAUUUUUCAUAGAAGUAAGGGUGAGUGCCAUUACUUUGUUUUAUAUAUAUAUAUAGUAUGCAUUAACCAACUAGAAUCUGACAUGUGCAAAACUUGUCAUUGAAGUUCUCGAUGACCUACACAAGUCAUGGAUUUAAAUACUUACUAAUUUUGUUCCAGUCAGACCAAGGGUGCCCAAAAGGUAAAUCUCCAGAUGUUGUAGAACUACAAUUCCCAUGAUGCUUUGUAUGCCUUUAGAAUGAGUUUUAAAACAUCUGGGAAUCUACCUUUAGGGGCAUCCCUGACCUAAACUGUUGGGGAGCCCAGGGGACUGGUUGAAAACCAUUGCAUUUUAAAUAUUGAAAAAAGGAAGAGAAUCCACCUUUGGGUGUGCACCCCUGCUUUCUUACAUGCCUAACCAUCAACUUCUAUCUCCUAACUCUCAAACCUACCACUUCUUGUCUAAAUUCCUCAUUGUAACUGUAGCGGAGCUCCCUGUCCCCUUAGCUGGGUACCUCCGCCAAGGACCGCUUCCUAGCUGCAACAGGGGACAAUCCUCAGUACUCUUACCUUCAGUCGCUGUGACUGGACUGGGGCCCCGGAACCGCUCCCUCCUGGACCCGAAUGGGGAAUUCGCUCUAGCAACCCUUAGGCACUGGACGACACUCAGUCCUGGGAGCUCAAGUCCUGGAACUGCUCCCUCCUGGAGUCAAAGGGGGAAUUCACUCUAGACAUCCCCGGGCACUGGAUGGCACUCAGUCCUGGGAGCUAUUGUCCUUACAAGGACUUUCUCCGUUGAAUCCUCCACACUGGAACAGUGAUUAAAGAAUAGCCCUUUCCUCUCCCAGUAACCAGACGGCACAUAGUUCUGGGAGUACAAGCUGGAAUACAUUUAUUGGCAGCCACAACUGGUCUUAUAUGCCGGUCCUCAUGCAAGGGGCACUCUUCCCUGGACCUGAAAGUAGACUACAGUAAAAACAUACACACGAUUACAUUGGCUCUCAGGUCCAGGACACUCCCAUACAAAACAAGAUAAUCCCUCCCCUGUGCCUGGGAGAUAAUUGAGUCAAGAUCUGUAUUAAACUCAGUUAUCUCUAAGCACAAAAAACACAUCUCCCAAACACCCCAAAAGUACCUUUAAAAUACAUAAAACCCCACAAAAUUCACAUCCCUGAUAGCCCUGAUCUGGGUGACCAACAUAUCCAAAAAUCACCCAGAUCGUUUCAGUGGUUCAGGAAUUUCCUGGAAGUAAUCAUUUGACCGACCGCACGCAUGGUCCCCUAGCCAAAAAUUGUUCCAUGGAAUCGUGGCUGAGUGCCACUGGGGACCGACCGGGAACUGAGAAGUCUUAAUGACGACAAUAGUUCCGGGGCUUUCGCUACUAAGUCCCCCCUGAAAUCUAUUUGCGGUUUUAGUGCAUGCGAACGGCCACCAGGGAGCUAGCGUUCGGUUCUACACAUACGAAUGGAAAGUGCUGAACCAGUGGGAAUAAAAUAUGGGUCUUUACAGUCGCUGACCUGGCCCAUAGUCGGUGGGCAGGAGGCUGGCAAGCAGGCUCCUCCAGGAGCUCGUGGCAAACUCACAAGGACAGGGGAGUUUGUCACAGUAACCUUUAUUGUGUAAGCCCACUCACCAUCUUGCUGUAGGCACUUUGUAUAAGCACAGUUGUGCCCAAAAGUUUGCAUACCCUGGCAGAAAUGGUAAAAUGUUGAUUUUGAAAAUAUGACUGAUCAUGCAAAAAUCUGUCUUUUAUUGAAUGAUAAUUAUCAGAUGAAGCCAUUUAUUAUCACAUAGUUAUUUGGCUCCUUUUGAAUCAUAAUGAUAACAGAUAUCACCCAAAUGGCCCUGAUCAAAAUAGAGCUUUAUGGUCACAACCAUAAGCGCUAUGUUUGUAGAGUGGCCAACAAGGCCUAUAGUGAAAAGUAUACCAUCCCCACUGUGAAGCAUGGUCUUGGCUCACUGAUGUUUUGUGGGUGUGAGCGCUGAAGCCACGGGGAAUCUUGUGAAGAUUGAUGGCAAAAUUAAUGCAGCAUGUUAUCAGAAAAUACUGACAAUUUGCAUUCUUCUUCACGAAGGUUACGCAUGGGACACUCUUAGACUUUCCAGCAUGACAAUAACCCCAAGCAUCACGCCAAGUUGACCCUCCAGUGGUUACAGCAGAAAAAGGGGAAGGUUCUGUAAUCCUGACCUUAAUAUCUUCGAGGCACUCUGGUGAGAUCUCAAACAUGAGGUUCAUGCAAGACGACCAAAGACUUUGCAUGACCUGGAGGCAUUUUGCCAAGAUGAAUGGGCAGCUAUACCACCUGCAAGAAUUAGGGGCCUCAUAGACAACCAUUACAAAAUACUGCACGCUGUCAUUGAUGCUGAAAGGGGUCAAUACGCAGUAUUAAGAACUAACAGUAUGCAGACUUUUGAACAGGGGUCAUUUAAUUUUUUUCUUUGUUGCCAUGUUUUGUUUUAUGAUUGUGCAAUUCUGUUAUAACCUACAGUUGAAUAUGAAUCCCAUAACAAAAUAAAAGAAAUGUGUUUUGUUCACUCGUGUUUUCUUUAGAAAAAAUAGUACAUAUUUGACCAAUUCUCCAAGGGAAUGCAAUCUUUUGGGCACAACUGUAAAUGCGGAUGCUAAGCUCACAUGCAGGGUCAUGUGUUCAUUUGUACAGAUAUUUUUGUAUUGUUUGUAACCUUUUUUUUUAUUGAAUGCACUUUAGAAACUAUGGUUAGAAAAAAUCAACCAAAAAAACUAAUCUAAAACAAUAUGUAUCUGUCAAUAAGGGUAAGAUUAUCAUUUGUUUAUACAUAACACUUUGCUAACCAAAGGGUUAGUGCAGACAUAUUUGAAGUUGAUUGGUAUAUUUGACUGUGUGUUCAUAACCGCUUUGCCAAUAUAAAAAUAAAAUGGCUGUACCGUGUUAACCACGUAAUGUCAAGUGUAGGUCGACAGAGCACUUCCACUAAAUUCAAUUAGAGAGAGCCUGAAAAGACACCUCUUCAUUUUAUUACUUGUGUUUUUUGUUUUUUAGUUUGCAUUUGCAGUUAUGCUGUUGUGUCAAAAUCAUUGUUAACCACACAAUAGUGUCUGUGGGAUGUGAAAUAUGUGGAAACAUACAAUUACUCCAUAAAAGGUUUCUUCCAAAGAAUAGUCAAUGGAAUAUAUUUUAUUGUGUUUUCUGGGCGUUUGGUUACCUUGGUAACAUAGUGUGUCUAAUUCACUGAUAUCAUAAUGAUAAUGUUCUGAGUUAUUGUUCUGGUCCACGGGUGGGUUAAAGUCCGUUUUGGAUCACCAGUGAAGGUCAGUGCUCAGUUUCCUGACUUUGCCAAUUCAGGGUAUUUAAGAAAAUAUGUGGGUUAACAGUUUUACAGAUUAACCUGCUCACUGCCAAAGAGAUGGUCAUACAAAUGGAAGACGUUAAGCUGAGUGUCUAGCCUGGAAAAUCAGGCUGUAGUGGUCAUGAUGGUUGGAAUAACCCUUUAAGCUCAGAAUUACUGGACAGUGCAGCUAUUUGGGGUACAUGCAGUUUUUGCUACAUUUUUCUUUCAUUUUUAAAAUGCCAGAUACCUACAUCUAUAACUGGCAAUGGAAUUUGGCAAGGUCCUUUUAGAUGUACUGCAGGGGGAAAUCUUUUCAUUUUAACCCUUUCAUUUUCAGGUGUGUUUUCAACAUUAACUCGUCUGUUUCCAUGUUUUUUUAAUUAUCAUUUCGAAUUGUAAAUAGAAAAUUCUCCCUUGCACUUGUGCAGCUGAAAACCUUUCGGUUUUAUUUAUCUCUCCACCAAUAACUUUUUUACAUUUAUUUUUAACAUGCUUACCAAGAUAACCAAGCCUCAAAUCACCAGGCCCUACUUCAAUACGUAUGAUGCUCAGUUCAUCAUUUGGUACACAGCCAACAGCCCUGUCCCCUCUCACCCCCCCCCCAGUAUUAAGUAUUCCAAUAUUGGGAGGUAAAAAGUAAUAGAUGGACUCUUGCUAUAUCCAUUCAUCCCAUGGAAAUAAUAGACCCUUCUUCUAAUGUCUGGGUAGCAGUGAUAUUAACAGAAGGAUACACAGAAUCAAUGCCCUCCUGUCCCACACGCCAGCACAGAGCACCCUUUCUGUGUAAAUAUGUCGGAUUAUACUGCGCACAUAUAAGGCUGUAACCAUUAAGAAUUACAAAUAUGUUUUCUAAAAGCUUUCUAAAUGAGAUUGAAAACGGGGGAAAUGCUGUGGUUUGUGGCAUUUGCAGCCAUUUAUAUUGUGAAAAUGUUGAUUACCCUUUUAGAUAUCAAAUCAGCCAACAGUAACAUUUCAAGUAGAAAGUUGAAGGUAAGGGAUGAUAAACGGCACAUGGGGGACAAGGAAAUUGUGACGAUACAAUUCACAAAUUGAUCCGCUGCUGCAUUAGUUAAGACAGAUAAUGUGCAGCAUUGGGUAGGGUAACUGCAUUCUGAGUUGAUUAAUAGACUACAUGGACACAUUAAAUAUGUUGUAGACCCUUGUGACACUUCUUUUAAAUGGAAUCAAAGGUACAUUUUUUUUAAUGCCUUAAUAAAAUUCCCAGUAUAAAGAGAAAUUCUACUCAUUGCUAAAACACAAUGUGAUAAUAUGUUAAUUAUGAUACCUAAAUAAUCAACUUUUCUUCCAACCAAUGAGAUUACAGUAAAUCAAUUUAAUCCCAUUAAUAAUAAAUGUUUAGCAUGUUUUUUUACAGUGCACUUUCUAUAUGUAAUGAUCUUACCCUUUGUUUAUGUCAUUAGUGCUAGCAAACUAACAACAUCAAAGUGCUCUUUAAUCAGAUUAACAUAACGCAGGUACUUGUGCUACCAAAAUACAGCUUUUCUAAACAUUAAAACCACAAUUACAUACUAGUUAAUUAUUAUGCUAAUAAAAUGCUGUCUCAUUUUCAGAAACUGGAAAUGUAUAUAGGGUUUCCCAGGGAAAAAUAGUUGCUGGGGCCAAUAACUACCUAACUAAAUAUACCUUUAUUCUUACACACACACACAAAAUGAUUUAAUCCAGCCUGGACAGGUUAAUAUCAGCUGCCACCACAUUACGAUAAAAAAAUCAAAGAUCUUAAACACCAGAAAAUCCAUCUGCCUCCUGCCGUGAUGUAAUGUGCAAAGGACCAGCAGUGCCUGGCAACAUGUAGCAGGACCGAUGGACAAAUGUCAUUAUUUAAAUAAACCUCAACACAGAAGGACAGGCAUAUAUAAUUCAGGGAUGGCCAUAGCAUACUUACCCAGUUGUUGCAGCAUCAAGGAUGUUUUUACUGCCUAAAUGCAGGCAACGCUACAUGGGAAUUGUAGAUGUGCAUUUGACCACCCUUGAUUUAACACAUUAAACGUAUAAUUGCGGCACCAUAACAACUUCAUCAAAAUACGGUUAUUAAGGUGCCACGAGGUACCUGGCACUGGCUCACCUGUAGGAGUUAAACCCUUUGGGAUUUAAACCAUUCACAAAUGGUUUAGCCUUAACCUUAAAGUCUGUUCUCUCUGCCCCCAGUCCUUCCAUUUUUUAAACUACUUAAAAUGGAAGAUUAUUGCACUCAGCCAAUCAGCCGAUCACCAUACAAACAUUUAUCAAGCUGUUUUGUGAAUGGGAAGCCACUGAUUGGCUGAGACCAUCAGCUGACUGCUCUAAGCCAAUCAGUGGCGCUCCUGCCCACAGAAGUCGUAAUCUUCUGUUUUAAAAUUUUUCGGCGGACAGGAGACAGAGAUCCGGUGAAAUACGCUGGGACACAUCAAUUGGAAGUUUGUGAAUGGUUUAUCCCCUAAUGGUAAGCCAGCGCCAGGGACUUGCUGGUACCAUAACUUCAUUUUGUGUUUUUGAUUUCUAAGUAUUAGAAGUGGCCAUUUUGCAUGUUCAUGUUUUUGCUAGUCCCUCACUGUAUUUAUUCAGUUUUAUCCUGUCACUCCGUCCUAUUCGUGACACACAAUGGGUUACUCGUUACUUCACAUCUCAUUCAUGCAAUCUGUAGAAACCUCAAGAAGUCUAUAUUUAAGGAUGACUUGUCCCGUUCAAAUUGAUGGCCAUCUUCUGUUAGAUGUACAAACUAAAUCUAUACCUUGUACUGGCAAAAUCACCAGCAAACACACAGAUUAACAAUAAACCUGUCUAAAAGUUUCAUUCAAGAUUGCAACCGUUGUGACCAAUAAAAGGGAAGAAAAGUCAUGACUGGUUGGAUUGUUGUUGAUAUUUUCAAUUACUAUUAUUAAAGAGGAAGAACAAGAUACACUUGCAUUUUCACAUGACGGGUAGUGUGAGCUAAAUUAAAGAGACACUCCACGCACCAUAAUGCUCACUGCAUAUAUAUGGUCGACAACGUUCCUCUGUUUCUUUCUCCUUGCACGUAAUACUGUAGUAAAGAGCUAGGCGACCUUUGGCAGUCCAUAUUUGGUGGACUGGCUCUCCCAUAAUGCUCUUACCACCAUUGUGCUGGCAAAGCAUCAUGGGGUAUGUAGUCUACAACAAAUGGAAUGCCAAAGGUUGCCUUCCACUUCUUUAGAACACUAUGUUUGUACUGUAUGUGCACCCUGUUUAAAGUAGUCUGGGACUCCAGCAAACGAUGUGCACAGCACUAUUCAGAAAAUUGUAAAUAGACUGAUUGAAUGCAGGUAUGGCUGGGCUCUGGCUGCUUGGGAUAUGAUCAGUACCCACAUACCGGAAUGCAAGGCUCCUGAUUGGUGGAGCCUUUUCCUAUUAUGUGAGGGCCUCUCUACUAUAGUUUUCCUGUAUAUAAGCAACUGCAGCAAGAAAAUUAAAGGAACACUCAAAGCACCAUAAUCGGUACAGCAGCAUUUUACUGUACAGGUUACACCCCCUGGCUUUUCAUGCAGACAAGCAAGUCCAGUUACUUGGUUUGGUUAGCUUAUUUGCACCAAAGAGGCAGCAAUAACCCAGAGCACCUGCCUUGCAAAGACUUCUCAUUGAGUUGCAUUGGGAAGUCUGUGAUUGGGCAGCCACAGAAAGUUUGGGCGGGAUUAGAAGGGGCGGGCUUCUAAAGGCAGCAGACAAGAGAUCUCCAACUUUUGCAAGCUGUUUUUAGAUAUACCCCAAAUUAAAAAACACAUAAUUAAAUGCACGCAUAUUUUCAUUGGGGAUAUAGCUACUAAACAGUGAUUUUUAUUUAUUUUGUAUUUGGAAAGUGGAGUGUUUCUUUAACUCUCCUGUGCUAAACCCUGCCGUAGGGAUCACUCUCAGCCACUGAGCCAAGUCCUGGAACUUGGAUAAAUGAAGAGUUUCCAGCUAAAUAAAAGAUUGUCAGAUCAUUAUACAUGUCACUGUCAAAGUGUGAUCAUUUAAAAUGCUUGCAUUUACCAUUUGUUUUUUGUAGCCAAGGGUUACCCCCUAGAAUAUAAGCUUGUUUGAGCACAGCCCACAGCACCCUCUGUUCUUGUGCUUCCAACCUGUCUUAUUGCAAAUACUGUGUCAGUCCACCUGUUGUACAGCGCUGCGGAAUUUGUUGGCACAUUAAUAAUAAAUGUAUUUUGUGGCAGCAUUAAACUUUCUCUAUAAUAUUAUAAUCAGUUUCAUCCCUUUAUGCAUUUAUCUCUGCCAUUAAUAGUGUGAUCUUGGGAAAAAAAGGUAAUUAUUUCCAUAUUCUGUUUACAAUAUAUUUCAUACACGUGAGAGAAUCGUGCUUUACAAAUGGUUUCUAGCGUGCUCAUCUGAUCCUCCGUGGCCUUUUUAUAUGGCGUGCAAAAUCUAUCUAAUACUCACACGGUGAUCCAGACCUUAUUAAAUUCUAAUGUCAGUAAUGUAAAGCAUGAUGGGAAGUACUGCAGGCAACGUGUCCAGUUAGUACUGGACCAACACAGGUUGGGGGAAAUCUUCAAGUAUGAUAAUCUAGCAAUAGUUACAGCACUAGAAUAUUCAGCUUCUGGGCAUUGUUUAGGUCUUGGAGCCCAUUUCCCUUCGUAGUUGGUUGUUUGUGAUCUGUGUUGUACAUUCAUGAGCCGUCGAUCCCUUAAAUUGACUUCAUUGUCGCUCCGUGUGUUAGACUAUAGGAAAAGAAAGAAAGUAAAAACUCAGCAGAACAUAACUGGGUACUUCCUGCUGUCUUUGUAAUCUGUCGUAAAGGAACGCAAUCAAAUGUUUGUUUUAUAUUGUAAUCCAGAACAUGGCUGGCCUCUCAUGUUGCCAUUAAAUCCUCCUGGAAUUGUUUGUCUUAUGUUUUCCUCACACAGAAAAGAUUUGAUUGUACCACUGAACAAUAUAUUGUAGGGUCUAAAGAUUAGGGAAUGAUGAUUGGAAUGGAAGAUGCUGGUAUAUUCACGUAUCUACCUCUUUUGUGGUCUGGAGGAAAUUCACUUUCCUUUGCCGCAAAAUCUUUUGAUACAUUAAUUACUGAUGGCUGUUUUGCAAGCAAAUGUGUACGUAGACAUAUUUAGGUUUUGUUGUAUUUUUUUUUCAUAAUUGUUACAGAUUUUCCUAGUUAAGUUACAGUACUAUGUUCAGUGAAUUAAAAAGCAGAGUUAGCUCUUCUAACUGUUAAGUUCAUCUGUUUCAGUUUUGUCUCUUUGUAGUUUGUUAAAGACUUCUCUCCCCUUUAUAGAUUAUUAAGCAACCACUGCAGAGCUUUUCAGUAGUCCCCCCCCCCCCACCCCCCCCUUUAUAGUCAUUACUGUUUUGUCACUUGCAGUUUGUGGAGGGGAAUGCUGCCCAUGUGUUUAAAAAUGAACCUGACAUCUCACAAACUCUUUGAAAGUAAAUUGGCCAAUUCCCAGACAGACUGACAUGCUGACUUUGAAUUAGUGUCAGUUGUGUGUUGCCCCUGAUUGAGGUUUUGACUCUGUUUAACUGUAUGUGGUUUCCAUUUUGUCUGAGAAAUAGAGAAAUAUAUUGUUUUCUUCAAAUGUCUGCACAGAAUGAACCUUAAAAAAAAUCUGUCAGUAUUACAUGAUGCCCAGAUCUAUGUAGCUGUUACAUGAUGCCCAGAUCUAUGUCGCUGUUACAUGAUGCCCAGAUCCAUGUCAGUAUUACAUGAUGCCCAGAUCUAUGUAGCUGUUAAAUGAUGCCCAGAUCAAUGUCAGUAUUACAUGAUGCCCAGAUCUAUGUAGCUGUUACAUGAUGCCCAGAUCUAUGUCGCUGUUACAUGAUGCCCAGAUCCAUGUCAGUAUUACAUGAUGCCCAGAUCUAUGUAGCUGUUAAAUGAUGCCCAGAUCAAUGUCAGUAUUACAUGAUGCCCAGAUCUAUGUAGUGUUACAUGAUGCCCAGAUCUAUGUCAGUGUUACAUGAUGCCCAGAUCUAUGUCGGUGUUACAUGAUGCCCAGAUCCAUGUCGGUGUUACAUGAUGUCCAGAUCUAUGUCGGUGUUACAUGAUGUCCAGAUCUAUGUCGAUGUUACAUGAUGCCCAAAUCCAUGUCGGUGUUACAUGAUGCCCAGAUCCAUGUCGGUGUUACAUGAUGCCCAGAUCCAUGUCGGUGUUACAUGAUGCCCAGAUCCAUGUCGGUGUUACAUGAUGCCCAGAUCCUUGUCGGUGUUACAUGAUGCCCAGAUCCUUGUCGGUGUUACAUGAUGCCCAGAUCCAUGUCGGUGUUACAUGAUGCCCAGAUCCAUGUUGGUGUUACAUGAUGCCCAGAUCCUUGUCGGUGUUACAUGAUGCCCAGAUCUAUGUAGCUGUUACAUGAUGCCCAGAUCCAUGUCGCUGUUACAUGAUGCCCAGACUUGUGUCCCUGUGUUUACAGAUAUCACGAUUCAUGUCACUGGUACUUGAAGCCCAGAUUCAUGUCCUUGAUGUCUAGAUUUGUGUUGCUUUUACUUAAUGCCCAGGUUCAGCUGCAUUGUAAGAUUUAUCUAGCCAAAUGUUGGGUACAUAUUCAUGCAGAUUGUUUUGUUAAAUAAGUGCUCACAAUUGUAAUUUCUGGACUAUAAGUUGCCUUCUGUCUACCUUUCCAAUGCUGAGACUCCUUUGCUUCAGCCUCCAGCUCUGCCUCCGGUUAUGUUAGCACCCAAGCUAACAUGACCUGCAAUCUUCUCCAAUCAAAUGAUUCUAUCACUUAGCUCUGGAGGAGGAAGCAUAGCCACUAGAGGUGUUUUUAACCCUGCAAUGUAGACAUCACAGAUUCUACAAAACAACAAUGUUUAACACUGCAUGGUUAAAAUUAAAGGAUCACUGCACCCAGACAUUGAGAUGAAAUGUUCUGGGUGACUUGAAUGAUACUUUUCCUUUAUAUCUUAUCAUAUGACAGAGUAUGCCAUGGGCUCUCAUGACACUGAUUACAAACAUAACUGAAUGAUUGUUCCAGCUGAUUGCUAUACAUUCCUGAGAACAAUUGUGUCUAUUCUACCCCACUUUCUUCAUUGUAUGAAGGGAGCAGCGUAACAUCUGGGAGGGUAGAAUUCAGUAGUAAAGAUCGUUGGCGUAAUUUCCUCGAGGUACAGAAUGUAGUGGUGAAGCUGGUGGGCAUUACCACAUGGGAGGACAAAAUAUAGUUUUAAAGUUGUUGGGCUAUUAAACUUCCAGAGCUUUCGUAGCUAUCUUUGUCUAUAUGAUGCUGCAAUAAACUUUCAGUCCCAUACUACCCAGCUGUUCCUCAUUCUGCAAUACUAGUCCGGUCCUGGUCCGGGUGUCCUGCCUGGCACUUCAUUUCUGGUGUCCCACUUCUGUGAACAGAAAAGACCAGCAGUGUUAUUCACUGAAUUGAGAAUUUAAAGCCAAGCAAUCGAACUAGAAGCAUAGCUGACUUGGAGAAUGUUUCCAGUUCAGCAAUAUAGGCAUUCGGUUUGGAAUUCGGUUACAAUUUCUGGCCGUUCUCAGUUUAGUGAAUAAAUCUGCAUGUCCCCCCCCCUCCCGAUCCUGCCUGUCACCCUUACCUCCCCCCACUCCUACAUUCAUAGUCAAGAAAAAUACAGUCCAUCCCUCUAAGGCAAAUAGAGAGAAAUUCAUGUUUCUCACUAAGAGACACGAUCUUACUACUAUUAUACAGUAAUAAAGCUUUAAUGCUAGAAAUCUUAUAUGCUGUCUGUUGUACCUUCUGUUAUAUGUAUCUGUACUUCUGAUCGUUCCUUUGUCACAAUAAUUAAUUUUACAGUCUGUGUAGUGUAUCUGCCUGCCAUGUGAACAGUGACUAUUUUACUCUUUUAGGAAUAUGUUAGUGGCUUCAUGUUCCUUUAAGAAGCAGAUGAUCUCACUUUAAUUGCUAUAUGUUUUAUUGCAGGCAUGCAAUACUAAUUGCCAAUACACCUAAUAUCACUCACCGGCGCAGCUGCUUUUGUCAUUGUGAUUUAGUUACUUGGAAGUUAAACUCCUGUACAUUCAGGCAUUUUCCUAUAAAUGCAGUAAUUUUAUAUCAAACAUCAAGACUUUUUCUAUUUCAUUACCUGGCGUUAAAGUGCACUGGUAAGCUGUUUACUAGAAAUCUAUUAAAUAUGACAGGAAGAUAGAUUGUGGCCUCUUUCUGUGGAUGUCACUCUAAUCGCUUUACAUGCUAAUUAAGAAUGUUUUAUUGGAAUGUUGUCUAGAAGUCCAAUCCGUAAGUAUGGGAUUCUCUGAUGAAUGAUUAAGUGGGUGUUCCCAUGCAAAGUCAAAACCAAAGACAAUAUUUUAAUUUGUUUAUAUGUUGAAUGCUGUUGUCUGAGGCAAGUUUAUUAAUAUUUUGUCGUUCUGCUUUUUUUUCCCCUGGUAAUCUGGGCGAAGAAGAAUUUCCCUUUCAGACAGAAAUGACAGUAUAUAUAUCUUCUUCUUAGGCCAUUCCACAUUGUAUACUGUUAUAUUUUCCCAUGACAAGGAACGGGUUCGAAGAGCUACACUGCAUCAGGGGAAAUCACCCAGUUAUACAUUAAGGGGUUUAUUUAUCAAGCAACACAUUGAAAACCGAAUUGUGAAACACAGGCCAAAGUAGAGCAUACCUCUCAACAUUUUAUAUGGGCAAAGACAGACACUUUAAUUAUUGCGGUGUGAGUGGGGGUGUGAUCAGGGGCAGGGCUAAUCCGAUAAAUGUUAGGUGACUAAUUUAUGGGGCUAAAAUAUAAUUUAUAACCGAACAAUGUAUCUUAUUUACACAGAUUGAUUUCUAAACACAGUUAUUGUAUUUUAAAGACUUAUUACUGGGGGUAUUAUUACUGUGGAGCUCUGUUAUACACUCAGACACAACAACAAUAUGGAGCUCUGAGAGAAGAGGAACAUUAUGAUGGAAGAGAGGGACAAAGGGAUUUGAGCCCAAAAUAGGGACCAAAAAGAAGUGAGAAUAAUGCCACAUUUCCAACCAUGAAACACCCAGUGGGAAAACAGGUUUGCCUCCUUAUAACAUCAAACAACCCCUCCCCAAUAAAAAGAUCGGAAGAGAUAUCUUGGAUCGGAAAAAAUAUGAGAAAACUGAAUUUGAAAAUGAGCAUUUAAUCUUGUCAAUAUUGAGUUAACCGUCGAUGAUUUAAAAGCAUUGGAAAAAAGUCUAAAAUGUGCACGAAAUAAAAAUAUGAAUCAAUUUGAAGUAUACAUUUAUAUUCAAAAAUAUAUUAGGAAGAUGGCACUUUCUCAAAAAUAAAGAUGACAAUGUAAAUUUUUAUGGGAAUUAUAAGGAUGAGUAUAGAAAACGUUGAAUGUUUACCCUACUGCUUGAAAAAAGAGCUUAUUUAGAGACAUUUAAUAGUAUGGUAGAACAUAGAACAAGCAGAAAAGGAGAAAAUGAAAGGGCACUGGGAGAGGUAGAUGGAGAACCAUGAAAGAGCAGAAUCAUACAGACCGUGGUUAUGAAGAUCGAGAAAUCAUCGAUGGUCAACAGAGUUCAAAACAAAGAGGUUUAUGAGAAUUAGAAGAGAGUAGCAACCUUAGAUUUUGCAGCCAUUAAAUCUUUGUUCAAAGCUUUUUCAACAGAAUGUUGAGUUCAGGAACCAGACUGAAGUGGGUCAAGGAAGUUAGUCAUAUUUACACAAUUUUAUCAAGAAGCUUGGAUACAGGGUCAUAAUUAUUAGUGGUAAUAUAUGGUGGCAGUUGGGUGAUGAGUUUGGGUUGAGGUUGCUUUUUUUAUUUUUUAUGGCUGCAAAAUGCCUGAAGGAAGGCUUCAAAGGAGAGAGUGAAUAUUUUAGUAAGAUGCACAUCAGGAAAGGGGGACAGUAAGCAAAUAAAAUAUGAAUAAACCUUUCAAGGGAACAGAUAGUAGGGUGGUAGGGUAGAACCUUCUUGUGAGGUGUUUAAAUCUCAAUUAGGCUUGUGCUGGUGGAAAAUGUAUUUAAAUUUACAUUUUAAGUUUUUGUAGUUUUUAUUUUUUUAAAUAACAUAACUAUUUAUGCUGGGUUGAUAUGUCACUCAAAAUAAAAACCGCAUGUAGCGCAAACGAAAAGUUAAUUUGAAGUACUGUUAUCGUACCACUAGAGGGCAACCACAUUACAGUACGCAGUCCAUUUCUCUAGCUCUCUCAAUAUUUAGCAUUUAUUGAACAAACUUUAGGAUGAGUCACGCGUUGUCCAGUCCUAUUACAGUCUCGCUGGCUUCCUUCUGAAAUUUAUUGUGUUUAUAUUUUUAGCUGAUCAUUCUCUUGUACUCUUGCAUAUAUUAGCAUUAUUCAGAUGGUGCAGGCUCCACACAAGUCAAUAUUGUUUGGCUGUAAGCUGCAAGUGAUUUUGAACCAUCAAGUUAAUCUUAGAUUGAUGUUCACGGAAGAUUAGGCAGUUGUGCUAUGUGUGGGAAAGUACAAGGCUCUCUAUACCCAGAUGUAUAUUACUUGAUAGGCAUCUAAUUGCUGCAGUGAAUAUAUGUCAUCUUCCUCUUCAAGUAGCAGUGUAUUUGAUUUUUAUUUUUUAAAAGUCUCCUAACCGAGAUGGUCACUAUUUUUGGUCACUGCUUUCUUCAUUGCAUUCUACCGCUUACUAGGGAUUCAAAUGGGUUAAGCAGAGCAUCCCUGCAAUACAUCACUGCAAAUUAAAAAUCCACAUAUGAUUCAACUGCCUUUAGGGGCUUAGGAGCAGUAGAGAGCCGGUUUCUAUCCUCUGCAGGAGUUAAUAUAUGGAAUUCAUUGACUAAAAGCUUACCUAACUUUAUUUGCAGUGUUCACAUCUUGUAACUCAGAGGAGAAAUUGAAUUUCCAGGAACUGAAGAACUUGUUAGAGAGGACAUUUUCACUGUCGCUUCCUUCCAGUUCAGUAGUCUCGUACAUAAGGAAGUGUGAUGUGAGUUUUCUUGCAGAUUAUAUACCUAGUCCUUUAGCCACAAAAGAAAGGAAGGGCCAGCAAAUCCCUUGUAUCUGAUUCAUCUGAAAAAAGAAGCUUCAGGCACUCACUGAGUUCAUAGGAAGAGCAGUUUUAUUGGAUCAUAAUGCAAAGAACAACAUUUCGACCUAAACGAAGGUCUUUGUCAAGCUGUGCCUAGUCCUGACAUCAUACUGAGGCACUGAUAUGGCUGCAAACCUCCAGUAGUGCAAUUGAAGGAGCAGGACUGAAUAAUAAAUCUCCGACACUUCAUGGUUGUAGCAGAACCUGUAGAUUUACAGGAAUAAUGUCAAAUUUCAGAUAUAUUUUAUUUUCUCACUAUUGCAUUAUUCCAUUGGGUGUGUGUGUCAUAGAUGGACAUCUACAAACAGAAGCAAAUGCUGUAUCCCUACACCUUUUUUCUUACAUGUCCACAUGUGCAUUGGACCAUGGGGCCCCUAAACUGUUGCUUCUGCGACAACAGUUAAGUGACCCUUACCAUGGAAGAACAUAGAGCCAAAUAGUAGCAGCAUGUGUAAUGGAGUAUUUUGCCCAGUAGCAUACUAGAUUAAUUGUUACAGUAUCUUCUUGUUAUCAAUGUUUCUUAAUCCCAUAUCACAUGGAGGCUGGUGUCACACUGUGCAAUAAAUACAGUAUUGCAUGACAUGAUAUUAUAGAUUGGGAAACAGAAAUUGUGUCCAAUCCUUUCUCAGAUUGUUAGAAGUAACGUGUCCAGGCAGCAGCUAUUAAAGGGAAACUGUCACCUCCCAGGAGAUUUAAUGUUAUGUGUACUUAUCCCUAUUGUCUACUUAUCCCCUACUGUUUAAAUAUUCCUAUUUAAUAUUUGUGCAAUAAAAUUAAAUCUAGAAAUCUACAUCUUCUUCAAACUGGUAUCUACAUCUUAGCUCCCAGUCAGUCAUUGUUACAAGCUCUGUCUUUUCAAUUUUGCGAUCAGCAUAGAGAGAGAAUCCAGAGGAGAAAUUAAACGUCUCUAUUUCCCUUUAUCAUUUGCAAUCUACGCCCUGGCUUGUGAUAUCAUUUGCUACAUCUUUAUUGUUUUUAUGUAUUGUCUUGUAGCACAUCUGGAGUAGGACAAUUUCCACUCUGGACAUGGUGGCUAGCCAAAUUUACAAAACGGCAUUGGAAAAUAGAUGAGUGAAGCUGGGGGGGUGGGUAAGCGUGAAGGAGUGCGCAUCACUGGUGGCACUUGUUGCCAUAAAGAAAGCAUGUCAAGAUGGUGUACAUGGGUUCGGGUCCUGCCACUUAAUUCAAUCAGUAGACAGUGUGUAGAGCUUCAGAAAUGCUCUGUGUUGACUUCACAUGACUCUCACAUGUUUAAUGAUGUAGCGGAGUAGUAGGGGUUAAUCCACGGUAUCUCCACUGGUAGUCAGGAUAAGCAGGUAAAACACAGGUAGCGUAGUAACAAUCCUUUCCUUCCAAGAACUAGACGACACAUAGCUUGGAGGUCAACGGAGGUUUUAAUCACAGGUCACAGCAUUUAUACAGUUCCCCAUAUAUGGGGUUUCCAAAGUGCCCUUGCAAGGGUUUUACAAUAGGGGACUACAUGGGAAACUUAAUUUACAAAACUAUUUCCCAGCAUACAUUGUUACACUGGUGAGAUGAGUGGUAAGAAUAUACUGAUAAUCACUCAAUCUCUCCAUACAGCACAAGUUACAGUUUCACAUUAAAUUCUAUAACUUUCAAAGUAUUAGAGUAAAUUAACCGAAUGACCUCUCGUUGAAUAGCUGGGAUCUGAGCGCACCAUCUAGGGAAAUACUGCUCAGAUCCCUGCACAUUCAGACGAAUGCCAUUCGAAUGACCUGCUUUCACAGUGAAGUACGUGAAGAGUGUUAAUAUACCGAAAUAAUUAUUGUUCUGUGUACAAACGACGGCCACCCGCGAAACCCAUUAAUCAACUGGAGAUACAUUGUUGCAGUAGUUAAUGGGAGACACACAACACCCGUUGUGUGGUCUCCCAUUCGGCAGUUUGUUCGUUUCCCGAACAGUGUUUGAAAAUCACUGUUCGUGGAACUCCAAGCGGAACGCUGGCGCCGUUCGUAUGCUACAAGCACACGAAUGCUCUAUACAUAUACAUGUAAUAGAAGGGGGAAUAAACGAAAAUGCCAUUCUCGUUCUGAAUUUGUUGGGAAAGUUGGAAUAAGGGUAGACAGUUCCACUACAUCUGAGACAUUUGAGAGUGCUGUUUUUCUGCUAGCCAUUUAAAUGGCCUUAAACAAUACGUCUGAAUGAUCAGUAGGUACAAAGAUAAGAAACAUCAAAUUUAGGUCACUGUGUUAAAUGCACAAAAAGCUCUGUUUGAGGUGGAGGAUGCAUGGGUUUGUAGUUAGAAUUCAUUAGUUAAAAAUCAAACCAGCUACUUGAUGGAAGAGCACUUCUCAUGGUAAGAUCAAAGCUGUGUCUCCACGGACUACGAAAGUCUCUAAAAUUUAAUUGCACUUAAGUGCUAAUUGGAUUGAGGUGCUUUCAUAUGUUUCUUCCAAACGAAGCAGUCAUCUAUACUAAAUCUAGCAAAGAGGAGAUUAGAGCUUUGCAAAGCUUCUAUUCACAUUGAUUGGACGGGUCCGUUUGAAGCAGGAGCCCAGCGUUGUGUUCUUAUUGUGGAAGUCAAACUGAAUACGAGGGACCGUGAAAAAUGAUGACUUUGGAAAAUAAAAUAACAAACGCCGUGUCACUUCAUCCUUUACUCAUUUUUAGCUGCACUCUUUACUGUACUCCCUACUCUUGGUACGCAUGUAUAAUUACACAGCAGCAGUGUCGGUAGACCUAUCUUCCUAACUGAAUGCUUGGCUCACUAUAAGAUAACAUAAUGCAUCCUAAGACAGUUGGUUAAAUCAGACCAUAUACCAACGAGAAGUGAUGGUACACAGGGAGCUUUAAGUUACAAUAUGUAUACAUUGAUGUAAUUAAGUGUCUAUAUUUGUCCCUCUCUAAUAGAUGUUUGCUGAGGCAGCUAUAUCUGCCCAGGUUCCUUUAUUUAUGCUUGUUAUAAUCUGACAGAGUGGCAGACCCUAUUCACUGUGCUUUAUACGCGUUCCAGUUGGUUUGUUUUCUUGGUUAGCAGAUUUAUGUAUUGUGAUCCCAUGCCUGGCACGCUGUGUAAAGUAAGCUUGUUGCCAUUCACUUUAAAUUCCUCACAAUUCACAUUUUAGUGAAUAUUCCGGACAGAACACAGACGUUACAAUCCAUAUUACAGACAAAUAUAUUCAUGCAACAUGUAUGUGAAAACGGAACAUGGACGCUAAUUAGUUCCACCCGAUGUAUGAAUGCAAACGUGAUUACUUUAUAUUCUGGAGAUAGAUUGUCUUUAAUGAGGCAACGGGGUAUUUGAGACUUUGUGUGAAAACUGUAGUUUUGCGCUAUUCCCAAAGCUGGUGCCUUUAUCACAGGUAAUUAUAUUCCAGUAUAAGUGAAUAUCUUAUGAGAUGCGUAGCUACUUUGUAAUGUUUGAUUUAUGCUGGUUUAAUAUAAACACACCACUGGAGAAAAGGUCUUCUGGUUCCAUUUGGACACAUGACAAAUGACGGCGUCACAGCUGGCGCUGUGUAAUAAUUUGCUGGGGCGGAUGCAAGCCUCAGUAGCUACCCAGUUCUGAUUGAUCUGUGAUAAUGCACAGCUUCCCAGCGCACAAAUACAAUGCUUUAAUAAAAAAAAAGCUUUUAUUUUAGUUUAAAAACAGUUUUUCUUUUAUCCCUAGACAUUUUUCAAAGGCGAGGGCUAACGGUGACACUUACUAAAGCACCGUAACAUUUUGCUAAUUUAAAAAGGUCUGGCUCAGAUUGACUGCGACCUUAUCAAUAGGGUAGUCUCAUUCAUCUCGUAAGUAGAGAGCUGUCACAUUGCGCGCUACUGGCUGCGGGCUGCAGUUUUACAUGGUGUUUCAUAACAUUAUUCGGAAACCCUGGUCAGAUCUUGAAAAUCCAUUCUCCAGUUAUUGUGAAUGGAUAAAGGACUAGCUUUUCUAAAACUGAUUUUAAACCCAUUUGUCACUUUAUACAGUGGUGCCUUCUUUUCAAAGAGCUCAAAACAUUUACUAAGUUAGCACAUGGUUUAACACUUGGCUCCCCAGGACCAUGCUCUACUUCUGGUUUCCUUCACACAUCCAAAGCAGAUUCCACUUUAACUAUAUUGUUUUAGAUCAAAGAAAACUUUGAUUAUUUGUCUAUCUACUCCUUUCUAAAUUGAUUGUGCGCAUGUCUUCUGGAAGUAAAUCACACCGGACACAUUGCAGGUUUAUGAAGAACUCCAGAGUGGCCUUUAUUCCAGGGGAUGCAAUUCCCUUUUAAAGCAGAAAUACGUCAUGUACAGAGUCACAGUUAACAUACAGUAUACAUUCAUCAAUUGGUUAACAAUCUAAGGCGUCUUGUCUAAACCCCCCCCCCCUACAGGAUGUAGUGUCGUCAUUACAGAGUUCUCCCACCCAUAUUUCGGCUCCAUCUUGGUUACACGAUGGGAGGGGGGAAGUGAGUAGUAGUUACUUUAACAGUGAUUCUCCAUUCUGUUACACGUGGCACAUAGCUGUUACUUUGCACAAAGGAAGUGGGGGAGGAGUUUAAUAAAGGAAGCUGUUCUUUUAACACAGGAAUUUGUUACAUGAGCCUUGCUCGAUGGGAAGGGGGGAGGCUAGCAGGAUGGGAGGAAUUUGCAGAGAAAAUAGUGACUGAACACAUUAUAGGGGGGGGAAGGGAAUAUUUACUCUAGCAGCCAGUUUUAACAUAGUGAACACAGAAUAAAUAGACAUUAGUAAAUAGCCAUUUUAUUUUAAUUCUUCUGUCCAUAACAAUAUCACACUAAAGAACGGUUUCAGGACAUUCAUUGACUGACAUUCUCACUGCUGUGAGUUGUAUUGCUUUGGAUCUCUGUGAUACACUAAUAUACUGAUUAUUACUAUGAAUUUAUUCAUGUGGAAUAAUUUUAUGCAUAGCAUAAAUUCUAAGUUCCUAAAAAAGGUUAAGAGAGACAGCUGAGUUUGUGUCCUAAAGAGGGACUGGCUCUUUUAAACCCGGACCUGUAUAUAUCUCCACAAUCUCUGCCUAAUUACUGUUGAGCAUCUGUAGGGUAGAUCAAAGCAUAUUACCAAACCUCUGUGAACACGGGGGCCCUCCUUCUAUAAACACUGUGCGGGUUCCUAAGCAGCAUUUACCAAAACAUAUGGUGACCUUUUGUGUGUGCGCAGGUUAACUGUGAAAUAAAUGAUACCAAAGUGUGUGAAGAUGUUAUGUAUGUCAUCUUCUAAUGUAUAGUUUACCCACUGGAGUUCUGCGCUGUGCUACUCAGUAUACAAGUUGGCAGUGCAGCAUAUAUUGGGCCGAGGUGGUCUGCUGACCUCUUUCUCCAGGGCUGUGUUUGAUCCUGCAAAAUGGAAUGUGUUGGCAUUGCCCUUGCACAGUUCUAAAUAAGAUGUUUUAAGUAGGUUAAUGUCAAGUGGGCAUGUUUCAGAUUAAUGUUCUAAUUAGGAGCAGGUGCCCACCAGAGAUUCCUCACACUAUAUUUUAUUAUUCUCACCUCCUUUUUCAGCAUUCCCUAGAAGGCUCCUUAAGGGUAGUAAAGAUUGAGUGAAAAGAUCCGAAUAAGCACUAUUUUCAAAUGACACACAGCUUCUAUUUACAACCGAUCCCAAAUAAAGCAUUCCAGUAACCAUGUACUCUGUAACUCAAAAUCACCCUCUCAUUCUCCGUACCUUGUAGAGAUUUGAAUGCUAUGCCAAAAUAGUUGUCAAAUGUUUGUUUCAAGACCAUGAUUUAAAAAGUAAAGAGUUAUUUAUACCGGAACUACAACAAUUCUCAAACUGACUUAAGGUAAAUAUAUUUUUCGUUACAGAAGGUUCCAUAAAAUUUGAAGUCUCGUUUCCAUUGUUAAAUUUAAGUAAACAUCUGCUUUUGCUCCGAUUUUAAUGCCAUUUGAAUUUGUCCUAUUUAAAUUGUGAAUAUUUAUAACGGCUUUAAUCAUUCUAUCUGUGUAUUAUAUUUUAAUACAUUGACCCUUCUCCACCCUGUAUUUUAAUAUUAGCACUAUAGCAUGAUGAAUAGACUAAAGCUUUUUAUGAGUUUAUGCAUGAGGAAACCUAACUCUUCUCUGUGUAAAAAAUAAAUAAAACAAGCUAUUUGUUAAAAGUUCAGUUUGUAGAAAGAUUCCGCAGAAAACUUCCAGGCAAUGAUAGUAUGAACUGUCGAUAUCGAGUUGGAUGUCCUUCCAUCCUCAGCCAGCAGCCACUGAUCUCCUUGCGCUUAGAUUUUGCAUAAAAUAGCACAGAAAGCCAUUGUUUCUUCUAUAUUAGAUUGCAUUAUUUAUGGCGCACCAAAGGAAAUAUGUAAAAUAUGUGACAAAUCCAAGAUGUAGACUCUGCUGAAAAGAUGUCAUUUGUCACCAAGAAUGUCGUCAUUAUUGUUCAUUACUAAUAAAACAUGUCUGCUGUGCAGUGCCUUAACAGCAUCCUCUGUAAUGAAAAAGGUAAAAUUGUACAAUGACAUAUUUUCCACAAAAGAUUCUCACCGGCUUCAUAUUUAUUCAGGAUUUAUAGGUGUUUUAUUUGACAUAAAGAAACUGAUUUUCAUACGGAGUUUUUAUUUUAUUAUUGACUUAUUCUUAUGUUUGCAGCCCAGCCUUGUUUCCUAGCAAAGUGUCACAACUUGACAAUGAUUUAAUAUUUAUAUUUUUUUCUGUGUCACAAGAACCUGCAAUUCAGCUUACCUAUUCAAAUAUCCUUGACAUAUAAUGAAUGUGCUUUGAUGGUUAUGGUAUGUAGAGUGUCCCUUUAGGUUUAAACAUUUCAUUUCUUCAGGUGAAUCGGUGCCUUUUUAACCAGUUCACUGUCAUCAUCAAGUUCUAAAAUAAGACAUUUAUCUAUAGAUGAUUUAUGGAUACCUAAUAACCUAAACCUUUUUCACAUCCCAGAAAUAUUUUGUUUCCAUUUAUUCAUUCUUUGCUGGACUAAGGGAUAUUGGGGGUCGAUGAACCUUCCCAGCCAAGUCUCUCUUCUUCCUAAUGCUAGAAUUAAGGAGUGUAUUGGCUAGAAUUGGUCAGACCACGUGAAUUCAUUUCAGACGUGGUACAAUCACUCAGAAGCAAUGUUGUUAUACCAAUGAUGAGCAGUGGUAUGCUCGUCUGAACAGGUGGAACACCAUCCUGCCAUUGAAUGUUCCGCCACAUUAUCUUGCUGGGCAUGUACUGGGUGUUUCUAAAGUGGUUUGGCAUUGAUAGAAAUGCCCUGCAUUGGCGAUGAACAGCACAAACACAGGGAUACCAGAUAAACAGGACAGUGGGAUAGAUGUCCCAAAUUGUGACUGACCCAUCAGACUCAGGACUGUUAGGAGGUAUGUUAUCAAAGCUAGGGUUUCUGUAAAACUUGAUUCAGAGCUUUAAUUGGACAAUAAAGCAAGUCGCCAUUUUGCUUCUCUAGUUCACAGUUUGUUUUUAUAAAGGAUUCAUAUUUUGGAUAGUGUCAGCGUUGUUACAGAGUUCUAUAAUCACCUAUACCUGCAGUAAAUACAGCAAACUAAAAAAAAACACAUUUUAGCUAUUGAAUAGGACCUGGGUUUCCAGGCACAUUUUCUUUGUUACAAGUUGGUGUCGGUUUCAGAAUUCAUUUUUUUAUUUUUUUUAUUUUUUUUAUUUCUUAGGGGAAAAACAAAACAAAGGGAAUUUACCUACUUUUGACCAUUGUAAGCGCAAUAUUUUCCUAUUCUGAACCUGAAAACAAUAAUACUACGGUCACCAUGGACAAGUGACUUCCCAGAAAUCUAUGCAACAUAUUUAUACCCUUUCCCCACAUUCACCCUUUUCAUCUGAUUAUUGUCAUUAAAAUAAAAAUAAAAAAAUAUAUUUCUUUUCAGGAUGCCCAAGAUGACAUUAAACGUCACAUUCUCUUGUACCGUGCCACUGAGAGUUAAAACUAGUCUUUUUAUUAUUAACAGCCCACGGGGUCCUUGUUGGUUUUAGUUUCUCUCUUAUAAAGUAUAUUUAAUCUUCUUAUUUCAAAUAACUAAAGAGGGUCUAGUUCUAGGGUAUGUGGUCUCUUAACUUAUUUAAAACUAGAUGUGUAACUGUUCUCCUAUGAAGGACAAUAGUAUUUUAAUUACACCCAUCAUUGUUACGUUUCGAUAAAGCUGGAUAACACACACACUACACAUUGUUAUUGUUAUGUUUGUGAAGCUCAGUGUUGGAUAUUUUAUCCACAUAUUACUCUUUUCUGAUAUGAUGUACAGACACACUGCAUGUUACUGUGAUGGUCAUUGUUUUGGAACUUGGUGAUACACUCAUGAACACAACUUGCUACUGUGGGUGUUAUUGCUGUGGAGCUCUGCCAUACAUUUGUACACCAUUGGUUGCUUUAUAUGUAAUUGCUCUGGAGCUCUGUGAUAGUCACAUAGCUUGCUGUGAGUUUUAUUACCCUGGAGCUCUGUGAUACAUUCACAUAGUUUAUUGCUAUGAAUUUUAUUACCCUGGAGCUCUGUGAUACAUUCACAUAGUUUAUUGCUAUGACUUUUAUUACCCUGGAGCUCUGUGAUACAUUCACAUAGUUUAUUGCUGUGAGUUUUAUUACCCUGGAGCUCUGUGAUACAUUCACAUAGCUUAUUGCUGUGAGUUUUAUUACCCUGGAGCUCUGUGAUGAAUUCACUUAGGUUAUUGCUGUGAGUUUUAUUACCCUGGAGCUCUGUGAUGAAUUCACUUAGGUUAUUGCUGUGAGUUUUAUUACCCUGGAGCUAUGUGAUGAAUUCACUUAGGUUAUUGCUAUGAGUUGUAUUACCCUGGAGCUCUGUGACUUGUUCAUACACACCGCCUGCAACUAUAGCAACUAUUGCUGUGGAACUCUAAGAUACACUCCUACGCACCACUUCAUACUGUGACUCUUGUUGUUUAUCUCUCGGAUACAAUUCUACACCUGGCUUCUUACUGUGGAUACUAUAGACAUUGGUAUCAUGGCUUAGUAUUUAUCUUAUUAAAUCAUGUCCUAUUAUAAAGUUUGCAGCCAAUGGAACUUCCCCUCAGAUUUUGGCAUUCGAGAUUCUUUUUUCCCUUAUGGUGCUGGUUUGCCACAGCGUGGUGUUUUACCGAACAUGCGCAUUAGUCUCGUAGGAAAGCAUUGGAUUGGCUGAGUUAAUCAAUUUUGUACCUGAAGACUAGUAUAGAGAAACUAGUUUGUAGAUCUUAAUAAAAACAAUAAAAGUUAAAAUAAACAAAGCAAGUAGCCUGUAUAGAAAUGUAUCUAUUAACCUAACUGUAUGUGGGCAGGAGGAUAUCUAAUAAAACAUUAAUUCUGGUUUAUAGUAGACGUGUUAACAAAAUGAGCCUCUAAAGACCAUUAGAAAUAGUGCAUGAAAACUGUAUCCUAUUACUAGGAUUCUGAAUACAGUGACCUGAUCAGCUAAAUUAUACACUCAAGUUCUGCAAUAAUGCAGUACAUUUAAUGAGCAAAAAAGGAAUAUAAAAUAGAUUUGAAAUGUACAUGAAAGUAUCCACGUCACUAACACGGAGGAGUGACUCACUUUGUUGCAAUCAUUAUGUCUUCACUAUUCACAUGUUAAAACCUAGAACCAUUAUGAUAUUUUCCAAACAGACUAAUACAAUAAUUAACAUAGUAUAUUAUUGUACAUCCACUCAGGAGGCUCGUCAUUUAUCUCUUUGAAGAGACCAUUAAUCAGUAUUAUUGCAUUAUGUACAUUUCCUAGUAAGUUCUUACAUAUUAUAGUCUUCAAUGAAACUGGAGCACAUGUAUUGUCUUUGACUAAAUAAAUGAUAUAACGUGCUUUUAUGUAAUUGUGUUUUUUGUCAGGGAAGCAAAACCCAUAUGGAGCUUUUCUAAAAAAAUGAGGCAAUUUAUAAUUUAUUUUCAUUCAUAUACCUAAUGUGCACUAAUGUAACAAAUCAGGUAUAUUAUUAUUAAGUAUAGGGGGCGGGGCUUGACCUGCAAACUGAAUGGACGCAUAUUGAAGGGGCUCCCACAGCCCACGCUGAUAUACCCGAAAUACUCACCAACUCGAUGCCUAAACAGAUGCCGGGGUACGCUCCUCACGUUAAGGGCACGCUGGUGAAUCACCUGAUACCUGACACGAGUAUUUCCCGCAAACGAAAACCCGGGAUUGGCAAGCUGCGGCCUACGGCGGAUGGGGCUGGGUGGAGGCGGCCGCUCUCCUCGCCCUUAUGCCGGGGGUACAGAGCCACUGAUUGCCCCCCCCCCCCUUCAGGACUGGUGGGGGUAAUCCCGGUCCAACCCCUCCAAGCAGCCUGGCCACAACGGACACAGACUGCAAAACCACAUGAGCAGUCUCCAGCAACAAUGGCGGAUGCUGCAAAGAACGGCCCACUAUCCUGACCAGGCUUAAUGCCAUAUUCGAUGCCUUUUGGGCAAAACUGGAGAGCAGCCUAACAUACCUGAAAAAUAAGCCACAUACAGAAAAACCCGCACGCCCCUGCCACAACUCUGCAGGCCUCCAUCUGAACAAAGCCUCAAGAUGGCGCCAGAAAUGGAGACCUCUCCCCCCGGCCCACAAACCGACACGAAUGAACAGAGCAGCGGAGCCAGCUCAAAGGAGGCCACCGAAACCCUCUAACACCAGCAAGAAGCAGUGAAAUGCUAUAAAAAUGUUGUGGAUGCUGUUGUGGCUCCACAUGCUUGUUGUCAUUAUAUGCACAAAAAAAAUAAAAAUAAAGAAAGAAUUUAAAUUAUUAAGUAUAAUUAGCCUUUAUCAUUUAGAUUGACCUCAUUUAUAAUUUUAUUGAUGUUAGCACUGCCUGUUCAAUAUUAUCCUAAUUCUAACAAAUUCUGCUCACCCCGAUGCUUCCAUGGCAUUAUCUGCCAUAAAUAUCCCAUUUUUAGAUUGCAGUAAAUGUGCUUCCCCUAAAUAUAUCAUGGACAUGUAAUGCAUUAGAAUACUGAUAUAAUGAUUUCCUGAUCUAACAAAACAUGGUUUCAGUAAUGCCUUUGUAUAUAGGGUAGGUAUUGUUUCUCAGAUACCUCUUUUUGUACUUUUAUGUUUAGUUUUUAAUAUAUUUAGGAAAUAGAAAUUAGUCUCUGUUCUUCUACCUCAUUUUGCCAUCCAUAAAGCCCAAAACCAAAUACAUCCAUGCAUUCACACACUUGCGAUGCACUCAAAAAUAAACACAUUGUGACACAAUACACAAACACACACACAUGCUUUUGCACUGAUUAUAUACUUGAAUUUAAAGGAACACUAUAGGGCCAGGAACACAAACAUGUAUUCAUGAUGCUAUAGUAUUAACACAACCAUUUAGGUGGCUGGCUCCCCCCAAACCUUCCCUCCUCCCCUUUAGAAGAGGUUAAAAAAUCCCUUAUUUCCAAUACCACGCUGGUCCGCCGAUGCUGGCCCGCCCCCAAUUCGCCUCCUUGGUGACAUCAGAAUUGUUUUUAGCCAAUCCAAUGCUUUUCCAUAGGGAAAUUGGCUGAUAUCGGCAAGGAGGCGGGUGGAGGUGGGGCCAAACACCGUUUUGGCCAAUCACCCCCUCCUCCUAGAGAUGCAUGGAAUCAAUGCAUCUCUAUGAGAAAAUUUCAGUGUGACACUGAAUGUCAGUCAAACUGGGCAGCACCGCCCCAGGAAGCACCCUUAGCUACCUGAGGAGUGCACCCUUGGCUACCUGAGGAGUGGCCACAGGAAAUAUCUGAAAAGGGAGUGUUUGCAUGAAAGUGCCUGCAUGAAAGUGCCUGAAGGUAAUGAUUAUACUCACCAGAACAACUACAUUAAGCUGUAGUUGUUCUGGUCACUAUAGUGUCCCUUUAAAUGAGUAUGCAUACACAGAAGUGUAUUCAUUCAGUUUUUAAUGGUGGAAUAGAGAAUUGCAAAAUUUAGGCCAAACUUGCAUUGUUGGAGAAUAACCAUUUUUAAGUUUGGCUAUUUUGUUUGAAUUUAUUUUUCAAUACAAGUCACUGUUUAGUGAAUACAUUACAUAGUUAUAGUGCAUGGUGUAUAGUGUAGUGUGUGUGUUUUUGCAUUUACAAAAUAUGUAUAUUAUCUCCAUAAGGAGAUAGUCUUAUUUUUAGAGUGAAUUGCUUCCCAUUCUCCUCCAACAUCCAUGCAGUCCAGAAUUUGCUCAGAUCGUUUAGUUGUCAAUGUAAAAAAGAUCAUAAAUCAUUUGUGUAAAUAUAUAGAGAGAGAGAAAGACUGACUCUUUCAAUCCUCCGGGUGGUAUUUUUUGUAUAUUCCUCAUUCUCAUGUCCUUUACCAGAGGCCUGGGAGUCUGAAAGUUCUGCUCAGUAUCUUAGAUGUUCCUAGAACUGCACUCAUCUGGACACCUGUCCCAUCUGAAAUCUGCAGAAGCCACUCUCCCAACUUGGGGGUUACAUGCCCAAGUGCUCCUGUCAUAACCAGGACUACUAAUGCCACACCCCAAACCCUUUGUAUGUGUCUCCUUUCUCAUGUUCCUCCUCCUUGAUAUUAUGAUCACUGGGUUUUGUCACAUCCACCACCACUGCAGUCUACUGUUCCUUGUCAACCACAACAAUGUCAGGUUGGUUGGCCACUACUUGCUUGUCUCUCUCAAUUUUGAAGUCUUACAAGAUCUUGGUCCUGUCAUUCUCAACUACCAUUUGUGUGAUCUAAUGCCCCAUAAAGGUCCAGCCCAUAUUCUGUGCAGAUGUUUGGUACACAACCCCAGCAACUUGGUUGUGCCUCUCAGUGUAUGCUGUCUAUGCUGACAUUGUCUCAGAGCCCUCUUUACACAGUCUGCUCCUAGGGUCCUGUCUGGUGUUGUAGAUCUCCCGCUUCUAUAGUGUGUAAGUUCUUGUGCUACUAGGAUUAACAGCACCAGACUUUCUUUAGUCCUACCAGAGGAUGUGAGCCACAUCCACUAUCUGCCAGUAGUAUACCCCACGGAGAGAUGUCUAUUCACAGAACUCCCUGCAUCCUUUUCUCUUAUAUCUGCAGUUAAGCCAUCCUAUUGUGUACAGAGGAUACAUAACCAUGAACCAUCAUGGGAAAAUUGUUUUGUUGGGUUUCUGAAGAUAUCCUAUAAACCUUGAGAUUGAAGGUCAAGUGUGUUAAACUUGUCUCUAGAAUAAUGAGAUGGCGUUAUUUUCCCCUAGUCAGCUUAAAGGACCACUCUAGGCACCCAGACCACUUCAGCUUAAUGAAGUGGUCUGGGUGCCAGGUCCAGCUAGGGUUAACCCAUUCUUUUAUAAACAUAGCAGUUUCAGAGAAACUGCUAAUUUAUGAAUGGGUUAAGCCUUCCCCCAAAUCCUCUAGUGGCUGUCUCAUUUAGGCACUUGCGUGAUUCUCACUGUGAAAAUCACAGUGAGAGCACGCAAGCGUCCAUAGGAAAGCAUUGUAAAUGCUUUCCUAUGCGACCGGCUGAAUGCGCGCGCAGCUCUUGCCGCGCGUGCGCAUUCAGCCGACGGAGAGGAGGAGGAUCGGAGGAGGAGAGCUCCCCGCCCAGCGCUGGAAAAAGGUAAGUUUUUACCCCUUUCCCCCUUCCAGAGCCGGGCGGGAGGGGGUCUCUGAGUGUGGGGGCACCCUCAGGGCACUAUAGUGCCAGGAAAAUGAGUAUGUUUUCCUGGCACUAUAGUGGUCCUUUAAGGCAGCUGAGGGUUUAAAAUGUAAUGUGGUUUAUUAGAGUAAUGCAGACGUUAAUUGGUAGUGUGUCAGGAUUAUCUAAAGGAUAAAAGGAGCAACCUUACUGCCAGGGCAGCAUGUCAACAUGUGUGAAAUUAGUAGGAGUUACAGUAAUGGGCGGCAGCUGCUUUCAUUAAAAGGGUGGCAGGUACUACUAAUCUCAGGCAGAAUGGCACAAGUAUGAGAGAGGGCCCAAGACUGCAUUAUUGGGAAAGAUUACGUGGAUGAUGGCAGCAUCUGUACAGCACAGGAUUCUAGAGCAUGAUCUGUCCUUUCAAAUCAUGCGCAGAAUAUAUACUAUAUAUCACAUAUAGUUAUUUACAUCUUUUGAGCCAGGAGUAAUUUUGCAAUUAUUGACGGAACAGGAUUUACAUUUCCGAGCUCGAUGUAAGAUUGCAGGAUAGCCUGUUCAGUCUGUAUGUGGAUAGUGGCGUGAUCACUGUGUGAAUCCUGAUUGAGAAUCCUGCAGUGAAACCCACACUGAAUGAAAGAAUGCAGUGUGUCAAGCUAUAAUUGAAAUAUUAACGUAAGAGAAGAGAGGAGACGUAGCUUAGAAAACAUGUCAAAGUGCAAAGUGUACCUGUCAUGCUUAAAAUCACUUUACAGAAACUAAAUAUAUAUAUAUGGUCUGCUUGCAGAUUUACCAGUAAAUAUAUAUUUUCUUCUUUUUUUUUUAAAUAAUGUUGCCUUUCUGUCAGUCCGUUCUCGCCAUGCACAGUUAUGCUGACAUGACAUGCUGCAAAUUGCUUAACGGACUAGAGUAACAGAACCCUCUUACAGGUGAUUCUCCUGCUUAGCUUCAAGCAAUUAUACUACUGUAGUGUCUCAUGCUUUGCCGGAGGAAUAUUGAAAAAUGAAACCAGCAUGUUACCAUUAUAAGGGAGGAGUGCCGUCUUCGAGAAUGCUUUCCAAUGAAGGCCAAUGAAGGCCAGUCAGAUAGGCAGGAAUGGGUGGGGGGUUACCAACACUGUGAUAGCCACAAAUGCACUACAGUGGGAUCAGUAUUUUUUUUUUAAAGUUCUUAACCAGUGAAAUAUAUAACACAUAUCUAUGAUAAUUCAUUUUAUAUAUAUUUUUUUACCUUAGGAAUUAUUUAGGAUGGGUUUGACGUAUAGUAUUCACUGUUCUUUAAAGGAAAACUCCAGUGCCAGGAAAACAAUCCGUUUUCCUGGCACUGCAGGUACCCUCUCCCUCCCACCUCCCAUCCCAGGUAGCUGAAGGGGUGAAAACCCCUUCAGGUCACUUACCUGAGACCCCGCCGAUGGUUUCGGGUCGGCGUGGCUCCUCCCAGUAAUCACGUCAGCCGGUGGGCGAAACUGAUCCUGCCGGCUGAGGAAACCUUAUGCGUGUGCGUGCGCAUUAGGUUUCCCCAUAGGAAAGCAUUGAAAAAGAUUUUCAAUGCUUUCCUAUGGGGAAUUGAGCGACGCUUGAGGUCCUCACACAGCGUGAGGAUGUCCAGCGACGCUCUAGCAAAGAAAAUCUUUGCUAUGAAUCAGGAAGUGCCCUCUAGUGGCUGUCUACUAGAGGUGGAGUUAACCCUGCAAUGUAAUUAUUGCAGUUUAUAAAAAACUGCAAUAAUUACAGUUGCAGGGUUAAGAGUAGUGGGAGUUGGCACCCAGACCACUCCAAUGGGCAGAAGUGGUCUGGGUGCCUGGAGUGUCCCUUUAAACAUAAAGUACUCUACUCUAUCAGUUUGUAAGACAAUUUAAUUCUGGUUCACAUCAUUUACUUAACAUAAUCUUUUAGUACAUGAGAUGCAAACUUACUGGGUUUUAUCCUGGCAUUCUGGGUUUUUAAGUGCCAUUAGUUAAGUGAAACCACCUUUUUUUCUGCAUGUAGGUGCACCUACAGCCAAAUCGAGCCAGAAACCUCCAUCUGUUUUAUAUCAGAAAAUAGAACUGUAACUUUAGGGGACGGAGCCUAGCAGCCACACUGAACGGUUGCACACCUUACGAGCCCCAUGCUAAACCGCUCUUAUAUAGCCGAAAUGACUAAUCUUAGCACUGAGUAUCUGCUUCAAACUUACCCCGGAGAAGGGCGGCAACCACUGCGGCCGUGUCAUUAACUAAGAUCGACGGCUUUUAUCGGGGGACAGACCUGGGUCCUACAAGAGACAGCGCAAGGGAGGUGGCCAGUCCCUCACUUUGUUGCAGCACAUUUACCUUGAGGUCUCCCCUUCACCAUCCCCCCACGGCCCUGCUGCUGAUGGAUAUCCCAACAACUCCUAGCUGUUCUACGGUGGCUAAGUACCAUCACCAUCUUUCCUGUACCAGAGAGCCUGUUAUGAAUAUCAUGGUGGACACCACGUUUAACUCGGCACCCAGAUAUUCACAACCUUCUCUAUGGAAACUGAAUCGCUUGUUUGCUAAUUUCUGGGCCAAGCUCUCGUGCAGCCUGGGCAUUCGUGAGAAGGCUUCAUAGGCACCGACUGGUACAGGCCGGAUGGUGAUGGUAUACCAAGCUCUCUUGCCGCCUGGGCAUUCGUGAGGAGGCUCCAUAGGCACCGACUGGUACAGGUAGGAUGGUGAUGGUACUUAGCCAUCGGACUGCACAAUGCUGUGCAUCUCCUGGGCAAGGUCCUGACGCGGCUCUCUCUUGCAGCCUAGCUAAUGCAGAAGUGGACUUCCACUUUAACUUGUCCAUGUUUGGAUAGCAAUGAUAAGAGCUGGUUAGCCCAAAAAGUCAGACAUGUUAGUGCAAAUGUUCACUUUCACAACAGGCACCAUAACAGCUACAAUAAACUGUAUUGGUCAUGGUAUUGAUAGUGCACAUUUAACAUCUAGAAUGCUACAAAACAUAAAUUUUUCCGCAAAUAUGAUACAAUUAAGCAGGCAAAAAACACAAAAACUGAUUUAAAAGUUAUAAAAUGUACUAAAGUGGUGUUUCUUUCAAGAGUAUCCCCCCCAAGACUGGCAAAGCAUCAUGGAACCUUCAUCACUUUUGCUAUGGAUGCCAUAGAAGUUUACUGCCAAGUAGUAUUUUAAAUUGCUGUAUUUUAAAAAACUAUUGAACAAUUUAAAAAGGUAAUAUUAUAUAUAAAGAAUAUGAGUUUUAUGUGAUAAGCAUUUUUAAAUUUUUUUUUGCUGGCGAACAUCAUUUAAACUGAAAGCUAUGUUUUAUUAAAAUGUGACUUUGCUAUUCCCCUUACAGCACUUGAAGUGCAAUCACACUUAAGCUCUGCAGUCACAUAGAGCAUUUAGUUAGUAUAGCCACAUACAAAGGUGAAAUUCAUUAUAUACUGCGGAGUAACACUCUGUUUUUAUCUCACAGAGCACUUGAGGAGUGCUUCAAAGUGGCACAUUACGUUCCUUACUAAUAAUGGAAUAUGACUAUUACUUUGAAUAAUUUUGAUGUGAGCAACUGAUUGUGACAAGAUUUAUUACCCGUGUGUUUUUGUUCCUGCUUGCACACAUCACCAAAUCAUCCUCCGUGUCCAUUUUAGAGGGAAAAAAAAACGAGAAAACAAUUUUUCAAAGAGAAUGAUUGAAGACAUUGAAGUAAAUUGUCUCCUAAAAGUAAGGGAAAAGUGAAACUAAAAUGUAAAAAAACUUCUAUUAGCAGAAAACAAAGUUUAAGUUAAAACAUAGAUAAGGACAUUUAUGGCACAUGGGAAAUAUGCAGAAUUUUGAAUGUUUAACAUAUUUAAAGAACAAUAAAACCGAUGCUGCCCAAGUGAACAUGUAACAAAAAGUAAAAAACAAAAAAUGUAGUAAAAUAUUUAGUGUUCUAAAAAUUCUUAAAAAUAAAAGAAAACACUGGAUGGUUCGACUUGGAGAGCCAAACAGGGUACGAGACAGACUUAAACAGCUCGAGAUGGUCUACGAUACAAAUGUUUAGUUUUUAAAAGUUAAUUGGUUCUUUCUUUUUACGAUAAAAGGUCAAAACCUUGUCAGAUUGCCAAGAUCUAAGCCACAGUACCACACAAAGUUCUAAUACAUGCCUUCACUCAACCUGGUUUUCUUUCUGUAACAAGCAGCCAAAUAUGUCUGAGCCAUACUUUGGCUUUUGCAAAAGCCAUACUGUUGUUGAUACUACAGGCACAAUAGGUGGAGCAAAUAGUAUACUUCCCUCUUAUAUCGGUCAGUUCAGCAAAGCUGCAAAAACAGAGGGGUACACAAUAGUGCAGACAACUCACAAUAUUGAAUAGAAAUAUAACAUAUGAAAAACACACUCACAAGAGUAGAGCCAUAUAUCAAACCUGGCUCUGGUGUGGAUAACCUUAGGAUCUAUUUUGGGUGAUCCAAAUCCCUUUGUGUGUGGUCUGGAUGCCUAAUUCAGAUGCUUGGACUGGAUUCUUGUGGUAGUCACCUCCCAGCAGUGAAUAGCAGGAAAUUCAAAUAGGUAAAAAAUGAAAAUGUAUUAAGUAUACAGAUAAAAAUAAAUGUAGAUAAAAUUAUAUGCUAUAAAACAUCGCCAAAAUGCGUUUCGCCCAAUGUGGCUUCUUCAGUUGGUUUUAUCAACGUUCCCAAGUCCAUGAAAACCUUUAUAUAUUCCCUGCAUUCUGAUUUUGCUGUCUUUUCUGGUUCGUGGAACGCAGCCUGCGUUCCAAUCGUCCGCCAAUAUUCUGCUUCCUACUUCUGGUCACGUGGGAGUCUGCCGUAGGUGGAACGCAUUAUGCGUUCCAUUUGGAUGACGGUAUUAGCCUCUUCCGGUUAUUCAUACUCUGUAUGUCUGGAACUCAUCUGCGUUCCACCAAGUUCAAUAUUGUAGCAAGAAAAAGUAUCUUAAACAAAGCGAGCUAGAUUACUCCCCUUCCAUGUAAUACUUAGUCCGCAAAUAUAUCCUAUCUCUUUCCUAAUUUCCUUCUAUUUAGUAAGAUAGAUUAAUAGCUAAAUGCAUUAACCCCAUAUACUUAUAACACCCAUUUAAAAUGACAGUGCAGCCAAAAUGACAUUUUUCUCAACCAGAUUUCAAGUCCAAAAUUUAUAACAGUGUAACCCUAGUGUUUGUUAUGCUAAAUAUCACAAAGUGAGGUAGAAAAACCAAAGCUUAAAGUGACAGUGCAUGAGAUGGUGAACAUAAACAGAUAUUAUUUAAAAUGGCAGUAUUAUAUUAUCGGGUUUGUUUUUAUAAUUUAGAAAGUAAGAUAAUAGAUACAUAAGGUGUAUUAUUAAUACACCUGUACAUAUGGCACAUGUACAUAUUGAAUUAAAAGGAAGAUUAUUCAAUAAUAAAUAGUUUAAAAAAUACUAAAAGAUUCUAAACUAAUUAAAAACAAUUUAAUAAAAAAUAAUUGCAAGAAAAAAUGGCACAACUCAAAAUCUUGAUUAAGACCGUAUUGGAUCAACGUAUUAAAAUUAAAAAUACACUUCAUUUCCUCUUCUCCUAUUUUCUUGUUAAAAUCUCCCCCCUCCAUUAAGAAGUGCAUGGAAACACAUAGUGUUUCAAAUAAUUUUAAAAUGCAUCAUAAUAAUGACCCUAGAAAUAUGUUCUUCUGUGCCAUUAAGUUAGUACAGAAAGAUUGGAGGGGGGGAGAUUUUAAUAUUAAAGAUGACCUGUAGUGAUGUGUAUAUAUAGUAUAAAUAUUUGGAACUGGGUUAUGAAGCUUCUGUGUGGCAAAUAAUUAUAUAUGAAGCGAACGACUCACUGGCUUGCUAUUAUCCUGCCAUGAAUCUUAUACUAAAACUGAACAGGAACGGAACAAUUACUUUCUAACUAAUGACACUUCAGAUAUCUCCUCUGCCGGUUUACAGUUUGCCCAGAAGGCAAUAAUAAGACAUUCAUUAAUCAAAAUGGCUUAAUAAAAAAAAAUAAAAAAAUCACUAGAAAUAGACUUCUACAAAUAAAGAUAUCAUAGGAUAAAAUCUUAAGCUUUUAUAGCCACGUAUUAAUAACGAAAAGGGUAAUUAAAAGGAGACAUUUGCCGAUAAAAACAAACAAAGCACACACAUGAUAAUGCCUCGGGGUUAAACUAGUUUACUAAAAAUUUUACAAGCUGUAUUUGAAAAUCCUGUGUUGUAUUGCAUGUAAACCUUUAGCCAAACAACAAAUAUAAAACUGCAGAUCCUUUAUUAUAUUACCUCGAAGAACAAAAGGUUGGCAGGCUUUCUACAUCUGUAGUAAUUAGUUUCAUCAAGGUGCAAUACGAUGUAAUGAGAGAUCUUUAACGAAGCGUAGUCAUGUUUUACGUAUUAAACUUCCACGAAGCCCCAGUUUCAAGUUGAACAUUUACUUUAUGGUAAAUGCACCGUUUUGGUUGUUUAGAACUUGGAGAAGUAAUGUCCAAUCUGUUUUUUUUUUGUGUUAGACGUCCGGGGAAAAGAAAAUGUUUUUUUGUUAGACCUUCGAGCAGUUUCUGCUGUAGACUUGUUCUUUAAACCACAUCACACAAAGUGUUUGCAUUUUAUAGUGGAAACGUAUGAAAAUAACUGAUAUAUUGAGUGAUGAUUUUGUUAGACUAUGAGUCCUAAUUGAUAGAGUACAUAUAUUUUCAGAUUUUUAAUUUAUUUUUUUAAUCGGGCCAUUAAGUUUUGUGGUGGUGUAUCUUAACUAGUGGCAACAUGUAGUUAAAGGGAUACUUUAACCACCAAUACAGCAUUAGCUUAAUGAAGCAGUUUUAGUGUAGAUCAUGCUCCUGCAGUCUCACUGCGCAAUUCUCUGCCAUUUAAAAGUGAAAUCUCUUUUGGUUUUGUUUAUACAGCCAUAGCUGCACCUCCCCUGGCUGUGACUUGUACAACCUACAUGAGUAUAGUAUAUCUUUAAAGUGUUCUUUUUUUAUUAAACCAAAGCCUUGCUGAGAGGAGAAAUAUACUGUAGAAUGUCUGUCAUUGUCUGAAUACCAAGACACCAAGCUGUGACAAAGGGACAGAUCCAACCACAGAUGUAUAUGAGGUCAGACCUUUAUCUCUGUAGGCUCAGUUAUCAAGGAGCAGUGCUUUUCUCUGCUGAGUGCUAAUUAUUAUGAAGAUAAUAAUUAUUGCUUUGCAUGCUGUCUCAUAUAAAAGCUUUGUUUUAUCUGCCAGUAGAUUUCCAUUUGCCCAGUGUUUUCAAUCGUAUUGUAGCCAAUAUGUAUCGGUUAUUGUCUUUUCAAUCAUUCGUAAGUGCAUCACUUAGAAUCCUGCAAUUAUCAUUUUUAAUCGGAAGCAGAAAUUGAUUCUUUUCUUUUCUUUUUAUUUUGAAUGUGAUCGAUUAUGCUGUAAACACUCUCCGAGGUAUUAUUAUAGCUCACCUUUCUUUCCUGUAACUCAGUUGUAUUUUAAGUGAUUAUUUUCCAUGCCUAGAUGUGAUGUUUAGCUAAUUAGAGUAACGGAUGUCAUGAUCACAAUUUCUGCAAUUUUGUAAAUUAAAAUCAGUUCUGUUUUCCCACAUAUUUGCAGAUUUAAAGUUUUGGUUUGUUUUUAGUAUGCACCUACUGAACAUCAUAUUUACAGAUGUGUCCAGUGGUUUAGUUUAAUUCAACAAACGUGAGACUUUCUCUCUUUCCCUCUCAUCCCUCCAGGUGGUAUAUUUAUUUGUAUACUCUUCAUCUCGUUCCCUUGUGGCAUAUACUGUGCAGAUUUUUCGGUAUACAAUUCCAGCAAUCCGCUUGUGCCUCUCAGUGUAUGCUGUCCCCGCUAACAUCUUGCACCCAGCUACUAUGUGCUGAAUUGUCUAAGAGGCCUUUGCACAGUCUGCACCUUGAGAUCUUUCUGGUGUGGUAGACCCCAGCUUUUAUUGAUCUGGUGCAGAGUGCCUGUUCUGCUCAGAGUAGUGCCUCGGUGCUGCCUUUCGGUCCUGCUUUUUCCAAAUAUAUGUGUUGAUGAGCAUGAGCACUGCCUCUCGAUCUUCUGAUGGUAGAAUCUCUGCAUACCUCCCAACUUUGGAAGAAUGGAAUCCUGGCAAUGUUUUAGGGGGAAGUUGCUAGUCCUGUCUGGGAAGUGGGGAUUCCCACCCACUUAAGGGCCAUUUUAGCCUGCAGAUGACAGACAACCUACCCGGCUGCCCUUCAAUAUACAGGACCAUGCAAAGUGCGCUGUUAAAUCAUUAUCUGCAUGACCCGCGGCACAGCGCAAGCAUGUCUUAUAAAGCACCCACUCUAUGUGGAGAUAGUUACAUGGUGUCUACGAGGUGGCAGGACAGAAUUCCAAAAAUUGGUCUGUUCUACAGAAAGUUGGGAACACCGUCUCUGUCUGAAGUGUCAAUUCUGGACAUUCCGUUAUAGCAAUGCCCUACAUACUGAAACAACCUACUCGGUACUGCAACAACAGAUGACUAAAACCAGGAUUGCACUGGUGGAAGCUGCACGGAUUGAGUUAGGGUAGCUGUAUGGGAGAUACUUGCAGAAGCUUAACACCUAAAAAAGUGAAAUGAAUCACGCUAAUUUAUAACUUAAAUUAGCUACAUCUGUUUGUGUAUGUUUCCUAGAAGAAAACUUCAUCACAAAUAAGCAGAGCAUUAAUAUACCCAAAUAAAAUAUUGGUUACUUACCAUAAUGAUUAAAUAACAGUAUCUAGACCUAGAAUAAUAACUACAGCAAUGCUGGCAGUAUUUUACAGAACAUUUGCUGCUGGAAUAACAUUUAUUUAUACGUAUUUAAAUACGCUAAUGGACAGUAAAUUGGCAUGCUGCAGUGUAAAUGCAUUUCUGGAGGUCAAGGAAUAUAACUGUGUGUGCAAAUAAAUGGUGGAAAACAAAAAAUAUGUAUAAUGUGUGGGUCUUUUGUAGAUUAACCCCUUAAAGACACAUGACAUGUGUGACACGUCACGAUUCCCUUUUAUUCCAGAAGUUUGGUCCUUGAGGGGUUAAUUAUGUGGCUCUGCAAACAAUGUCUGUGUAAUAUAGUUUUACGCUUGUAAUGUCUUAACAAUGUGGUAACUCCCGUUAUAUUCAUUUUUUUUAAUAAAACAUUUUACCAGGAAGGACACACUGACAUUUCUUUUAUUUACGCCCUGAUAAACACAUUUUAAACAAACAACCAAAAGAAUGUCUGUUAAGACAGAUCAGCACACAGCAGCAAGUACACGGGUGUAAGUUUUUCAUUUGUGCAAUUCAGAAAAAGUAAAGAACAUACGUCACAAAACUUUACUUCGACAAAGAGAGGGGCACUUACAUUUUGGGUUGAUGCCAGGGGCAGGGGUCUAAGAAAUUUUAGGUGACUUAGAAACAAUUUCUGACAUUAAAAUUUAAUUUAGAACAAGAACAAUGUAUCUUAUUUAUACAGACUGAUUUCUAAAAACAUGAGUUUUAUUGCUGUGCACCUCUGUUAUACACUCAGACAUACCUACAAUAUGAAAAAUAAACAGGGACACAGGGGUUUCAACACAAAAUAGGGAUUGUCCCUGUUAAAUUGAGAGCUAUGAGUGAGCUCAGGGCAGGUAUCCAGGUUGUAAGGUUUACAUGAAGAAUUCAUAAAAAAAAAAUGAUUGACAAUGGCAUAACUUUAUAUGUCCGAGGACAUCAUAUAUUUUGUGUCAAAUCAGAAGCAUGGCAUAAUUAAAAGGAAUGUCAUUUCUGUUUCAAAUAAGGAUUAACAGUUUUGUUUCACACCCAGGAAUGUCAAGUAUAGUAGUGUACAAAUAUCCUAUGUAUCUGUGUACCCUCCCCUGCACACCCUCCAAUAUCAUGCUCUCUUGAUGCUUAGACUGCCCCUUUAAUAAUGGAACAUUUCUUGCAGUGUGGGUACAUUUUAGAGUCUGUCUAGAUGUGAACCUUCUGCUUGCUGCAUUUAAAGUGGUAACACUCUUUUGUCAAUGGUUGGGCCCAUCAGAGAAUACAUUGUGCCAUUUCUGACCUUUAAUGAAAUGGUUUAUUCUCAAUUGGUGUGUUCCCAAGUAGCCACCAUCCCAGAGAGAUAUUGUUUUGUUCUUGGCUGUGCUUGUCCAACACUUUGCAUUAACGCAUGACUGCUGUUAGCAUUCCACCAGAGAAGAAAGUAAACCAGAAUUCAUAGACCACAUUCUCCAAGGUGAAAUCUGUCCUUUCUUCCUGUUUAAUUACAGCUUCUAAAACAUUUUCUCAUUGGGGUAUAUUUUAUCUCAGCUUGCAAGAGCUGCAAAUCCGUUGUCUGCAGUCUUUGCAAGCCUUUCCUCAAUGAGAAGUCUCUGAUUUUGUGCCACGGACAUGGGGAGAAGACAGGCAUACUCUAGCAACGCGUACCUAUUACUUCUGUUAGCUCUGGAGCUAACGGAAGCAAAAGAUAUCCUUGGGAGGCUUUUCUGCAAUUAUUUGAAAUAGAAAUGAACACUUUUACAAACCGCAAUCAAAAUGAGCAUAUCCUGACACACAAAGCACUUCACCAAGUUUAAGUACUUUAUGUGUGCAGAUAAUUCCUUUCAUUUGUAGCCUGGGAUAUAGGAUUUCUUCUUAUUUAGAGGUCUGUAGAUUUCAUGGCAAAAGACAGGCGAUACUAAGAAAAAAGGACAAAGUUGGGGAAACGCUUAGAAGUUGGCAGGUGUAGAUGGGAUUUGGUUAUUUGGAGCAGAGCUGACCUAUGAUUAAAAGAAGCUAGCAGGAAGAGAUCCCAGUUGUGUUAUCCUGUCUUGCGUCCAUAGAAACAUAGAAUGUGAAGGCAGAUAAGAACCAUUCGGCCCAUCUAGUCUGCCCAAUUUUCUAAAUACUUUCAUUAGUCCCUGGCCUUGUCUUAUAGUUAGGAUAGCCUUAUGCCUAUCCCACCCAUGCUUAAACUCCUUCACUGUGUUAACCUCUACCACUUCAGCUGGAAGGCUAUUCCAUGCAUCCACUACCCUCUCAGUAAAGUAAUACUCCCUGAUAUUAUUUUUAAACCUCUGCCACUCUAAUUUAAGACUAUGUCCUCUUGUUGUGGUAGUUUUUCUUCUUUUAAAUAUACAGUCAGGUCCAUAAAUAUUGGAACAUCGACACAUUUCUAAUCUUUUUGGCUCUAUACACCAACACAAGGGGUUUGAAAUGAAACAAACAAGAUGUGCUUUAACUGCAGACUUUCAGCUUUAAUUUGAGGGUAUUUACAUCCAAAUCAGGUGAAUGGUGUAGGAAUUACAACAGUUUGUAUACGUGCCUCCCACUUUUUAAGGGACCAAAAGUAAUGGGACAGAUUAACAGUCAUAAAUCAAACUUUCACUUUUUAAUACAUGGUUGCAAAUCAUUUGCAGUCAAUUACAGCCUGAAGUCUGGAGCGCACAAACAUCACCAGACGCUGGGUUUCAUCCCUGGUGAUGGUCUGCCCGGCCUCUACUGCAACUGUCUUCCUUUCCUGCUUGUUGUUGGGGCAUUUUCCCUUCAGUUUUGUCUUCAUCAAGUGAAAUGCAAGCUCAAUCGGAUUCAGGUCUGGUGAUUGACUUGGCCAUUGCAUAACAUUCCACUUCUUUCCCUUAAAAAACUCUUUGGUUGCUUUUGCAGUAUGCUUCGGGUCAUUGUCCAUCUGCACUGUGAAGCGCCGUCCAAUGGGUUCUGAAGCAUUUGGCUGAAUAUGAGCAGAUAAUAUUGCCCGAAACACUUCAGAAUUUAUUCUGCUGUUUUUUAGUCAGCAGUAACAACAUCAAUAAAUACAAGAGAACCAGUUCCAUUGGCAGCCAUACAUGCCCACGCCAUGACAUUACCACCACCAUGCUUCACUGAUGAGGUGGUAUGCUUUGGAUCAUGAGCAGUUCCUUUCCUUCUCCAUACUCUUCUCUUCCCAUCACUCUUGUACAAGUUGAUCUUGGUCUCAUCUGUCCUUAGGAUAUUGUUCCAGAAAUGUGAAGGCUUUUUUAGAUGUUGUUUGGCAAACUCUAAUCUGGCCUUCCUGUUUUUGAGGCUCACCAAUGGUUUACAUCUUGUGGUGAACCCUCUGUAUUCACUCUGGUGAAGUCUUCUCUUGAUUGUUGACUUUGACACACAUACACCUACCACUUGGAGAGUGUUCUUGAUCUGGCCAACUGUUGUGAAGGGUGUUUUCUUCACCAGGGAAAGAAUUCUUCAGUCAUCCACCACAGUUGUUUUCCGUGGUCUUCCGGAUCUUUUGGUGUUGCUGAGCUCACCGGUACGUUCUUUCUUUUUAAGGAUGUUCCAAACAGUUGAUUUGGCCACACCUAAUGUUUUUGCUAUCUCUCUGAUGGGUUUGUUUUGUUUUUUCAGCCUAAUGAUGGCUUGCUUCACUAAAAGUGACAGCUCUUUGGAUCUCAUAUUGAGAGUUGAUAGCAACAGAUUCCAAAUGCAAAUAGCACACUUGAAAUGAACUCUGGACCUUUUAUCUGCUCCUUGUAAAUGGGAUAAUGAGGGAAUAACACGGACUUGGCCAUGGAACAGCUGAGCAGCCAAUUGUCCCAUUACUUUUGGUCCCUUGAAAAGUGGGAGGCACAUAUACAAACUGUUGUAAUUCCUACACUGUUCACCUUAUUUGGAUGUAAAUAACCUCAAAUUAAAGCUGAAAGUCUGCAGUUAAAGCACAUCUUGUUCAUUUCAUUUCAAAUCCAUUGUGGUGGUGUAUAGAGCCAAAAAGAUUAGAAUUGUGUCAAUGUCCCAAUAUUUAUGGACCUGACUGUGUGAUCUGCUCCUUUACUGUGUUGAUUCCCUUUAUGUAUUUACAUGUUUCUAUCAUAUCCCCCCUGUCUCGUCUUUCCUUUGUCCUACUGUCUAAGUAUCCUUGUCUGGUUUCCAGCAUCUCGGGCACCAAGGUCCUUGGUUUUUCAGGACUAUGUUACCCUGGUAUACGCUAUAUAUGAGCAGGUUGGUAAACUUGCUAGCUUGCCGAAUAUGCCAGCAUGGAUACAGACAGGGAGGACACAUUUUAGGGUCACUGAUUUCACCAUCAUAAUUUACCUUGUACAUUGAAAGUGAAGAAUGCCAUCCUCUGUGUAUUACCAAAUACUGUUUGUAUAGGACUUGAGAGCACACUUUGGGGUUUGUUUACGAAGCUAAAAUUUUCAGACAACUGAUAAGGGAGUUUCGAAUCUAAAAAAUGGCAGAAUUAGAUUUUUAUUUUUUUUUAAUUUGGCUAACUUGGCCUAAGAUUUACAGUUUCCUUGUUAAUUAUCUACAGUUACCAAUUUAUCGAAUAGAACUCUCCAUAAUGAAAAUCAAAUACUAAUUUAAUUAAGCGUUUCCGUGGCAGUUAUCGGCAAUCGGCACGAAAAUUUGUAUCGGCAUCAGUUCUGGAACAAUUAUAGUAGUCAAUCCUACAGCAUACUGACAUUCAAGAUUGAGACCAAGUAUCACCCUGGACCUAGAGUCAUUGGAUAAUGUCAUCCACCCUGAUCAUCUAAUGUUAUCAUCUUUCACAUUUUCCACUUGGAUUUAUUAUUUAAAAUGUCAUUACGUAACAUACAGAGAGUAAAUAACCUUCAGUAAAUAGUGAAUUGAAAGCCUGGUCUUGAAAACGCACAAAUCAUUGUUGAGUACAUAAUCCCCUGCAGUGUAGACAAGAAACACAUUUGCUGUUUAACGCAUGUUAUCAGAAAUGGCUUAAUAUCUGUAGACCAGUUGCAGGACUGCGUAAUGAUUACACAAUUACUGUGAUAAAUCUGCUGCAAAAUGAAUAUGGAUGUGUGAGGUUUAAUAAGUUUUUCUAAUAUUGAUUUUUAGACAGUUAGUAAAAUGUCAAUACAUUGUAAACUAUGGUUAAUGGUGCAUCCCACAACAAUUACUAUUUUUAACCAAUCAUUUCCAAGUGUCGAACACAAGCUGACACUGACAUUUAUUUACUAAACAGUGAGUUGUGGUGGUCUGACAAAUUAAUGUCGGAUCAAGGAAUCGAAGUAAAAUCAUUUUUGCUGCUCGGUUAUCAUUGCCUCUCCCCCACAAGGAUUUGAUAUAUACAUUACCGAAUAUAUCGAUGGCAAGUCUUCUUUCACAUGGGUAUUUAAAUUCCCAUUAUAUUACCAAUUUCCCUUACGAAAUAACAAAUAGGAGUGACCUUUCUGUGCUUUUUAAAUUGGCUAAUAAUGUCACUUUUUAAAAUAACGUGCAGAAUUACAUAUCCUGAAGAAAUAUCAGGUCUAUUUAUCACAUUUAUGAAAAGAUAAUUGAAGCUAAGAGAUGGCGCCUGGUAUAUGGUGCCGUGCUACCUUAAGCUCUCUUAAAUCAUGUUAUUACAGACCAUUUGGGCGUCUAUAAGAGGACAUAUUUCUUCCUGCUUUAAUCUCCUCCUUAGCAGUAUACAUUUAAUGUUUGCGAUUAGUAUGUCAUGAUGUUGAAUUUUACUGAGAAUUGUGCAAAUUGACUCCCGUGAGCUGGAUGAAGUGCUCAAAGAUUAUUCCGCAUUCUGUACAUAAAAUAAAUAAAUAAAAUAUUGCACCAUUCUUUCACUUGGGUCACCACAUCAACUAGUGUGUUUAUAGGGGAGACUUGGUUUUGCUUUUUAAAAACUGAAUCAGAUUAAAAAUUCAGUUGCCUUCCUCUCUAAUGCUUGUCUUCAACUGGGGAACAACACAUUUCUGUUCCUGGGAGCUGUGUUUAGUAAUGUUUAGUGUAUUGUGAUGAGAAAUAUAAUACAUUUAACUUAAAGGGUCCCUCCAGACCCCUAAACAACUUUAUCUUGCCGAAAAGCUUUAUGUGUGUCCUCUUUUUUAAUUUUUUUAUUUUGCAAAAAGUGCAGGUAUAAAUAGAAAUUGGCACUUUUAUAAAUGUACAUGGUAACACCCCCCUGGAUUUCAAGCAUACAACAGGUAAUGUUAUUACCUGCUUUUGUUAGCUCAAUGCAAGACCCCAAGAGGCAGCAAUUGCCCAGGGCCCCUGACUUACAAAGACUUCUCAUUGAGCUAUAUUGGGAUUGGACAGCCAAAGAAAGGCUGGGCUGGGCUAGAAGGGGAGGGCUUGCAAAGACAACAGGCAAGAGAACUGAAGGUUUUGCAAGCUGAUUUUAGAUAAAUCCCCAUUGACAAAAAAUAUAUAAUUGAAUGCAUGCAAGUUUCCAUUUCGGGCAUAUCUACUAAACAGUGAUUUUUAUUUAUUUUGUAAAUCUUCUGCUAAGAAAUUCGCUCAGUGUUUGAAUGCAGUCAUACAGCCCUCUUCAACCUGUUGUUCCUGUACGUUUUUGUAAUUGUCUCAUUUAUUGUUCAAUCUCCCCUUUGAUAAUAUUGUAAAGCGCUACAGAACAUGCUGGCGCUAUCUAAAAUCCAAUAAUAAUAAUAAUAAUAAUUGAGUACUAGGUUCCAAUGUUUGAAGAUUGUCCUACAGACUGUUACUCCGUGAAAAAGCAUUGCUAUUCUCUUUACACUUUAAUUUGCUGGUUAGACCAAAAUGGGCCCUCCCUCUUUGAUUUUCCUUUAUUCCAGUGAUGUCAUGUUCUGAGCCUGAGAGGUGGUAAAGCUAAUGGAACCUCUUACAUUACAUGUUUUCAUUUGUUUCUGUUUGCCAUAUGUAAUUAAAGAAAACAUGAAAAGAUUAUAUGUUGUGCUUUGUAAUUGCAUUUUUUGCUAAUUGCCCUAUCGGUUCCCUUUAAUGCAUUAAGGGGCGACUUACUCCGAGACACAGUGUGCAACCACGGAUUUUGUUAGACAGAUUUAGAGUUUCACAUCCGAACAAAGAACAAGCAGACUAAAAGAAAGUCUAAUUUGUGUCUAAUUGUGGGAAAUUAGUUAUUCAUUAAAAUGUUUUCAUAGUCAGAUUCUUUUAUGUUAAUCAGUGUGGCAGAAAACCAAUUACCUGGCUGAUUGGAUACUUAUUUAGAAAGUUUGAGAACAAAAAAGAAAAAGAAAAACCAUAUUGUAGCAGAUAAGAAGUGGUUAUAAAUGUAUUUACACAGCUCACACAAGCAGAUUCUUGAUGGUACUUAGAACUGUACUAGGCAGGCAUAUUCAGUAUAUUUUCAUGACAUUGGUUGGUCAUUCUCACCUUACCUAGAGGCUUUCAUUUCUCACAAUUACCCACCAGACAGCAGAGAGAGGAUUAUGGGAAAUAUAGUGGCUGGCUGUGGUGUGUACUGGGAGUGUAGAAAUGUACUUUGUGUUGGCUUUCUGUAACGUAUGAGGUUAUGUGUGACUGUGUGCACUGUAUUUGCGCCCCCCCGGUUCCAGGUUGUCCAUUGGGGGUUUAGUUCUUGUCAGAUGACUGGGGAGCGUGCAGUUUGUCCUCGUUGGAUUGAAAGAUCACAUGCUACCGGUCUCUGGUCACUCAAUGUCCGCUAGCAGCAGUCCUGUAGUUUAACUGUGACGAGGAUAAAAGCCCAAAAUAUUCUGCCUGUCCUGUGACCAGAUCUACUUGUCCCAGACAUCAGUCAAUAGGAAUUCCCCACCCCCAUUACUUAUGGAGCAAAACUAUAUAAAACUUAAAAACUAACUACGUUCUGUGCCAAUAUUGCAUGAGGUUUGUGCAGACCUCACCCAAAUCAGCACUGGAUGCCUGGUACAGCGUCGCUACGUUAUCACCUACACAAAACAACUUUCUUCCCAGGGUGUAUGAUCACUGGACACUCUAUAUACCUUAUUUUCCAGAGUGAUCAUCUUUUUCUGUAUCAUUUUCAAACCAUGUCUAAAUGUGUUCUAAUACAUUACUGUUUGUGUGUGUCUGUCUUUCAAGCUUCUAGUUGAUCUAUAUAUCCUGCAAUUCAUAUAUGUAUGUUUGUCUGUCUAUCAAUCAAUCUGCCCAUCCAUGUUUGUUUAGCCAUCUGAUCAUUACUUCAUAUAUUUACUUUGCUAUUUUAGUAACUUAACCCCUUACCGCCGUUACGGCGUUCUAUGCCGUCGAGGCUUUAAAGGGCUUUAAAGCCGUUGCGGCGGCAUAGAACGCCGUAACGGCUUAAUCCCCCAGGGGAUCGCAGCUACUUACCUCCGCUGCGAUCCUCUUCUGGAGGGCUGCCUGGCCGCCCAGGCAGCCCUCCUCCAGCGAAUAAGGCCCCCGGGGGCCAUGUGAUCGCUCUCAAAGAGCGAUCACAUGGCCCCCUAUAGCUGGCUGUGGAUCUGCCAGCAGGGGGGCUGUCUGAAAUAUCAGACAGUCCCCCUGCUGGUGGGAAAUGAAAAAAAUAAAUAACUAAACGUGUAAAAGUAAAUUAAAUAUAUAUAUAUAUAUAUAUAUAUAUAUAUAUAUAUAUAUAUAUAUAUAUAUAUAUAUAUAUAUAACGUCAUACGUUGUGUAUUUUAAUACUAAUAUUAGUAUAUAUAUUAGUAUUAAAAUACACUUAGAAUGACGUUACAUAUAUAUAAUAUGUAUAUAUAUAUUAUAUAUAAUAGAUAUCUACACAUAUAUUUUAUGUAUAUAUAUACGUAUAAUUACAUUAAUAAAUAAUUAAAAUAAAAUAAAUAAAAUAUUUAAACAAAAUUUUAUUAAAAUUAUAUAUUCAUAUGUAAUUUCAUUCUAACUGUAUUUUGUUGUUAAUAUAUAUAUAGGUAACAAAAUACACUUAGAAUGACAUUCUAUAUACCGUAUUUUCCGGCGUAUAAGACGACCCCCAACUUUUCCAGUUAAAAUAUAGAGUUUGGGAUAUACUCGCCGUAUAAGACUACCCCUCUUCCAAUGCACACCAAAUAAAAAUUAGCAAUGUACACUAUAUUUGACCCUGUAACUCUCCAAGACACCAUAAAACCCGUACAUAGGGGGUACUGUUUUACUCGGGAGACUUCGCUGAACUCAAAUAUUAGGGUUUCAAACUGGUAAAUUGUAUUACAACGAUGAUAUUUUAAGUAAACAUGACGUUUUUUGCUUUUUUUUACAAACAAACAGCACUUUUAUGGACUAUAUUAUUGUUGUAAUAUGUUUUACUGUUUUAAAACACUAAUAUUUGUGUUUAGUGAAGUCUCCCUAGAAUAACAAUACCCCCCAUGUACAGGUUUUAUUGUGUUUUGGAAAGUAAGAGAGUCACAUAUAAGGCUUGCAUUUCAUUUUUUUGACAUUGAAAUUUGCCAGAUUGGUUACGUUGCCUUUGAGAGCGUAUGGUAGCCCAAGAAUAAGAAUUACCCCCAUGAUGGCAUACCAUUUGCAAAAGUAGACAACCCAAGGUAUUGCAAAUGGUCAUUUUUAGUAGCCACUUAGUCACAAACACUGGCCAAAUAUUAGUUUUUUGCUUUUUUCACACAAAAACAAAUAUGAACGCUAACUUUGGCCAGUGUUUGUGACUAAGUGGCUACUAAAAAAGACUAAACAUACCCCACGUUCAAUACCUUGGGUUGUCUACUUUUUCAAAUGGUAUGCCAUUAUGGGGAUAAUUCUCAUUCCUGGGUUACCACACCGUCUCAAAGGUAACAUUACUAAUGUGGCAAAUUUCAAUUUGAAAAUGGAACGUUCAUAUUUGACCCUGUAACUUUCCAAAACACCAUAAAACCUGUUAAUGGGGGGGUACUGUUGUACUCGUGAGACAUCGCUGAUUACAAAUAUGUGCAUUUUUUUGCAGUAACACCUAACAGUAUUAUGACAUUAACAGCUAAAAUGUCAGACAGAAAUACAAAUGUAAAAAAAAAAUCUUAUUUUCUAAAAAAAAAUUAAAUUGUAUUCAUAAUAAAUGAUGUUCCAUAUCUGAAUAAUUAAUGAUAAUUUAAAGCCCUGUUUCUCCUGAACAAAAUGAUAUAUAAUAAGUGUGGGUGCACUUAAUGUGACAGCGGUGAAUUACGGGUGAACAGACAUAUAGCGCAAAUUCCAGUUUUUUACGUUUUUUUUUUUUAUCAGAACGUGCACUAUUGACUCCGUCCUGAAGGGGUUAAGGAAGGGAGCAUUCAUGGUGAGUGUACUUUCAAACCUCGUAGUUGCUGAUGCUGCACAGUAAUGUCUACUAAACAGGAUCAUUUGGUAACUGUACCUUGUGACAAGAAUCAGUGCUGUCAGUAGCCCCCAGCAUUCACUCCAGCAAUAUAUUUUUCCAUAACAAUACAACAACAAUUUAGCCACCAGCAAUGAAAUCUUAAAUCUUAAAUAGCUAAGCUAUUCAGAAACUGAUGUCAACAAUUUAAAAAUUAUAUCUCAACCCCCAAUUUUUAAAGUACUUUUGCUAAAUUGCAGACGUAUGCUUUUCUCUGAUUCUAAAUAUUAAGCUCUAAAGUUUGUCAUUUUCAUUUACCCCUUUUUUCUUCUUCGAUGUAAUAUGAAUGUUUUAUUUGCAAGCUUAGUUUGUCAUCAGGUCGUUCUUUUAAUUUACCGAGCCCUGGAAAUGGCCACCAUGUGACCUGGAGAGAUAUGCAUUGCAACGAACGUGAUGGCAAAUUAGAAUACAGCUCUGUUUCAAUGCAUGAGAUUCCAUUGGAUGAGAUGUCUCUGGCCUGCAGGUCUGUGGUCUCAGGAGCUCAGUCGAGUUGCUCCCCACUUGAAAGCAGGCUGUAUUAUAUUAUAUUUGUAGGUCACAGAAUCUGACACAGCUGGGGAAUAAAAUCGAUGUAAAGCGCUGGCCGUAUUCAGUAACCUUAGCAAACCACGUUACCGGCAUUGUUUUAAUGUUUGUUUAAUUAAAUCAAAGCGUGCGCAAUGCGUGUGAUCUCCAUGAAGCUGAUUUAGUAUAUCUCAUUAUAGGUAUUUAGGUAAGCUUAUUCUUUGCUACAUUUGUAGCCAGCUGAAAAGUUGUCACAGAUAUUUUUUUGCUAUAAAUACAUUUCUGUUAUGUUUUUUCAUUUUUAUAUUUUCCUUUCUCCCUCUAUCCCUCACAUCGGCCGUGCAGCCUCCGCCUUCAUCUUAAUUCCCCAUACAGAGCAGUGCAAAGCUAUUCAGAUCAUUUCUACUCACAAAAAAGCUAUUUGGUAUUUUUAUGGAUUUCGGCAUCUGUGGCUGCCAUGCUUACCAGGAUAGCACACACUCUUUAAUGGCAAACUAAAUGGCAGGGACAGCCUUAUUCUCAUCCCAACCUCAACCUAUGCUCCUUUAAACAUGUUCAGACAUCCCAACUGUCCCACUUUCAGCAGAACAGUCCCUGUUUUAGGCUCCUAUAAUACCAUCCUAAUUUUGUUCCCUGGUGUCCCUCCACAGUCCCCCAUCUCAGUCACAUACUACCAAAUAUUGAGAGGAAUGCAUUUUUUUAAGUGGAGCAUCAAAUAAUGUUGAUUUUUUAAUGAAAUAUUGAAUAACUAAAACAUUUACUCCUGCAUUAGAAUAUGUUUUGCUUCUAUGCGUGACAUCUGACAAUUUGUCAUUUACUUGCUUCCAUUCAAUGCUAUUUAUUCCAACAUGAAAACAUUCCAUAUUUGACACGCUGACAACUAAAACAUGAAAUUCAUGCUGUUUGUCUGUGUUUCCUGCUGUGAUAUCAUGUGCUCUUUAAAAGCUUCCGAUGCAUUAUGUUACAUUAUGAAUGUUGUAUGUUGACAAACCGUGUGCCCCUGUGUGCGAUGUUACUGUAGCCCUUCCUUCGUCUACGUGUUUGGAUAGGAGAUAUAUUAUAAUUAGCAGUAUUACUGAAGAAGAAACGUUUAAGUACAACCCUGGCACACUUUCUCUUUGCAUUGGAUAGAUCCUGUACCUCCGUUUGGCUUUCAGUAUCUUGUUAAAUAGAAUUAACAAGCUCAACGUUCUAGGUCUGUCUGUCAUUUAAUUAUUAGGAAACCAUACCGUAAACCUCGCUGGUGAAGGAGUCUGCUGGCAGCUCCAAGUGUGAAGGAGCCACCAUCACAUUCUCCUGAUUUAUUAUCUCACCCCUCACUCGUCACUGUGAGAUAUGAGUAAAAAGGACUGCUGAGUUACUUGUAAGCAGUGACUGUGGAUGGGAGUCUGUGAGUCAGCUUGGGACAUGCAGAACUGCAAGGGACUUAAAACUAGUUGUAGGGUUGCAGAGGUAAGCAGACAUUUAUGGUGUUGGAGAUACACAAUGCUCACACUGUAAUUUACACUGACUCUCUUACAGUUAACCUAUGUCAGAUGACACUGAGAGAGUUUACUGCGGUUCAAGCUGUAAUAGUACAAUACACUUAAUAAUACAAUAAGCUAUAAUAGUACAAUAAGCUGUAACAGUACAAUACACUGUAAUCAUACAAUAAGCUGUAAUAAAACAAUAAGCUGUAAUAGUACAAUAUACUGUAAUAGUAUAAUACACUGUAAUAGUACAAUAAGCUGUAAUAAUACAAUACACUGUAAUAAUACAAUAAGCUGUAAUAAUACAAUACGUUGUAAUCGUACAAUAUGCUUUAAUAGUACAAUACACUGUAAUAACACAAUACACUGUAAUCAUACAAUACACUAAUACAAUAAGCUGUAAUAAUAUACACUAUAAUAAUACAAUAAGCUGUAAUACAAUACACUGCAAUCAUACAAUAAGCUGUAAUACAACAAGCUGUAUUCAUACAAUAUGCUGUAAUCUUACAAUAAACUGUAAUAGUACAAUACACUGUAAUCAUUCAAAAAGAUGUAAACAUUCAUUAAGCUGUAAUAGUGUAAUACACUGUAAUCAUACAAUAAGCUGUAAUAGUACAAUACACUGUAAUACAAUAAGCUGUUAUAGUGCAAUACACUGCAAUCAUACAAUAAGCUGUAAUAGUGCAACACACUGUAAUAAUACAAUACACUGUAAUAAUACAAUAAGCUGUAACAGUACAAUACAAUUCAAUCAUACAAUAAGCUGUAAUCAUUUAAUAAGCUGUAACAGUACAAUACAAUUCAAUCAUUCAAUAAGCUGUAAUCAUUCAAUAAGCUGUAACAGUACAAUACAAUUCAAUCAUACAAUAAGCUGUAAUCAUUCAAUAAGCUGUAACAGUACAAUACAAUUCAAUCAUACAAUAAGCUGUAAUCAUUCAAUAAGCUGUAACAGUACAAUACAAUUCAAUCAUUCAAUAAGCUGUAAUAGUGCAAUACACUGUAAUCAUACAAUAAGCUGUAAUAGUACAUUGAGCACCGGUAAUGCAAUAAGCUGUCAUUAUACAAUAAAGGGCCACGUUAUGCACUAUGACCUCUUCAUCUUAUUGAAGUACUGAUCAGAUUAAUGUGUAAGCUUGGUUCCCUCAUUCAGUGUUCUCUCAAACCAUUCACAAAUGAUUUAGCACUGAAGAGAGGAACAGGGCUAGGGGACUCAAAGCACUAAAUGCAAUGAGAUGAAGUAUUUCUAGUGCCAAGAGUGUUUCUAUAAGCUGUAAUGAUACAAUAAGCUUUAAUAAUACAGUAAGUUAUGAUUACAUAAGGGUAUUAUAAUACAAUGAAUUAAAGAUAGAAUGAGCUGUAAUGUUACAAUUUGUUGUUAUCCUACAGACUGUACACUGUUUGAGCCGGGUCCUCUUCAACCUAUCGUUCUUGUACGUUUUUUUUAAUUGUCCUAUUCAUAGUUACAUCUCCCCUCCUAUAAUAUUGUAAAAGCGCUACAGAAUCUGUUGGCGCUAUAUAAAUAGCAAUAAUAAUAACAAUAAUACAAUCGUAUGUAUUGGUUGCAGUGCUUGGAUUGUUCCUUUAAACAAUAGAGUUGCUUGAAAAUCAAUGAGUUUUGUUUAUGUGUAGGUAGAUAUAAUAUAGACAUCUGAAGAUAGAUAAUUAUUUAUAUAGUUACCCCCCAAACAGCAUAUACUGUGUUUAUGUAGCAAUUCAUUGCUGAGUGGCUGUUUUUGUUUUUAUAGUGUGUAUAUAUAUAUAUAUAUAUAUUUUAUUACUAUCCUCACAAUGCUUGGUUUGCCUCACUCCAUAUGUUUUCCACAUCCAUGCAGUAUUUAGGUAAAGGUAUCAGUGUUUAUUUUUAAAAUACCUUCGGGCUAAAGAGCUUCACAUUAAUACAAAACGUGGUGGAGAACAAUCAGCACUUUAUUUCCAGGAUGCAAUUGAAUUAUAUGCCGUAUACCGUGAAGGGAAGAUCACUUUUUCAACUGUUUAAGGGAAUUUUACCUACUCGUAACAGGCGUUCCGUUGACACGCUCUAAACAUGACCGUUUGGCAAAUAAAUUGCUGAACAGCAGGAAAAGAUUUCCUGUGAUUUCUGGCAUUGAAAGAAGCUGUAAAUGUAGCAUGGUCCUAAUUUAAAGACACUUUGACACAUCAUAAUGAUUACCAGUUAUUUGUAGAGCAAUGUUAAGUCAUAGUCCAGACUAUAUCAAAUCUUACAAUAUCCUAUUAUGGCUGGCGUUACAAACAUAAUGGGACAUUUUAUUUUAUUUGUAAUAUUUUACAAGCCCAAUGGUUUAUUCCUUCUUAUCGCUUUUAUUUCAUUGAUAGAGUUAAAAAAGUCAGAUGAAAAACUUUUAAUGAAAAAGAGAAAGGUUAUUGAUGUGUGAAGAUUUCUGAUGACUGUGAUAUCAGAACACAGUACUUGCAAUGUAAAAUGUACAUCAUAGGAAUUACACAGCAGUUGUAGAUGGCCGGUUCAGAAGCAGAGAUAUUAGUUUAAUGAAUCCUUUUAUAACAUAAUGUUUUACUUAAAUCUCUUAGUUUUAAAAUAUACCAGUAUACAAUGAAGUCACACUAUUUAACACUAUUACCCUCUGGGUGCGUCAACAGGCAGUUCUGCUAGAUCUGAAUCUACAUAUUGAUGAGAAUAAUGUUAGUUGUGGUCCAGACUCUAUCAAACCUCACAUUAUUCUAUCGUGACUGGUCCUAAUGGGAUAUUUUAUUUAUACUCUCUUUAUAGAACCCGUUGGUUUAAUCUCCUUUAUAAAGUGUUAAAAAAGACAGUUGAUAAACACGUUUAUCAAGAUGGAGUGGGUAAAGGAUAUCGAUACAAGAAGAUUUCCGAGGGUUCUGGUUUUAGUAGCAUAUUUCCAUUGCACUAUACAGUAUAAGAAUUACACAGCAUUUGAAAUAUAAAGUAAACAACAAUGGCCAACGCCGCACUAUCAAUACUUGGUUGUCAAAAAUACAAUAUAGGCUAUUGGCAUCAAUAUUAUUUUAGGCCUUUAUCCAAUCAAUGUCAGUAAAUGGACAGAAUGUGAAAUUGUGAAAACAAAAGUAUUUGCCAUAAACACUUGUCGCUUAUUCCUUUUUGUUUGCUUGAAUGAGUGCUAUAUGUAAUAACAUGUAAUGUGUUUAGAUCCGUAUUGAUACAUAUAAGAUCCACAUGCGUGUUCGUUGUAAGCAAGUUCUACAUAUUGGAGGGAACGUGCCCUCUUCAGAGGCUGCCGCUUGGAUAAAAGGUAUAAUUAUAUCCUGUAUUCCUGUAUCCUUGUUACGUUAAAAAUACACCAAAAUUGAACUCCACAUAAUACCACAUAUUUCAUAUAAUAGCAGUUCACUAUAGAAAAUGACCUUGCUUGAAAGAAAUGUCUGUUCUUUUCAGUAAGAUCGAACUUUCUUGUUAUUUUAAUGUUUUUGUUCCAGGAAAUGAUUCAUGAACAAUUUAUUUUACUUGGUAGCACAUUUAGCAGAGUGAACUGGGGGAGAUGAGGAUAAACAGUGCGGUGUAAGGGUGAGACUCACUCCUGUUGUUCGGAACAUACUAUAUUCAGCAAACGCUGAAUGUUCAACCUAUUCUGAGAAUCUGCUACCAUAAUUGCUAUAUUUUGUAUAAAGACAAACUUGUGUCAAUUAUUUUAUUUUCACCAAUAAAUGUCAAUCCACCUCCCAGUGUAUCCCUGUUUGUAUAUUGUGAUACAUAGUUAUUUCAGCUUCAUUCUUUAAGGCCAUAUAUUUUUGAAAACUAAAAAGCUAAAAAAAAAAAAUUAGCUUUAGACUUCUUCCGUCUCGGUGAGUUAAAGUUCUUUUUAUUUGAGAAUUUUGUUCACUUAUUUUAAAACUGACUUCGCAAUGUCAUAGAUAAAUAAUUUUAGAGAUUGUAAGCUCAUUUGAGUAUUCUGUAUGUCAUUUAUUUGCUGUCAAUUAUCCCCGUUCUAUAACUGAAAAGAGCUGCGGAAUUUGAUGGAGUUAUAUAAAUAGUUUUUCCUUGUGUAUUCAAAUUCUUUCAAAACAUCAAAUGUUGACAUUCAUGACAUUCAAAGUGGUCAGUUUUUUGGCUUUCCAUGUAACUUAACAUUUUUGUCCAUAAUUCUUGAAACACCUCUACCAAGUUUUGGCUUCUAAUCGUGAAGGGCUGAGUCAUGCGGAACCUGGUCGAGGAAGGUGCCGCUGCGAGGGUCCCUGAGAUUGGUGUGGGCACGUCUGGGGCACUGGCAAGUUUGGCGGACUUUGCAGUGCCCACUGAGACAGAGACCAGCUUUUUUCCCAUGGGCGGGCUCUCUGUGCCUGGAAGACAAAUGGACGGUCCCUUUUUCACACGCUUGGUCUUCCAGGUACAGAGGCUAAUGGAAUGAAGACCCCUCGCCCCCCUGUCCCCGGAUGUGGAGAACUCUGUGUUUGGGUGGCGGGCUUUUGGAAACAAAGUAACAAAGCCCUUUCCCGCAUUAGGUUUCCUGGGAGGGGGCAUUGUAUACAUCCCUUGCAUGUGGUUGUGUUUAAAAGCCGUAAGUGGCCAAUAAAGUGGUGGUUGUACCUCCAGAACUGUGUGUCAUCCAGUUGCUGUGGGAAAAUGGGCCGCUUUAUAUCCUAAAUGGUUCCUGUUCAGCUAAAGGAAGGGAAAUAGCGGAGGUGACCCGGUCGAGUUACCAGGUGGUCCGCUACAAUAACAAUACACUUAAAACCUAUCUAUAGAAGGUUUCUGUGUUCAGGCUAGGUGAGCACAGUUACUGUAAGAAAAGUACAAAUGAGAACUAUAUGAAAGCCAUCUUUAUAAGGAGUACUGUACUUAAAAUGAAUUCUGUAAAAAUAAACCAGUGAUAUUAAUUAUUACUUCUGUCAGAAAGUCCUGUUUGAUUCUGUUUAAUAAUCUUUGUGAAAGCCUUUCCUCAAGGACUGAGCAGACUCCAUGGGUGUCUUGUGUUUCUAUUAAUUGUCUCACUAUGCUUCUCCUUUUUGUCCAGCUGUGCUACACACCCCGGUUUCCUACACCAGUGGUCAAAGAGAAACUGUAGUUUCUCACACUUAUUAUUAUUUGAAAUCUCUUUUGUCAUGGAUGAGAAAGCAUAUCAAAGCACUGCUUUUCCCAGGAUGUGUCUGGAUUUUUUUUAUUUGCCUCUGCAGGCAACUUCAAUUUUUACAAUGGUGGAGAAUGCCAAAACAGUUUUAAUUCCUUCACCUACAGGCUAAACAAGGUUAAUGUGCAGAUAGCAAAGAAAAAAAGAUAUAAUUCAUAGUGCUGCAUGGAAAAAAAAGGAAUAAAUCUUUUAAAACAUUGCUGGUCAGCUUUGAAAGGGAUGACAGAAUCAUAUCAUUCUCUCCAUGCUUCGUAAGCUUUUUAUAAUCAAAUGUUGAAUGCCAGCAUUUUAAGCAGCGUAUGUGGUUUAAAUAAUAAAAAAAUAGGAAUAAUAAAAAAAAGUGUAGAAUAAUGAAAACUAAUGUUCCGCAUCAUGGAAUCUCCACAAUAACUGAUGAUAAGAACAUGCUUGCCUCAAGCAUUUUAUUAAAAUGGUCUAUAAACAUACUGUUUUAAUUUUUAAUAAAAUCUUUUAUUGGCCCUGUGACCAGUUAGCUGCGGAAGAAUUCCACUUACUGACCAUUGUUUGUGUCUUACACACAAUUUCCACUGCCCUAUCCAGAAAUAUUACUUUUCUGCUUUUCUGAUAUCAAUAGGACUUUAUUAUAUUUUUUGUCACAUCAAUGGGAACUCUUUGCUGUUUAACACAUAACACAUCAUUUUGACUAUAAAAUAAUUAAAGUAUUUUGCAAAACGGACAUAUCUUCAUCAUUUAGAAACCAGACAUUAUAUGCCACAUGACAUGCAAGAUUCUCUCACCCAAAACUAAGCCAUAUGAUUUAACACCCACCGGUAUUCAUCCAUUGACAUAUCUUUUUAUGACUCCUCAACAAAGGUCUUUGGUUAAAGAUUUAGUGUAGGUAAAAAGUGACCAUAUUUUAAAGCACACAUUUCAGGUUAAGACACUCUAAUCCGAUAUGUAUUUUAUUCCCAAAUUGCAGUUCUAAUCAUCAUAUUGGAACUGCUCAAUAAAUUGAUAGCAGCCAUAUCACAGCUGAUAUCAAUGAUCCAGCCUGUUGUAUUGCUAAAUAAACCAGGCUGUGAUAUAGUAUAGACCGAGAAGUGGACCGCACAUGCGCAGUUCAAAGCACGACUCAUACUCCGUAGAUUGGAGAGAACUUUCCCAAUUGAGUGUGUGCAGCGGGCCAAUGCUAAACUCACAAUAGCGGCAAAAUUGAUGUUGGCAAGCAAGAGUUCCAAGAUACAUGUUUGACCACUGCUUAUUAAUGCGUAGUACCAAUAAUUGACAGACAAUGGUCAUAUGUUACUCUUUUUUUCUUGAGAUGGGUGUUUUUGUAAGCUUGUAGAUUUAAGUCUGUAUACAAUUUCUGUAUAUCCUUUUCAUUAUUAGGCAUUGCAUGUCUCGGGUUGUGCUUCCCAUAGCUACUGGUUUUUAGUUGAGUGCAUUUUAUACAGAAUAUCAAAGAGACGCAUCAUGAACCCAAGGCGUGUGUAUUUAAAUAUAGGGCUUCUUGCAAACCCACUAGGAAUAACCAGGUAGCUACAAUUUUGGCAACUCGCUGGUUCUUCUGUUAAUAUAAGAUCAUAUUCUAACAGUCUGUAGUGUUUACUAAUCUGUAGCAUCAGCACUAUAGAAACAUUCAAAGCACUUCAUCCAACCAUGUACUGACCAUGAGGCAGCAUCCAGAGAAAGCCCAGUGGACCACCAGUGAAAAGUGUAAACAAUGGAACAACCAAUCAACAUCAUCAAAUGUAAUUAUUGACAGUCUAUCAAAUGUAUAAAAAGUACACGAUCCUUGCUCAUAGCCAAUAAUCAUAAACUCUAAUUUAUUGAUCAAGAGGCUGAAGUGUGGCCAAAGUCAAGGAAUAGCACAAAAUAGUUACAUAGUAACAGCUGAAAAGAGACUUGCGUCCAUCAAGUUCAGCCUUCCUCACAUUUGUUUUUUGCUGUUGAUCCAAAAAAAGGCAAAAAAAAAAACAGUUUGAAGCACUUCCAAUUUUGCAACAAGCUAGGAAAAAAAUUCCUUCUUGACCCCAGAAUGGCAGUCAGAUUUAUCCUUGGAUCAAGCAGUUAGUACCCUACAUUGAAAGAUUAUAUCCUUGAAUAUUCUGUUUUUGCAAGUAUGCAUCUAGUAGCUGUUUGAACAUCUGUAUGGACUCUGAUAAAACCACUUCUUCAGGCAGAGAAUCCCACAUCCUUAUUGUUCUUACAGUAAAAAAAACAAAAAACCUUUCCUUUGCCUUAGACGAAAUCUUCUUUCUUCCAGUCUAAACACAUGACAUCAUGUCCUAUGUAAAGUCCAGUUUGUGAAUAGAUUUCCCCGAAUAUAUUUGUAUAAUGUUAUCAUAUCCCCUCUCAGGCGACGUUUUUCUAAACUAAGUUGGUAUAAAUUUGUUAACCUUUCUUCAUCGCUCCUCCAUAAUGCUGCUCUCGAACGCUAACAGGAAGUGAUGAUUUGCGUUCCACGGUGGAACAGAGGAAGUCCCGCAUUAUGGCUGAAUGCCCACGAAUUUGAAAUACUGAACAGUAUUUUAACAAGGAAUAUACUGUCUAGCAACAUAUCUCUAAGCAAUGACCAUGGCAUAAGUCCAGCCCCCAGUGCUGCAGAUAUAGCCAGGCUAGAAAGAAUUGGAACUGCAGUGGCUCAAAGGCAGAUAGCAGGCCCAGGACAGCAAAGUUUGGCACUUAUGGAGUGGCCUCUUCUAGCCGUCUGUAUGACACGGUGAGAACCGUGACACCUAGUAGCUAAUGUCAAUGUUACUUGAUGUGACUCACUCUGAAAGAGCACAACAAAUAUCAGUUUUAGCAAGUUUAUUGGCUAUCCAGAAGAGAAUUUCCUUCAUAUUGCAUUGUAUUUCUAACAAGCUCCUAAGGAGAAAUUAAAUGAUUUGGAAGGAAAUGUAAGGACAUACCUAUGAUUGGACCUGCUGAGCGAUUUUAAUUAAAAAUAAGUCAAGCAUCACAAAAGUGUACACAUCUUUAUGGUUAUGUCUGGUGACAAUGGCUGAGUUAAUGUGAUCAUAUUAAAGUCACAGGUGUGAAAAUUGGGGGAAAAAUUUCAUUUUAACAGUUUUGUUUCCCAUACAAGAAUGGCAAGAAUAUCCAUUAAAAGACAGUAACAUGCUGUAACCCUAAGCACCUCAAAACUAACUACGCAGAUAACGUCAAACUAUAUAAACCCCAUCUGAUUUUUAAUCCUUAAUUAGAAUUAAAGCUUAUUACUUUGUCUUUAUACAUGUCUUUAUCAAACGUAGACUAUACAUACUUGUGUUAGUGUAAGUUUAAGGUUUAUAGUUUGGGUUAGUGUUAGUGUAAGCUUAAGGUUUAUAGCUUGGGUUAGUGUUAGUGUAAGCUGAAGGUUUAUAGCUUGGGUAAGUGUUAGUGUAAGCUGAAGGUUUAUAGCUUGGGUUAGUGUUAGUGUAAGCUUAAGGUUUAUAGCUUGGGUUAGUGUUAGUGUAAGCUGAAGGUUUAUAGUUUGGGUUAGUGUUAGUGUAAGCUUAAGGUUUAUAGUUUGGGUUAGUGUUAGUGUAAGCUGAAGGUUUAUAGUUUGGGUUAGUGUUAGUGUAAGCUUAAGGUUUAUAGCUUGGGUUAGUGUUAGUGUAAGCUGAAGGUUUAUAGCUUGUGUUCGUGUAAGCUGAAGGUUUAUAGCUUGUGUUAGUGUAAGCUGAAGGUUUAUAGCUUGGGUUAGUGUUAGUGUAAGCUUAAGGUUUAUAGCUUGGGUUAGUGUUAGUGUAAGCUUAAGGUUUAUAGCUUGUGUUCGUGUAAGCUGAAGGUUUAUAGCUUGGGUUAGUGUUAGUGUAAGCUGAAGGUUUAUAGCUUGUGUUCGUGUAAGCUGAAGGUUUAUAGCUUGGGUUAGUGUUGGUGUAAGCCUAAUGUUUAUAGUUUGGUUUAGUGUUAGCCUAAGGUUUAUAGUUUGGGUUAGUGUAAGUUUAAGGUUUAUAGUUUGGGUUAAUGUUAGUGUAAGCCUAAGGUUUAUAGUUUGGGUUAGUGUUAGUGUAAGCCUAAGGUUUAUAGUUUGGGUUAGUGUUAGUGUAAGCCUAAGGUUUAUAGUUUGGGUUAGUGUUAGUGUAAGCCGAAGGUUUAUAGUUUGGGUUAGUGUAAGCGAAGGUUUUUAGUUUGGGGUAGUGUUAGUGUAAGCUUAAGGUUUAUAGUUUGGGUUAGUGUUAGUGUAAGUUCAAGGUUUAUUGUUUGGGUUAGUGUUAGUGUAAGCUUAAGGGUUAUAGUUUGGGUUAGUGUAAGCCUAAGGUUUAUAGUUUCAGUUAGUGUUAGUGUAAGCUUAAGGUUUAUAGUUUGGGUUAGUGUUAGUGUAAGCCUAAGGUUUAUAGUUUGGGUUAGUGUUAGUGUAAGCUUAAGGUUUAUAGUUUGGGUUAGUGUUAGUGUAAGCCUAAGGUUUAUAGUUUGGGUUAGUGUUAGUGUAAGCCUAAGGUUUAUAGUUUGGGUUAGUGUAAGCUGAAGGUUUAUAGUUUGGGUUAGUGUUAGUGUAAGCUUAAGGGUUAUAGUUUGGGUUAGUGUUAGUGUAAGCCUAAGGUUUAUAGUUUGGGUUAGUGUAAGCCUAAGGUUUAUAGUUUGGGUUAGUGUUAGUGUAAGCUUAAGGUUUAUAGCUUGUGUUAGUGUAAGCUGAAGGUUUAUAGCUUGGGUUAGUGUUAGUGUAAGCCUAAGGUUUAUAGAUUGGGUUAGUGUUAGUGUAAGCUUAAGGUUUAUAGCUUGUGUUAGUGUAAGCUGAAGGUUUAUAGCUUGGGUUAGUGUUAGUGUUAAGCCUAAGGUUUAUAGUUUGGGUUAGUGUUAGUGUAAGCUUAAAUAGCUUGGGUUAGUGUUAGUGUAAGCUUAAGGUUUAUAGUUUGGGUUAGUGUUAGUGUAAGCCUAAGGUUUAUAGUUUGAUUUAGUGUUAGUGUAAGCUUAAGGUUUAUAGUUUGUGUUAGUGUUAGUGUGUUUAAGGGUUAUAGUUUGCUUAGUGUUAGUAAGCUAAGGUUUAUAGUUUGUGCUAGUGUAAGCUUAAGGUUUAUAUAGCUUGUGUUAGUGUAAGCUGAAGGUUUAUAGCUUGUGUUAGUGUGUCGUAAGGUUUAUAGUUUGGGGCUAGUGUUAGUGUAAGCUUAAGGUUUAUAGUUUGGGUUAGUGUUAGUGUAAGCUGAAGGUUUAUAGCUUGGGUUAGUGUUAAUGUAAGAUGAAGGUUUAUAGCUUGGGUUAGUGUUAGUGUAAGCCUAAUGUUUAUAGUUUGGUUUAGUGUUAGCCUAAGGUUUAUAGUUUGGGUUAGUGUAAGUUUAAGGUUUAUAGUUUGGGUUAGUGUUAGUGUAAGCUGAAGGUUUAUAGCUUGGGUUAGUGUUAGCCUAAGAUUUAUAGUGUUAGUGUUAGCCUAAGGUUUAUAGUUUAAGUCAGUGUUAGUGUAAACUUAAGAUUUAUAGUUUGGGUUAGUGUUAGUGUAAGCCUAAGGUUUAUAGUUUGAUUUAGUGUUAGUGUAAGCUUAAGGUUUAUAGUUUAAGCUAGUGUUAGUGUAAGCUUAAGGUUUAUAGCUGCCUAAGCUACUGUGCUUAAGGGUUAUAGUUUGGGUUAGUGUGCUCUAAGGUUUAUAGCGUUUGGGUUAGUGUAAGCUUAAGGGUUAUAGUUUGGGUUAGUGUAAGCCUAAGGUUUAUAGUUUGAGUUAGUGUUAGUGUAAGCUUAAGGUUUAUAGUUUGGGUUAGUGUUAGUGUAAGCCUAAGGUUUAUAGUUUGGGUUAGUGUUAGUGUAAGCUUAAGGUUUAUAGUUUGGGUUAGUGUUAGUGUAAGCCUAAGGUUUAUAGUUUGGGUUAGUGCUAGUGUAAGUUUAAGGGUUAUAGUUUGGGUUAGUGUAAGCCUAAGAUUUAUAGUUUGGGUUAGUGUUAGUGUAAGCUGAAGGUUUAUAGUUUGGGUUAGUGUUAGUGUAAGCUUAAGGUUUAUAGUUUGGGUUAGUGUAAGUUUAAGGUUUAUAGUUUGGGUUAGUGUUAGUGUAAGUUUAAGGUUUAUAGUUUGGGUUAGUGUUAGUGUAAGCUUAAGGGUUAUAGUUUGGGUUAGUGUUAGUGUAAGUUUAAGGUUUAUAGUUUGGGUUAGUGUAAGUUUAAGGUUUAUAGUUUGGGUUAGUGUUAGUGUAAGCUUAAGGUUUAUAGUUUGGGUUAGUGUUAGUGUAAGCCUAAGGUUUAUAGUUUGGGUUAAUGUUAGUGUAAGUUUAAGGUUUAUAGUUUGGGUUAGUGUUAGUGUAAGCUGAAGGUUUAUAGUUUGGGUUAGUGUUAGUGUAAGCUUAAGGUUUAUAGUUUGGGUUAGUGUUAGUGUAAGCCUAAGGUUUAUAGUUUGGGUUAGUGUUAGUGUAAGCCUAAGGUUUAUAGUUUGUGUUAGUGUUAGUGUAAGCUUAAGGUUUAUAGUUUGGGUUAGUGUUAGUGUAAGUUUAAGGGUUAUAGCUUGGGUUAGUGUAGCAUGGAUUUAGAGCUUGGGUUAGUGUAGCAUGGAUUUAGAGCUUGGGUUAGUGUAAGCAUUAGUUUUAAAGCUUGGGUUAGUGUGUCCCUGUAAGCAUUAUCAUUAUAGCUUUGGUUAGUGUAAGCAUUGGGUUUACAGCUUGGGUUAAUGUAUGGAUAUAGCUUGGGAUAGCGUUGGUGUAAGAAUUAUGAUUAUAGCUCUAAAACAGAGCUUCUUCUCUUUCCUCCUCAUAAUACUGAGCCUCUUCUUUCGCUUUCCCUGCAAGUUGAUGGUACCUGUAUCAGCCUGUCCCUGCAAGCCCGCUGUCUUGGUGUUAUCUUUGAUCCUGGCCCUUAUAUUUGUGCCUCAGAUCCAGUCUCUUUCUAAAAUCUGUUGAUUCCACCUUAAAAACAUUGCCUGAGACUGCCUUCUCCUUUUGCUGCCAAGGAGCUUGUUCAUGCUCUAAUUUCUCGCAUGUAUUAUUGUAAUUCUCCUAACUGGUCUCCCCAAAAGCCCUACUGCCCCCCUACAAUCUGUAAUGAAUGCUGUUGUCAGGCUGGUCUUUCUCUUCUGUCGCUCCUCCCAUACGUCGCCCCUUUGUCGAUCCUUACACUGGCUUCCUGUAUCCUAUAAGUGUCAAUUCAAAAUACUAACCCUUACCUAUAAAGCUCUAUAGAUGAAAUUUCUUCACUGUUUCCCAAGUAUGCCCAUUAUUGGUCUCUCCACUCUACUUGUGACAUUCUCCUGUCUGCUGCUCGCACCCUUACUGCUACCUUACUCUUACAGGAUGUUUCACAGACUGUCCUUUUCCUUUGGAACAGUCUGCAUUCCCAAUCAGACUGUCCCCUAGUCUUUUGUUAUCAUCCCAUUUAUUGUUAAAUUACAAUUAAAUUUCCCCCUUCCAUAAAAUUGUAAAGCGCUCUAUAAAUGCCAAUAAUAAUAAUAGCUUAAGUUAGUUUUAGGAUUAACGUGAGGUUAUGAUGUCCGCAGCCAAUCAGAUUCUGUAGUUUGUAGAGUAGCGCCCACCUUUUCACUUUGUGGGGUACAAAGAAUGGUUAUUUACACUCCUAGAUCAAUCUCUGUUCCUGAUGUUACCAGGAAGUCCACACGCUGUACAAACAGCUGUUAAAUUAUUAUAAAAUGGUGCAUAUACUAUUUCUGAUUACAGAGCCACUGUAACCUGGUAUACAUUGAAUACUGCACUCUCCAUUAAGUCUGUAUUAUGUACAAACCUAUAAUAAUUAUCCUUUACCUGUUCUGUGUUAAUAUAAUUGUCAUAAGCAUGCUGUCUUAUUAAUAAAAUAAAAAAAUCAGUUUCAUGCUUUCUCCAGCUGUCUUGUCUCACCUAGCACCUGUGAAAAUGUAUUUAAUUAUGCAUUACACUUUUUUUUUUUUUUUAAUCUGGAAAUGUUUAACGGUUUUAUCUUCAAAUACUACUUUUCUUCUUACUACUUAUUGGUGAUUAUAGCUGUGUGCUGUCUAAUCGUUAUUCAUGCAUUAUAUAAAGACCUUGGGAUGGGAGGAUUAAAAGAUUUCUUUCUGUGUAAUCCUGUUAAAAUUUUGUUGGAAAUCUGAAUGUACAGGGCACGUUUCUCAGUAAUUUCAAAACUUUAAAUGGAAGAAGAAAUAAGGAAAAUUUAAACCAUACUUACUUUUCCUGGCUAUUAUUCAUGGCAGCAACGCUUAUGGGUAGCUCCAAGCUCUGCCGAUACAGGACAGGAAAUCUUUAAAUAGAUUGCAAGUAUGAAAGUCCCCUCUACGUGCAAACCACAGUCUUUUUGAAAAGCUCAAGGAGUUAAGUAAGUAUGGUUAAGACUCCUCUACCAAAAGAUGUGGUUCAGUAAGAUGAAAAUCUAUGAAGAGCAAGGGCUUGCCCUGCAAAUGUCAUCUGAACGUACUUCUACCGAAGUAGACCGAGAACUGGUAGAAUGAGGUUUGAUCUUCUCUAUAUGAGUUAACUUUUUUAGUUGAUAAGCCUUAGAGAUGAUAUUUGAAAUCCAAUGCCUCAGGGAACAGGCUGAAGAUGCUUCCUCUUUUCGUGAUCCUGAUGGAAGAAUAAAUAAUUGAAGUGGUUUCCUAAAUUUCUUGGAUACAAUUGUUUUUUUUUUGUUUUUUUUAUGAGGCAGUGUUUCCCAUCCAGUACAUAAAGUUUAAAUGAAAUCACAGAAGAUGAUUCUGGAUAAAAUUAAGGCAGAACUACUUCCUGGUGAAUGUGGAGGUUAGACAUAACUUUAGAUAAGGAGAUCUUGCCUUGGUUUCAACAACACUAUAACAUGAAAAAUGUACAUAUGAAGAAUAUACUUGUAUCUCAGAUAUUAACUUUUUUUUCACAGUUUUGCAAGUCAAUAAAAUCAGAUUAAGGUCCUUUAAAGAAUUAAGAGGAGGCUUUCAGGACUUGUAGGGUCAGAAUUCUAUGUAGACUGUCUGAUAUGCAUAGCGGCCUUAAAGAAUGUUGAAAUUAGUGGAUCUGAAGUCCAUGAGGUAUUACAGAGGACUGAUAAUGCAGAGAACUGCACAUUCAAACUGCUGAGGCUCAUACCUUUCUACAGUACUGCUUGCAAAAAGGUUAUGAGAAGGGUGUAGGAAGUCAAAAGACUCUUCUUUGGCCCAAAUGCUCAAGGUUUUCCAAAUACGAUAACAAGCUGAAGUAGAUUUUUUUUCUAGAUCUAAGGAGAGUAUUAACUAUUGCUUCAGAUAAGUGGUUUAAGAACUCUCCUUUUCAAGAGCCAUGCCCCCAAAUGUAGCUGACUCUUGUAGUAGCAGACCAAUGUCUUUGGAAAAUUCCAUGGGUGUUCCAAGCUCAUUCUGCAAAUAAGUGAAUACCAUGGUCUCCAUUUUGCUAAACGUUUAAUGUAAAUUUGACCUUCUUAUCUUCUCUUCAUAUUUUCUUUAAUAAGUAAUCAAAGGCAGGUGAAAGGAUACCUCUAUAUCAAAGAUCCAAGUUUGUGAUAUGCCAUCAUGUUCUACUAAUAUUGAAUCCUGAAAUAAGGAAGAGUUACUGGGAACUUUGGGAUUCUUGGAAUUGGCCAUGAGAUGGAACCAAGGUAUAUGUGAUAUUUGUCGAAAAACUUCUGUGUUCAAUCUCCAUUCUCCUGGAUUUAUUAUCGAUCUGCUCAAAUAAUCUACUAAUAUGUUCUCUGAUCCUGGGAGUUAACCCGCUUUCAGUCUCUUGAGAUGCUUCUUGGCCAUUCUCAUCAACAGAAUAAAUUCUGCCAGGAUCCGGUUGCUGUGAGUGCAUCCUUCAUGAGAAGCUGCAACCACACUGUUUUUGUUUGGAUCAUCACCCAUGGUUUUGCUAGUAUGUGUAGAAAUUCUUUGGGAGCUUUGGAGAUGGCUUUUAACUCUUGGAGACAGGAAAACAACUUUUUCAAUUUGCUGAUCCGUAUCCCUUGCGUACAUAUUUCCAUUAUGGCCUUUGAAGGCUGGCAUCUGUACUAACAAUUUGCACAUUGUUUUUUCCAGUGUAGAAUAAUUUUUUCAUAUGUUUCUCUGACCUACCAUUUCAGUUUCUUUUUCACUGAGGUAGGAAUCUGAAUCUUCUGUUCCCAGGUGUUUUCCCUUCGGUUUAAUUGCCUUCAAAGCUCCAUUUGAAUUGAACUAGUGUUCCAUCAGGCCCAUAUUACUAUUCCUGUAGUGGACGUAAGUGAACCUAGAAGUAGUUCCUUGCAGGGAUAUAAUUAUUUUUUGUGAAGUGACAUAAUAUUUCUCUUGAAUUUUUAUUAUCCUUUCUGGGGAUAGUUUUACAGUGGCAUUCAUAGCAUUUAUAACAGCUCCUAGAACUGUUGUCUGGUGAUAUGAAAUCAGCAACCUUUUCUUAUCAUCCAACUAUGGUUCAGAAGAAUUUUCCUCAGAUUCAAUGGGAAAAAAAACUUCUAUUCUGUAUCAGUUUGUUAACGUCUGUUAGUUUGCUGUAGCUUUAAAGCCUUCUGUUAUAGCCUGAUGGCUCCAUCUUUUUAAGAUGCUCACAAGGAGAGCCCAUUUUAAGUUGCUCUUCUGCUACCUCAGGGAGACAUAUUUUACACACUAUCUUUCCUUCUGGAGUAAUUUGGUUACAGCCCAUGUGGCAUUUCGUUUUUUUUUUUUAUUUGUUUCAUUUGAGACUUGUCUUGAAUCUUGCUUGGGCUGCAAAGAUAUAAGCCAUACUGCAUUAUGUUUAGGCCAAUGGGCUCCCUUUUAUGUCCCCUUAAAAAUACUUUGGCUCACUUAUGUCUUCUAGGUUCCGAAUGUCUGAAGGUAGAGGCAAAAGCCAUUCUAAGAGAGAGAAAAAAGAUUCCCCAUGAAGCGUAUACACAAUAAAAGCAUAUGAUUCUAUAGAAUUGGCUCCAAAAGCCUAUACCAGGAAAGACGGAUUAUACUGAUGUAGAACUAAUAAGAAACGGUAUGCUUAUUCACCUAAAGAACCGUGAAAAUAUGAACUGGGCAGCACACUGUAACUAAUGGGUACAUAAAGGGAAAGGGCAAUAUUCACUUUAAAUUUCCCUGUUUAGAAAAGAGCGAUCUAUCCCUUUAGGUGGGGAAUACGAUUUGUGCAUGCUUAGUGGUUAAUGGCAAACUCUCUUCCCAUGAGAGCAGAAGAACCCAUAAUGUGUGGCUUCACCACUUGGAAGAAGACUUGGCACGUGGAGGGGGGGGGGAUCAAUAACCACAACAAAAUAAAGGAGCACAGGAACUGAGAAGCAUAACGGAGAUGCUAAGCUCACCCUGGAAUGGAAUGAAAAAUUAAGUAAAUAAGGAGUUUCUCUCAAGAAAUUGAUCUGUCUAAGAAGGCCUUGCAGCUCAUAGGGGGCAAAAAAUGCAUUUUAAGGCCAAAGCCAACCCUCCAGGGCUUAAUCCAAUAGAGCGAAAGAUUCCCACUUUGUGGUUCAGUAUGUAAUACUGAACCUACCUCGGUUACUCCUGCUCUUGAAGAAGGUUUAAUUAGUUCUUCAGACAUAUAGAGGCUUAACUUCGUCUUGUGUGCCACUGGUAUACCAAAAGAGGAGUACAGAAAAGAAAGCUGGUGGAAUGGAAGGAGAAGGGAACUUUUAUAUCUCCAGUCUCUUUAAUUAUUUAUUGUCCUGUACCAGCUGAGGCUGGAGCUACCCGUCAGUGAUGAUGACAUAAUUAGCCAGAAAAUAAUUUGUAUUUGAUUUUUAUUUUUUUUUGCAAAAAUCGAUUUGUUUUCAAAUACAAUGUUAAAAUAUCUGAUUCAGUAAGCAUGCACUGAAUUGUAGCAGCUUCCACUAUGUCUGAAAACAUCUAAUCAUCAAUAAGAAUACAGGUUUGAGUUCAGAUUAUUUAAACUGGAAAACUGCAACUUUCCAGGAUUUUUUAUAUUUUGAUCACUUAUCCCCUAUGUUUAACAAAUAUGUAUUUGAAAGAUGUGCAAAAUAUUGGUUAGAAAACAUCACCACACAUUGCUGCAACCAGAUGCCUCCAUUUAUUUGCAAUGUUUGCCCUGGCUGUUCUAGUCUGAACUGGAAUGUGAUGUCAGUUACCCUUUCAAUUUAUUUUUAUUUGUUACUACGUUCUCACUCUCAUCCAUUCCUUAAGGUGAAGAGCCACAGCCUGCACACAAGAUAGUUUUAUUGUGGAAUGCAUGACGAAACAAACAUACAGUAAAACGGUUUUAUUGUUGUCCUGCAUUCCACGAUAAAACCAUUUUGUUCACCCUAUGCUGUGCAACCUUUGGCUCUUCAUUUGUGGAUAUAUUUGGAGGUUAGCAGGCCUCUACCACAUAGCUCCGGUGCUACUGAUACCAGUGUGCAACACUCUACUCCUUAUCUCGUCCAAUCCUGCUACUUAUUUAUUGAUUAACAGAGACAUAUCUGGGAAUAUUGGUGGCUCAAAUUAUCAGAGAUAUGUACCUGCCUUUCAUUUAUACCCAAUAAGUCUCCUAUAGGCACUUUCCCAAUUUUCCUCUACCAUCCCAGGUUUUCCUAUUCAGUACAGUAAACUGUGUGUAACAGAAUAUCCCUAAUUGAUAGGAAAAAUAAAAUGUAAAGUAAGAGCUUUUGGAUGUAGCUGCUGAAGAUGGAAUUCCUAAAUCUUUUUAUUUGGGAUUGUUGAGUGGUCACAGUUGCCUUUCUCAUGGUAUUUCAUUCUGUAAAGCACUCUGCAGCCGUUAUAGGAUUCUCUUCCUAAGAGCUGAUUUGAUCCACACGGUUCCCUAAUGCCAACAUCAUGCCGGGGCUUUGUGUGAUUUUAAACGAUAGGAGCUUCUCUUCCUCUCCGGCUUACCUCCUUAACAGCCAGUCUCGAUCAUUUGCGCUUGAUGCAACAGUUUAUUAAGAAUUAUUUCUUGCUUUUAGUUUGAAAGGCUGGGGAUUACACCUCAGUGCUUCAAAGCAUUUAGCUGUAGUUUAAUCGGCCGUUUGACUUUCCUAGACUGUUUUUCACUAUCCUUCAAUCCCAUAGUGAAGCAAGAACCAUUGCAAAGCACUGUACUACCCUUCAAAAUCACAGCAGUGGAUAAAGCCCCGUAACCAUUCCUUAUGUUUGAUAUGUAUGUAAUUAAUAAUACUGACUGGAAAUUUAUAUUUUACUCUUUUGUUCUUUAAACACUGCUUAGUAGUGUUGGUUUUUUUUUUUUAAUGUUCCUUUUACGAGAUAUGAGCAGUCACUAAGUUGUUUUUUUGUUUUGUGCUUUUUUUUGUUACUCGAUUCACGUUUGCACGUUGUGUUCUAGAACGGUUUUGUCCAGCUUUCUAAUUGCAUGAUGACCAUCAAAUUAAUAAUGAAGCUUGGUCAACUCUGUGGCUUUGGCUUUUAAUUUGACAGAUCGUUCCCAGGUGGAGAGGCGACCAGCUGGGCUAUUUCUAAAGCCUAUAUAACUCUACCUAUGAUUCACCUUUUAUAGUUCGAUGUUAUACGGUAUGGUUCGGUUCGUAGGUGGCUCUUUCGUUUCAGGUUUUUGUAACACUAAUCACUGCUGUCCUGUUGCUGUCUGUCUUGCCUCCUUAUUGGUUUAUGAACACAUACAGUUGGAAGGGCUUUAUACUUGAUUUGGUGUUUAUUUUUUCUUUGUGAUGCCCCACUAUAUUUAUUUGUUGAAACUGUACUGGUCUCCAGUGAAUGUGUGAAUCUCCUCUGUCUAGCAGGACUAUGUAGCAGCACUGUUAGACCGUGAAAUAUUGGGUUUCAUCCCCAAAUGGUCGAUAAUUGAACAGAGACACUGCAGGGGCAUGGUCUACACACCAAAACCACUUCAUUAAGCGAAAGUUGUUUUGGUCCUUAGAGUAUUCCUUCAAUAUUGUUAGUGUUAAGCCAUGAUUUAGAAAAUGACAGCUCACAUCCAUUAGAAGGGCAGACCUAUUUUUAGGUUCAAAAUCUUCUCUUUGGGCCCAAAAUAUUCCUUUUUUUUUUUACAAGUUCAGAAUGAUUGGUUUGUAUGAAUUGUACUGCAAUAAUUGACUAGUUUGUAUGAAUAAUGGCAAUAAAACACUGAGCAAAGUGUCUUCUAACCAGUGUUUCUAACCCAGUCUUCAAGGCAGUGCUGGUUGUGAAGGUGCCCCCACUGAAUCCUGGCAAUGGCUUGGAAACCACUGCUGUUAGCUACACUAAAUGUGUAUUUACAUUAGCCUUUUUCGAAAUCAUGGAUGGUCUGUUGUCAUCAGCAAACACAUUUCAACCUUUAGUGUAAAGUAAAAAAAAAAAAAGUAAUUGAUAAAGAUAUUAAAAUUAUUUCUUUUAAAAAAUGUUUUUUUUGCUUCAAUUUUUUUAUGUAAGUGGAAAAAAUUCCACUUGAAAGCUCGCCAAUGUUUUUUAAAUGUUUUCUUUGCUCAUGAAUGCACAGUUUUAUUUUUUUGUAAGCUGAUGAUGUACACCGCUGUCCUGGGCAUAUUUUCUAAGGAUGAAAAAUAAGAGCUGUUGUCAUAAGAAAGGGCUAAUAAUGAGGUGUGAGAGGCAAUUUCCAGUCUUUUAAAGAUGUAGACAAAAAUAUUUCCAGUAAUGACAAAUUGCUCAGUAGAGACCUCUUCAACACUUAGCCUUGGAGAACAGUAAAUCUGUCCCUUCAACAGGUUUAUUGCUGUGCUUGGUACUUCUCUGAGUAGAUUUCACCGUGUAUAUGGCAUUGAUGUAGAUUGCCUUGCAGGAGAUUUACAGCAUAUAACAGAUUCCAUGAAAAGGCAUGUAAGGAAGGCCUUGUGCAUUUAACACAUUUACAGUUUGACCAUCCAUUUUAACCUGAGGAUGGACGUCUCUCCAGCCUCUGCUGAAGCCAAUUCAUUUUGUGAGAAACAGAACACGGAGUGUAAUCCUUCGCUGCUUUUGCGUUUCAUCACAUCUGCCCAAGUAGGUUUCAAUAAAUGACAUUUCUGUUAAAAUAGUAUGUUUUCCUGGAAUCCUUGUGUUGAUAGAAGUUACGUUUAGUUUUUUUUGUCUUCUUUUUUUAUUGUAAAUAAAGUUUUCCAGUGUGGGUGUGCAUGUAUAUAUUUUGUUUUGUUGUCGUUUGCAAUGCUACUGAUUACCUAGCCCUAGUUAUUAUCCCCUUCAGGACAGAGUCAAUAGUACACGUUCUGAUCAAAACAAAACGUAAACAAAAACUGGAAUUUGCGCUAUAUGUCUGUUCACCCGUAAUUCACCGCUGUCACAUUAAGUGCACCCACACUUAUUAUAUAUCAUUUUGUUCAGGAGAAACAGGGCUUUAAUUUAUCAUUAACUAUUCAUACAUGGAACAUAAUUUAUUAUGAAUAACAUUUUUAAAAAAUUUAGAAAAUAAGAUUUGUUUUUAAAUUUGGAUUUCCGUCUGACAUUUUAGCUGUUAAUGUCAUAAUACUGUUAGGUAUUACUGCAAAAAAAUGCCCAUAUUUGUAAUCAGCGAUGUCUCACAAGUACAACAGUACCCCCCAUUAACAGGUUUUAUGGUGUUUUGGAAAGUUACAGUGUCAAAUAUAGAACGUUCCAUUUUCAAAUUGAAAUUUGCCAGAUUAGUAAUGUUACCUUUGAGACGGUGUAGUAGCCCAGGAAUGAGAAUUACCCCCAUAAUGGCAUACCAUUUGAAAAAGUAGACAACCCAAGGUAUUGAACGUGGGGUAUGUUUAGUCUUUUUUAGUAGCCACUUAGUCACAAACACUGGCCAAAGUUAGCGUUCAUAUUUGUUUUUGUGUGAAAAAAGCAAAAAACUAAUAUUUGGCCAGUGUUUGUGACUAAGUGGCUACUAAGAAAGACUGGACAUACCCCACUUGCAAUACCUUGGGUUGUCUACUUUUGCAAAUGGUAUGCCAUCAUGGGGUAAUUCUCAUUCCUGGGCUACCAUACGCUCUCAAAGGCAACAUAACCAAUCUGGCAAAUUUCAAUGUCAAAAAAAUGAAAUGCAAGCCUUAUAUGUGACUCUCUAACUUUCCAAAACACCAUAAAACCUGUACAUGGGGGGUACUGUUAUUCUCGGGAGACUUCACUAAACACAAAUAUUAGUGUUUUAAAACAGUAAAACAUAUUACAACAAUAAUAUAGUCCAUAAAAGUGCUGUUUGUUUGUAAAAAAUGCAAAAAACGUCAAGUUUACUUAAAAUAUCAUCGUUGUAAUACAAUUUACCAGUUUGAAACCCUAAUAUUUGAGUUCAGCGAAGUCUCCCGAGUAAAACAGUACCCCCUAUGUACAGGUUUUAUGGUGUCUUGGAGAGUUACAGGGUCAAAUAUAGUGCUUGCGAAUUAAAUUCUCUGCACUUUCUCCCUGUGUUGUCAGGCAUGUCAAUCAAAUUUUAAUAAUCAAAUCACAUAAUUAUGUUAAAAGAUUACUUAAAUAUACACGUAGAAUUUUAAUAUAUAUGCAUUUAUAGGUAUUUAAAUCAUACGUGUAUACUAAUGUAAUAUUUUAUGUAAUUAUAUGUAUUUAUCUACAUAUAUUAGUAUUAAAAUACACUUAGAAUGAUGUUACAUAUAUAUGUAUAUAUAUAACACAUAUAUAGAUAUAUACACAUAUAUUAUAUAUAUAUAUACGUAUAAUUACAUUAAUAAAUAAAUAAAAUUAAAUAAAUGAAUAAAAUAUUGAAACAAAAUUUUAUUAAAAUUAUAUAUUCAUAUGUGGUUAUUGUAUUUUAUUUGUAUUUUAUAUACAGAUAGAUAUAUAUAGAAUGUCAUUCUAAGUGUAUUUUGUUACCAAUAUAUAUAUAUAUAUUAAUAACAAAAUACAGUUAGAAUGAAAUUACAUAUGAAUAUAUAAUUUUAAUAAAAUUUUGUUUCAAUAUUUUAUUUAUUUAUUUAAUUUUAUUUAUUUAUUAAUGUAAUUAUACGUAUAUAUAUAUAUAUAUAUAUAUAUAUAUAAUAUAUGUGUAUAUAUCUAUAUAUGUGUUAUAUAUAUACAUAUAUAUGUAACAUCAUUCUAAGUGUAUUUUAAUACUAAUAUAUGUACUAAUAUUAGUAUUAAAAUACAUUCCGUAUGACGUUACAUAUAUGUAUAUAUAUUAUAUAUAUAAUAUAUACAUAUAUAUUAUAUAUAUAAAAAUAUAUUUAAAUUAUUUUAAAACAUGUUUAUUAUUAUUCUUUUUCAUUUCCCACCAGCAGGGGGACUGUCUGAUAUUUCAGACAGCCCUCCUGCUGGCAGAUCCAUAACCAGCUAUGGGGGGCCAUGUGAUCGCUCUUUGAGAGCGAUCACAUGGCCCCCGGGGGCCUCAUUUGCCAGAGGAGAGCUGCCUGGGCGGUCAGGCAGCCCUCCAGAAGAGGAUCGCGGCAGAGGUAAGUACCGCCGAUCCCCUGGGGCUGAAAGCCGUUACGGCGUUCUAUGCCGCCGCAACGGCUUUAAAGCCCUUUAAAGCCGCGACGGCAUAGAACGCUGUAACGGCGUUAAGGGGUUAAGAUAAAUGGGUCAUUUGAUACACACUGGAAAUUAAUUGCUUUUAUUAGUUCAACCUUACUGCCAGUCAAAUGUAUUGGUAUCAGCAAUUUGUGCUGUCGAUUGAAGAAGAAAAAAAACAAUAAAAACCUUUCCUUAAAGGGACACUAUAGGCACCCUGACUACUUGGGCUCAUUGGAGUGGCCUGGGUGCAGUGUACCUAACGCCCCUAGUCCUGCAAUGUAAAGCAUUGCAGUUUUAGAGAUCUAAGACAGUCUCUAGGACAACCAGCGUCCGUGAACACCCCGUAGGAAAGCAUUGAUUCAAAGCGUUUUUAUGCUUGCCAUGCAUACGACCAUUGUACCUUUCCUUUUUGUUAGUUAACACAACUUCCAAUGCCACAUUGUACAACUUGACUUGUGAACUUGGUAGCAUUGUCUCUUGAGUCUCUGGCCCUCAAACCUUAUUACUAGUCCUCCAAGUUAGCCUCUUUCCCGUGGAUGGGGAGGUAGUAUAUUGUUCUUUAACUUGUCUGAUUGGGCAAACAAUAGGGCAAACAUUGUCUCUCCAUUUUUUUUUUUUUAUUCUACUUACUAUUGCUGACCUGAUUUAAAGACAUUUAUUUUACUGUUUAAAUGUCUUAAGAUAAAAAAAAAUGUAUAACCAUAUAUUAAAUCAUCAGAAAUGUUGACAGCUCAUAUCACAACUUUACCUAAACCUGGGAAAACACCAGAUAGAGGACAAAAUAUUUGUCCAAUGUCAUUAUUAAAUACAGAUAUAAAGAUUUUGGCAAAAAUCUUUGUAAACAGACUAGCCUUAAUACUUCCAACAAUUAUUAAUGAUGAAAAUACAAAGAAAUCAAGGUGUAUUGGUGCUACCAAUUAUCACAAAUAUAAAAUUGCUGGUGCAGUGGAAAGUGUAUCCCACAACACUUAGAGAUACAUAACAAAACAAUAGAAUAAAUACUGCACCAGUCAACGAAAUGACAAUUCGAGAUCAAUCUAAAAAACACAAAUAACAUAACAUAGUGCAAAAUGUUUAUAUAUAAUGAUAGACCCCUUAUGUAGAGUGAAACUCACAGGAUUUAGAGCCGUCCCAGGCUCUAUAUAAUAUGCAGGAGGGUGCCUAAAAAGGCUAAAACGAUAUUCUUGAGGAUUGCAGCACAGGAUGCAAAGUGCAGAAUCCAAAAUUUAUUGAACAAAUAAACAAUUAAAACAGGGACAAUAAGCAGUGUAUAAAUAGUAAAAUAGACUAGGCACAAAGCCUAAAUAAAACAAUGCAGAGUAAAUAAGAAAAAGUCCCAAAUUUUGGAUUCUGCACUUUGUAUCCUGUGUUGCUCUACUCAAGGAUAUCGUUUUAGGCACCCUCCUACAUAUUACAUAGAGCCUGGGAUGGCUCUAAAUCCUGUGAGUUUUACCCACAGGAGAAAUGAAUCUCCCUUAUGUAAAAUUAUACUAUCAGGUGGCAAUUAUUAGCUCCAUAGUACCAGCACAAAUACAAUGUAAUCCACCGCAAUGGGUACCUUUAGAAGACACAAUAACACAAGGUCGUUCCCUUUUAUUCUUAGUAUGGUUGCCAAGAAACCUUAGAUCCAAAAAAGUAUCAGUAUUACGUACAACAAUAUUGACUAUAAAUAUUUGGGAUGCAUAUAGACAUAUACAUAACACCAGGGAACCACUUUCAUUAGCUUUGCCAAUCUCAACACUUACAUCUAUUAUAAAGGAUUUUAAUUAUAAAAUUUGUGAACAACUUCAUAUCAAGUUCAUGUUUCAAUUAUUCCAAGGUACUAUUUUGUUAGAUUUCUACACACUGCAAACAAAUUAUAAACUUCCCCUCACAGCACAUUUUUUUUCAUAUAGACAAAUACAAUCGUGGAUGCCGGAACAAUAUAAACAUAAAAAAAGAAUUGUACAUGAGCAACAAUUGACGAGCUUCGAAACAAUUCUGUUAAAAAUAAAACCAGCAAACACGUUAAUAUCUCUACUUUAUUCUAACUCAAUAGAUUUGUGCCUGAAUAAAGAUAUAAUUUUGUUACAGCCUGGGAGAAAGAAUUGAAUUAUACUCUUCCUGAUACUAAUGGGGGACAAAUAUUUAGAGCACAUAAACGGUUAACUCAUAUAGAACUUUCUAGGAAAAUACUUUAUCGAUGGUAUUUAGCACCGACUCGUCUUAAGCGCAUGUACCCCAAUACAUCUGAUGUGUGUUGGAGAUGCGGAAGAGAGAGGGGAACAUAGAAACAUAGAAUGUGACGGCAGAUAAGAACCAUUUGGCCCAUCUAGUCUGCCCAAUUUUCUAAAUACAUAGAAACAUAGAAACAUAGAAUGUGACGGCAGAUAAGAACCAUUCGGCCCAUCUAGUCUGCCCAAUUUUCUAAAUACUUUCAUUAGUCCCUGGCCUUAUCUUAUAGUUAGGAUAGCCUUAUGCCUAUCCCACGCAUGCUUAAACUCCUUUACUGUGUUAACCUCUACCACUUCAGCUGGAAGGCUAUUCCAUGCAUCCACUACCCUCUCAGUAAAGUAAUACUUCCUGAUAUUAUUUUUAAACCUUUGUCCCUCUAAUUUAAGACUAUGUCCUCUUGUUGUGGUAGUUUUUCUUCUUUUAAAUAUAGUCUCCUCCUUUACUGUGUUGAUUCCCUUUAUGUAUUUAAAUGUUUCUAUCAUAUCCCCCCUGUCUCGUCUUUCCUCCAAGCUAUACAUGUUAAAAACAAUGCUUAAUAUAUGAUGGCAAUGCAUACAACUUAAGGAGUUCUGGAAAGCAGUUAAAAAAUUAAUAGACACUAGCAUAGGAAUUAUUAUCCCCCGUGCUCAGGAAUGUUUCCUGUUAUGAAAUUACCCGACUAAACUCUCACAUACAGCCAGGUACCUUACAUACCAUCGUAAGUCAACAUUGGAGAAAGGAAAUAGUCCCAAUUAUAUCGCAAUGUAUGCACUUAGUUAAUGUAAAUUAUUCACAUGAACUUUUAUUUUUUGAGUGAAUAUAAGGAAAACUGAUCAUAAAUAUAAACAAGUGUGGGAUAUGUAGGAAAAGGCACAAAAAGGAGACUUGCCAAUCGUGUCUAUACAGCAGGGGUCCUCAAACUCCGCCCCCCCAGAUGUUGCUGAACUACACCUCCCAUGAUUUUUUGAAUUACAUAGAUAGCCAGAGAAUCGUGGGAGUUGUAGUUCAGCAACAUCUGGGGGGCCAGAGUUUGAGGACCCCUGCUAUACAGGAUGAAUCUGUAUUUAUUUUAAGAGCAAUGUGUCUUCUAUAUUUUAUACCUUAAAGGUUGUAAUUAUAUAAAUGUCCUGCUCUCCCUUCCUUACCCUCCCCUUUCACAUAUUUUUCUUUUUGUUUAUUUUUCACAAUGUAAUGUAUAAAACAAAUGUACUAAUAGCAGGUACUAUUACUUACAUGUAUUUAUUUAAUUGUAUGUAGAUAUUCUAAUAUAAUACAGAAUAUUUAUUAUUAUUGUAGUAUUGUAUUGUAUACAUUGUAGAAUAUUUCUUUUUUUUCCCUCUUAUACAUAUAUAAAUUGCAUAUUUUUUUUUUAUUUUAAAUCAUCUUUGUUUAUGAAUUACAAUCACUAUAGAACACAACUGGCUUACAGUUGCAGUGACCAUGUUACAGUGUUGCAGAAUUUGAACAUUUCCGAUGGCCUGUAAGAAUAUUAUUCAUUACGCUGUUUAACAGAACUAUGUCACAAGGCUCAGGAAAAAAAUAGCCAUUUUCUGUUAGUACUGGCAAUAACUGUGAUGUUUUUGGACCUCUGUUCUGCAAGUGUCAGAGAUUUUGAAGAUUUGUUGAUCUGUGUUGUAGAAACGAGAUCUAGAACAUUAAUUUCCUGCUUGCAAUGCAUCCUUCAGCCUUCUGGUUCCAAGGAAAACAUGUAUUUUUUAUUACUACAUAUUCUUCUAAAUUAAGGGAAUUUUAUUAUUUUUUUUUUUAGAAUUUACAUUCCUUGUUUUAAUUUCCAUUUACCUCUUUAUGUCAAUCUGUCAGUCAAAAAAUGAAAUGGAUUGCUUGCAGUCAUUUUAGGAGAAUAUGAAGAAACAAAACAAUGUUUAUAUUUUUAACAUUCUUUACAAAGAGUAUUAUAUAUAACCAGGGCUCCUCCAGCAAUCUUACGGUCAGUAUCAGUAGUGCCCAGGAUUUCCAGAUGAAUAAGAUAUUACUAAUUGAUAUUGCUUCAUUGAUGAAUGAUAAAUGUGUGCUUGCAUGUAAUUGGUUAAAUACAGCCACACAUUUAGUUAUUUAGUUUUUUAUAAUAACUAGAUUAGUUGUUUGUUAAUAUUGUCGGGUAACCUUCACCACCAGUGUGAUUCCCAAAAUGCUCAACUAGCCGUAUAGUUAUUUAGAAAACUAAAGAAAUACAAUUGACUGCAGGAGAGUCAAAGGUCAAUGACAUGGAAUACUUAAAGGAAGACUCUGAGCACUUUAAUCACUACAGUAAGUAGUCAAACAGUUCUAGAACAUAUGAUUGGUUCUCAACCCAACCAUUAAGGCAACACCAGCAGUUCAAUUCUAACAGGAAGCUCCACACCCAUGUCUGGUGUUUCUCAGCACCAGGGAAUAGAAAUGUACCACCUUGGAUGUCUUUUGUGGUAUGUGGAAUAAUAAUUUUAGAAAAUACAGGAAUGAAUGUUUAGUACAUCUUAAAGGGACACUAUAGUCACCAUAAAAGCUACAGCUUAUUGUAGUAGUUGUGGUGAGUAUAGCAAGUCCCUAAAGGCGUUUUGCAGUAAACAUCUUUUCAGAGACUCCAAUUUAAUAUUAAAACUUAAAAACAAGUGUUUUUGUGAAUAAAAAAAGUUAAAAAUGUGACCAUAGAAAAAAUCAAAGAUGGUACCAUGGCCUGCAUUACAUGGUCACCCAAUAGCUUAAACCACUGUCUCCGAGUUCUGGACUGCCAAAGUCAUGUGUGCCGGGGGUCUAUCUUCCCCAAGCACAAAAGUGCAAAAUAACUCAGUGUUUCAAGCUUAAACACUGCACAUCCAGAUUAAUUUUUUUGAUCACUUCAAAAAGCACACAUGAUCAUGGAUGAUGGAGUAACCUUUUAAUAUUGCUUGUGCACGCUUUUUUUCUUCUUAAAGGGACAAUAUGGCACCAGAACUCCUACAGCUGAAUGUAUUACAGCUUCUGAAUAAAAUAAAGCAUUUGCACUGCUGCCUAACACCACCUCGGGUGACUGUCAUUUUGACAGCCAUUAGAGGGGCUUCCUGGAUGUGGUCCUGGAAUCUUCCUGUGAGCACUCUGCAUGGAGAGACCUAAAGCUCCUGGUAGAGAUGCAUUGAGUAAUGCACUUUCAGUAUAGAUGAUCUGACGGCCGCAGAGAAACCAGUGCACAAGAGGAAUGAAGAAAUAUAAAUGUUCUUUUUCUUUCUUUCUUUCUUAUGGGGUGAGGGUGAAUCAGUCUGUUAUAACCAUCUAGUGUUAGGAAUACAUUUUUGUGUUCCUUUAACCUGUCCAUGCUGCAGUAACUUGUGGAGCCCAAAGACAUAGACAUCUAGUUCUUAAGCAUACUAUGCUGCCUCGUGCAGCAAAUUACCAUAUAGCUUAAACCAUAGGUGAUAAAUGCAGCCACGAGGUAUGAAAUGUGCCCUCUAUUUCAACCACAAUGAAAACGUAUCUUCAAAGCAUAAUAUAGGCUCUUUUUCUCUCUCACAUUUUCUUUUUCAUGUUCGUAAUAGCCGCAAUAAACUCUAUAGCAGACACAAGUAGCUAUUGCACGCAUAAUGGCCUGGCUAGGUAGGCUUCAUUACUCCUCAUUAUACAGCCAGCAACAGCUUCUUACUUCCAGAUGUCUUCCUUAAUUAUGUGCAAUUAUUACCGUAUCCACCGGGGGUUAAACAUAAAAUGUUAUAUACAUGUCUCUGUCAUUGGCUUAUUUUAUUUCAAUCACAGGAUUUCCUAUUAUAAUGGAGACAGGAUCAGUUGCUAAAUAAUUGCACUUUUAUCUAUUAUUUUUUUUUUCACUGCUCGUUUAAAACAUAGAAUUCAUGUCCUCAUGGACAAAUAUAUGGUAUGAAAUUAGCAACAUAAAUAUAUCCUUUAAUUGAAAUAUUUUCUACACGAUGCCACUAAUCAGCUGUGUGGCCUGCCCUGAAAGAUUGUUGUCUAGUUAAUCAUGCUGUUAAUUAACUAGAGGAGAAUAAAUUGCCCUAAUAUUAAAAUUCACACAAGUUUACCAAUUGUUUUCAAUGCUGCUAAAUAUUCAUUAUGUGCCAAUUGUUUACACGCGCAAUUCAUAUAAUACUGACGACAGAACUCCGAUCUUACAUUCCAAAGCAUAUUGUUGUUGAUCACAUAAUUUCUUGUCCUUGAAAACCACAAUUAGUUUAGCUCUCGGUUCUUGAAACCUUGUAGAAAAUGUCUAAUUUCUUUCAUUUCUUCCCAGUUCUCAGAAGGGUUCUAUAAAAAUCAGAUUGAUUUGACCUCUGUAAAAGCAAUUCGAUGUUGCCAGUAAAAUAUUUUGAUCAGCAAUAUUGUUAUUAGCGGACAGGGUUGUAUUUUUUUUGUUAAGUAUUCCUUUUUAUUUGCAUUUUUUAUCUCUGAAAACAUUGGAAUAAAAAGAAAGUUGGACCUUGACAAACCUUGGUUAAUUAGUUGAAAGCCUUCACAAGGCAAAGGAAUUCCAGGGCACAAAUGACUGUGAUAAGGUGAUAUACAUGUGAUCGUUCUAUAAGGUCAAAUACUUAAAGGGACACUAUAGUCACCAGAACAACUACAGCUUAAUGUAUUUGUUCUGGUGAGUAUCAUCAUGGCCUUCAGGCAUUUUCAUGUGAACACAAACUUUUUAGAGAAAAGGCAGUGUUUACAUUGCCCCUAGGGACACCUCCAAGUGGCCACUCCACAGAUGGCCACUGGAGGUGCUUCCUGGCUCAGUGCUGCACAUUAGGCAGCUCUGCCGUUCAGUGUCUCCACACUCUGCAUGGGGACGAUGAAUUUCCCUCAUAGAGAUGCAUUGAUUUAAUGCAUCUCUAUGAGGAGGUGCUGAUUGGCCAAAAUGGUGUUUGGCCCCGCCCCUUGCCGUUUUUAGCAUUAGACUGGCUAAAAAUCACUAAUUCUUAAGAUGUCACCAAGGGGUCGGGGCCAGUGCCGGGGAACCCGCACGGCGCUGAAAAUAAGGUGAGUUUUUCAUUCUUUUAAGGGGGGAGGGGCAAGCCACCUUAAUGGUGGGUUUGCACUAUAUGGUCAGGAAUACAUGUUUGUGUUCCUGACCCUAUAGUGUUCCUUUAAGAUACUGUGGGGAGGUGGGGGACAUUUUAAUUGAUUUAUGGAUAUUAUAUAUAAAAAGGGAACAUUUUUAAUUGAUCAAGUUAUUUUAUUUCAGAAUAUAUUAUAGUGUGACGUUAACUCGUUCAAGUACUAGCAUCCGUAUUAGCAGUGAAUGUAAAAAGUGUCGUUUGAUCUACCCGUAAAUACGUUAAAGGGGAACUGUAGUUUCCCUAGAAAGGAAAUCCAUGAAUAAAACACUAAAAAUCACCUAGAACUGCUGUUAGCAUUUUUUCACAAUCUACUCAAUAUUUUAGAAUUUAUAUUAAAUAUUUUGCAAAGUACGUCAUAGUCCAGCCAGAGCAGACAUUGCAGAUGAUGAGAAAGAGACACAUUGUUUCAUUUAACCUGUCCUGUCUAUCCUGACUUCAACGUGCUAAGUACAGAGCUUAUAACUGUGAUUGACAGGGAGCUGAGGCGGAGGCAGCCAGUUGAAGGAUAAAGGGGUGUGAAUUUGUAUGUUACAUUCUUUUUCUCUGUUACACCUCACAAUUACAUUUUAGCUAAAAAUAUGGACAAUAAACUUGAUAGUAAAAAUCCUGAGAAGUGACAGUUCUCUUUAAUACACCAGGUUUUUUAAAUUACUUAAAAAGUAUAUGGAUGUCUGGUUGCACAUUCUCCAAUCCAGGGAGAGAUCCAAAGGCUGGUGCUUUCCAUGCAGUGAUGCAGUUACCAGCACUGGUUGUGGUACAGCACAACAAAUAAAGAGGCUACUCAAUAUCUGCCACCCCCCCCAUGUCUUCUUCUUAUAAAGGAGCAAAUCUGAGCAUCUUGUGACUUUGUCUUUGUGGCAAAACCAACCUCGCCACUGUACACUGGAGAAGCCUGGUUGCUCGCCUGCUCCCUUUAGACUAUGGUCCUGCAUUUUAAACUUUUAUUUUACCGGCAGAAAGGUUUAUUCAUGCCUUUCUGCGGACUGUUAAAGCCAUGCAACCCCAGAUAGCUAUGCCAUGGAGCCCAGCCGUAUACUGAAACUGACUUUGUAAAGACUUUGGCUCCAUGGUGUUUAAACUGUAUUUGUGUGGUCUGAGCGCCAUUCGCUUAAUAAUGUGCGCUCAGACCUGAGCUAUCUGGGGAUAUGUAGAACGUAUAUGUUUUAUGUACUAAAUGUAACUGUAUGUAAUUUUAUGUCUUUUAUUGUCCUUUGUCCGCCAUGUGGUUAAUGGAGUUUUGCCUCUGUCCUUGGAGAUAAUUGGAUUACUUCACAAUUAUCUCCUGGACUGAGAGGAGGGAUUGUGAUGUAAUUGUGGGUGUGUUUUACGGUUUCCCUGUAACGAUUGGUUGUACUGUGUCCCACCCUGUGGGAUGUCCCCUUGCAUGGGGACUUGCAUAAAAGCCAGUGUGUGGCUAUUACAGAGAGUUCCUGCUUAACCCUCAAAGUGAAGUGUCGUCUCAUUAUUGGGGGAGGAUUUACUGUAUGCUGUUCCAGUUUGAUUGCCAGGAGUGUAAGCUGAUUGUAUGCUUUUCCUGUUCAGUUGUUUCCAGUAUUCGUGAGUUUCCUGUUCAGGAGUUGGAGAAUUCGUGUAGUUUGUAGUUCGGGAGAUUGGUGCUUGCAGUAGCUGUCUGUGCAUCUGAAAGGGGAAUAUCGCCUAAACGGUUUUUAACCUCUUGUGUGCAAAACGGUCCGUUACAGUUUUGUUCCUUUUGAAGGAAAGAGCAAACGUGAUGUCAUACCCACUGCUACCGAAGCUUUUACGCAUCGCAUCGUAAUGAAUAUCUGGAACUGCAAGUCCACAUUGCCAUUAAACCACCAAAGCAAAAAUGUGGCUGCGAUAGAAUGGGAAAAGUGGUGUGAGGAAAGGGCUCCAUGGCUGCGGAUACUUCUGAUGAAGUAUCUUCCCGGAUCUCUUGCUCCAGACACAAUUUCAAUGUGGUGGUGGGACUUGCCAAUACACAGGUGUCUGUGUAGCUAAUUUCCUUUAAAGAAUAGUUGUCAAAUCUAUAACCAAAUUUCUGUUUACAUUUUAUUAGCCAUCCCCUGUAUCCACAAUAUUGCAGCACAGGCACGUUUUCUCCUAUAGAUCAUCAGAAUUGCAGGUGCCUGCCGUGUUUGUAGAUUCAGUUUGUUGUCAUAAAAUGUGGCAAUAUCACAGACUUUUAGAGCUUGACAGGUUUUGGGGAUCUUUGAGCUCUAUAGAUUGUAUAGAAAUAGACAAAUGCUAUAUAUAUCUUUUAAUCAUUUUAACAGAAAGAAAGUGUGAUAGUUACAAAAUGGCACGUUCGUCUUUAAAUUGGACAGCCUGAUAUUUGGUCAUUCUUAAAAAUUGUCGCCGAUAUAAAUGUGUCCACUUAGAGUCACAGUCUUAUGAAAAACCCCAGCAGGUGGUAAAAUGAAAUACAAAUGUAAUGCUGUUCAUGUGAAAGGAAAUUUAAUGGCUUGUUUGUCAUUUAUUUGUGUAAAGUAGCGUUCUAUUUCUGUGUUUGUUUUCAAGCUCUUUCAAUGCAAAUUAUAAAUGUAAACAACAUCUUUUAUUUCUAUAUUUCCAAACUGAGGGAAAGGCAAUGGGAUACCGCAUCUUCCGCAGGGAAUGGAGUGUGGAAGAGAAGCAAUUAUUUCUACUUGAUCAACAUCACCGACUUGUACCAAAGUGUAAAUGGAAAAAGAAUAUGUAAAAGCGAACGAUUAGUCACUUUCUUAUUUCAUGUUGUCAUACUGAGCAAUUUGCUUUACUUAGCGGUCAGAGCAAGCAGUUGAAGGAUAUUAUAUGGCAUCGGAGAUGAUUUUGCCUAUAAACGAGCUUGAGUAAGGUAUAGACAUGAUUUAGAAGUCCUUUCUAUUGGCGUUUAUGAGGAUUAUAGAGAUGUAUUCAAGUGAAAUUGAUUUUAUUCCGUUUGGACAGCAUUAAGAAGCCAUUGUUUCCUACUCUUAUUCUGAGAGCUUGCCUUAUUUAAAACUUACACUGCAGAGAGCUCCAGGUGGAUGAACAUUCGUUAUAAGAAGUUUAAUCUCCCAAAAUUGCCCUAAUAUUAAAAUUCACACUAAUUUACCAAUUGUUUUCAGUGCUGCUAAACAUUCAUUAUUGCAGGGCUGCCACCAGAAAUUUUGGGGCCCCUAACUGAGCUCAGGGUGUGGGCCCCCUGUGGCCCACCUCCAAUCCCGCCCACAGAGUCCGCCUCCAAAUCCCACCCACAGGAAUACACACACAGACACAAACACACACACUGAUAAAAAAGGAAACAGAUACACACACAGAUACAUACUAACAGACACACAUACUGAAAGACAUACACGCAUAUAGGCAUACAUACUGACACACAUACUGAGACAUACGCACAUACAGACACACAGGCAUACAUAGUGACAGACACACACAUACUAACAUACAGACACACAGACACAUACAUACAGAUACCGACAUACAUACAUACACACAUACAUUCAUAAUGACAUACAGACAUAUAUGCAUCCAUACAUUUAUAUAUACAUACUGACAGACAUACAUGCAUACAGACACCGACAUCCAUACACAUACACAUACAUGCAUUCAUACUGACAUACAUACACACACACACAUGUUCAUGCAAACAUACAUACAGACAUACAUAAUGACAUACAGAUAUACACUGAUACUGGCAUACACGCAUAUGUACAUACAUGCAUACAUUCAUAAUGACAUACAUAUAUAUAUACAUACAGACACAUAGACAUACAUAUAUACAUGCAUGCAUACAGACAUACACACAUACAGAGCAUAUUUUUCAACCACCCUCCUGUUUCUUACCUUUUCUUUGCAGGAGGGUAGCUGGGGCUGAUGGGAGUCGGCACGGCUCUCCCUCUUCACUGGCGCUCCUCCCGCGUGGAGUGAGCUGGGAGGAAGUGACCACUUCCUCCCAGCAGCACUUGCGCUGCAGCUGCGUUUUUUUUUUUUUUAAUGGGCCCGGUCGCGCUAUAACACAGCCACAGCGCUGUCCGGGCCCGUGACAACCGUCAUGGUUGUCACCCCCUGAUGGCGGCCCUGUUAGGUUGCUAGAAUGGGACCUGCCGAAAAUGGGGUACAUUGACAUUAUGGCAGGCUUAUUCGUCCUAUGACCAUAUACUGUAACUAAACCCCCAUUGUUUUUGCCUUGGGCAUUUUUAACAAACGUAUGAUCUUUAAAGGUUUAUUAAUGCAAAUCUUUAUUAAUAAAGCAAGUGUCCCUGUCCCUAUUUAAAAACAGGUACCCCCCAUUUGCCACUUUAACUUGCCGAAAAGUUUGAAGAGUGUCCUCUUUUUUUCAGUGUGCAAAAAGACAGAUUCCAAUAGAAAUUGACACUUUUAUCAAUUAACCUUGGUACACCCCUCUAGCUUUCAAGCAGAAAACAGGUCCUGUUACUUCCUGGUUUGGUUAGCUCAGUGGAACUAAACUCAAGAGGAAACAAUUGCUCUGAGCACCUGCCUUGUAAAGACUUCUCAUUGCGCUACAUUGGGAAGUCUGUGAUUGGACAGCCAAAGAAAGUCUGGGUGGUGUUAGAAGGGGAGGGCUUGCAAAGGCUGCAGACAAGAAAACUCCAGGUUUUGUAUAGCUAAGUAAAUAAAAACUUACAUGUGGAAUAUAUCUACUAAACUGUGAUUUUAUGUAUAUUGUAUUUGGACAGUGGAGUGUCCCUUUAAUUCUCCAAGCUUAGCAAGGGUGUUAAUUUACCAGAACGGCCAAGCGCAUUCUAAAGACAAUGAUCACCUAACUUUAUACACGUGCUUCAGGAUAUCAUGUAACAUAUUACAAACCUGACUAUUAACGCAAAUUCCAUAUUAUAUUAUAUAGAAUUGUUAUCAACGAGUGCAGUUGGAAGCGGUUGGUUUGAGUAUACUGAACUGCCUUAAUAAUUAUUUAUAUGAAAUCGUUUUCUACUGCUGAAUUCAACAGGUAGAGAUGUUACAAACAUGCAAAUUCAUGUAGAAUAAAUAGAUAUCUUAUAAUUUUAUAGUUGUUUUUAUUGCUUGUGCUACUCAAGUUGGCAAAAUGUGUUACAGUUAAGGUCCAUUUGUAUAGAUUUACAUUUUUUAAAUGGUUCAAUCCUUAUGGAAAUGCUACGUGUUUUCUCAGAUUUAAAGGGACAUUUUACCUUUUUUUGUUUGUUUUAUAAAUAACUUGUUUUGUUUUUAACUUUACUGGGAGUAUUAUUAAUGUGGGGCCCUGUUAUACACUCAGACACAUUACUGGGAGCAUUAUUGCUGCGCAGUUCUGUUAUAGACACAGACACAUUACUGGGAGUAUUAUUGCUGUGGAGCUCUGUUAUACACUCAGACACAUUACUGGGAGUAUUAUUGCUGUGGAGCUGUUAUACACUCAGACACAUUACUGGGAGUAUUAUUGCUGUGGAGCUCUGUUAUACACACAGACGCAUUACUGGGAGUAUUAUUGCUGUGGAGCUCUGUUAUACACUCAGACACACGAACAACAUGGAGUGCGUAGGAAAGAGGAACAUUAGGAUAGAAAAGUGGGACAUAGGGAUUUGGUGUAUAGCGCUGAGAGAUAGUCAGUGGAAUACCCCAACAGUAACUUUAAGAUAACACCAAUGAGGUAUAAUGUAGCUUCCCUUAAAACACUGGGAUUGCAAUAUUAAUCACCCCAACACAGGGGAUUAGACAGGUCACAUGUACUAAGCCAUGCGUGACCAAAAGAUGGUCCACAGAGUUAGUAGAGCUACAACUCCUGUUAUGCUUGGCCAACCUUGAGGACGAGUUGCAGUUCUACCACAAUUUGGUAUCUACUUUUUGGCUAUUGCAGUACUAAGCUGUAUAUAAUUUUGUUCCAACAAGCACCUAUCUAAGGACUUUGUUAGAUAUACAACAUAAAUGAAUCAAUUUCCUUGCUGGUUUCCACUCGUUCCCAGCUGUGUAUAUAAUCUGACUGGAACGCUGCGGACAGUCAGUGACCUGAUACUUCUCAUAUGCCAUUGGGUAAUAGCUUAUGUAAAGUGAUGGAAAAUAGCCGCAGUCAUGCACCCAGACGUCCAAAUUUGUAAUCUAUGGUAUGGCUUCCCUUUUGCCAAAUAAAAUGUAAGAGGAGAUCACUAGAAGGAUUCAUUUAAUAAUGUUUUAUCUGUUCAAUGUCAAGCAGGGAAUACAAAUGGAAUGCAGAAAAUUAUAUAGAAUAUCUUGACAGAGUGAUCAUAUGUGACUCUGUUUACAUAAUUAAUGCUGCAUGUGUAACAGUGUAAAAAACAUUUUUUUUUCUAUAAGCAGCAUGUGUAUGUAUGUUGCUUAACGGGAUUCUCCAGUGCCAGGAAAACAUAUUUGUUUUCCUGGCACUGCAGGACCCUGUAGUCCCCCCUCCCCCCCCCAUCCCAAGUUGCUGAAGGGAUUAAAACCUUUUCAGUGACUUACCGGAGUCAAGCGCCGAUGUCCCUCCCGCGCUGGUCAGGCUCCGCCUACUCUCGUCGUUGGGGGGAGACCUAAUGCACAUGCGCGGGAAUGGCCAAGCACCCGCAUUAGACCUCCCCAUAAGAAAAAAAAUUAUUCAAUUCUUUCCUAUAGGGAUUUCGGCGACGCUGGAGGUCCUCAGCGUGAGGACGUCCAGCGUUGCUUAAAACACUUUUCGUAUUCUAAGAACACGGAAGUCCCUCUAGUAGCUGUCUGAUAGACAGCCACUAGAGGAGGACUUAUCCCUGCAAGGUAAAUAUUGCAGUUCAUGAAAACUGCAAUAAUUACACUUGCAGGGUUAAGGGUAGUGGGAGUUGGCACCCAGACCACUCCAAUGGGCAGAAGUGGUCUGGGUGCCCUGGAGUAUCCCUUUAAACCAUACCUGCCAAAAAUCCCAGAUAAAGCAGGACAGGCCUGAUGGAGACAUCUACUUGCACACUGGGUUUUUAGUCUUUUUCCCAUUUUAUGGAGUCACUAGAGAGAGUCCUUGGCAUUAGAAGUAGCAGUCCAUGCACUUCAAUAAAGGGGGUUGUGCUUUAGAAAGCCAAACAGAGCACUUUGUGCACACACAAGCCUGAUUCAGCAGAACAGGGACAUCCUGAAUGUCACACUUGCACGGUUUGUCAACCUCGUGCACAUUUGUGCUUGGAUGGCAUUUCCCAUAUUCCACAUCCUCACAUCACUUUGGCAUGUAUUGUCACAGGAAUGUCCUGAUUUGUUUCCUACCUAAAGAUGCUAUACAUGUUAACAGAACAAAACAGUUGUGCUUCUUAUGAAACCUCUAGAUUUUCACAUUGUAUUUAUGCUGAACCACUUUCAAAAAUAAAGAACCCUUAUAUAUAUGCAGAAUAUGUUAUCAUCUAAAAGUAAACGUUCAUACAUAGUUUUAAAACACAUGUAUUCAGUGGCAGAACUAAUGUAGAGAGGGUCCCGGUGCAAGGUUGGCCAAAAGGUAGAUCCCCCAUCUGUCGUACAACUCCCACAAUGCUGUAUCGGCUGGAGAUCUACCAUUUGCUCGUCCUUGAAGAGUUGUAUUUGUGAGCAGUGUUUGUGUGGAGUAUGUGUGUGCAUGUAGAUGAAUAUUUGUAUGUACGAUUGCCAUUGAAAUGCAGUGUACUUCUAUGUAAUGUUUGCUUUGAAUGCAGGGGUGUGUUUGUAAAUAGUGUUGCACAUUAUUAUGUUUCUAGCCACCCUGCUGUGAACAUACCUUUUUAUGUGCAGGAGGGUGGCUAACCUGGAGUCCUGCUGAUGGGAGUGUGGGGAUGGCUGUAGCAGUUUUUUUUCAUGGCACUUCCCCUAUGCUGCCUGUGCCUCCUGUCUCUUCUCCUCCCUUCCUGCUCCCUCGGUAUGUGAGAGGAAGUGACCGGCUCUCACUUAGAAACAUAGAAUGUGACGGCAGAUAAGAACCAUUCGGCCCAUCUAGUCUGCCCAAUUUUCUAAGUACUUUCAUUAGUCCCUAGUCUUAUCUUAUAGUUAGGAUAGCCUUAUGCCUAUCCCACGCAUGCUUAAACUCCUUUACUUCCUCCCAGGCUGACGAUUCUAAAGGGGCUUGGCACCCGACUUGGCCCAUAUUCAGCAAGACCCAUAGGGUGGCCAUAAGUACAUGGGCCCCAGUACAGCCGCAUCGAUGGUAGUACAGUAAUUGGACAUAAUUACCUGUGCCUCAAACACAUAAUGGAAGUAGAUUAUGGCUCCCAAACUUUAUACAGUCCCCGAUAAUCGUUUAAUUGUGCAGGGAGAAAUAUUUCUUGUAAAGUUUUAACAUGGCAGCUGCUGGCUAUUGUAAUGAAAUGUCACUACAAUGCUAUAGACAUUUUUCUUUGAAGUAUUUCAAGACAACAAAUACGUGAUAUUUGUUCAUUGAGAAAGCGUUGGUAUUGGAGGUUACUGCAAAACAUUGUUAAAGAACCCAUGUCACCUAAACCCAUUCUGCUAACAGCAUGUCGGGCAAAUACAUCCACUGAGAAAAGGUUUUACAUUUUAUCAUUCAUUAAGCACUUUCUGAUGAAUCUUUUAGCACGUGGAGCUGCAUAGUGGCACCCUAAAAGGAUAAGGAAUAAAACAUUUCUAACAUGAGAUGUCCCUAUUCUGGAUGUUGGAGGCCACUCCACCAGCUGUUUAUCUCGUUUAUUUCAAAGGCAAACAGAGGUGUUGCUAGGUAGCAAAAAGACCAAUGACUUCAGCCCAAACACAAAUUCUAUGACUUCUCUUACAUUUAUUGACUUAAAGGGACACAAGUGUCACCAGAACCACUACAGCUUAAUCUAGUUGUUCUGUUGAGUAUAAUCAAUCCCUGCAGGUAUUUUCAUGUAAGCACUGCCUUUUCAGAGAAAGGCAGUGUUAACAUUGCUGCCUAGGGUCACCUACAGUGGCAGUCACACUGACUGUGCUAGAGGUGCUACAAGAGUCGGUGCAGCUUUGACGUUCAGUGCCUUCACACUCUGCAUGGAGACGCUGAGCUUUCCUCAUAGAGAUUCAAUGCAUAUCUAUGAGGAGAUGCUGAUUGGCCAGCACAGUGUUUCUCCGCCCCCAAUCUGCCUCCUUCGCUGAGAUCAUCAGAAUUGACUAUCUCAGACAAUCCAAUUGUUUCCUGUGGGUAAGCAUUGGAUUGGCUGAGAUCGCCAAAUCUGAUGAUCUCAGUCAGGAAGGUGGAUCUGGGGCUGGGCCACUGCUCGCAGAAAACAAACAAAAAAAAGGUAUGUUUUAAUAAUUUUUAAGGGGGGACCAGGAGAGUCCUGACCCUAUAGUGUUUCUUUAAGCCCUUCCAGUAACCCUACCCUAUACUGCACCCUACGACCAACCCUAAACUUGCACAUGUUCAUAAUUUACAGUAUGAUACAGUACUUGAAUUUAUCAUAGUACAAUGCACAUUAUGCACAUGCUUUAUUAACCCCACCAUGCUGUAUUAACCCAGUACUGCACCAUUAACCCAUAACUUGCAGCUUUACUUUGAUAAAAUCGUGCACCAACAGCAGUACCCCCACAUUGUCCCUACGCUAUGUAUGAUGCAGUACAGAGGCAAUGUCAUAAGUGAUGUAGUGGAACACAAGGAAGUGUUACCUCUCUCACUGUUGCAGGGAACUCGGAGGCUAACAAUGAAAGGUUUUCUAAAUCGGACCACUCGCCUUUAAAGGACCACUAUAGUGCCCCGAGGGUGCCCCCACCCUCAGGGACCCCCUCCUGCCGGGCUGGAUGGAGAUGAAGGGGUUAAACUUACCUCUUUCUCCAGCGCAGGGCGGGGAGCUCUCCUCCUCCCUCUUCUCCUCCUCUUCGGCUAAAUGCGCAUGCGCGGCCCUCUAGCGGCUGUCAAUGAGAUAGCCACUAGAGGCUGGAUUAACCCAUUUAUAAACAUAGCAGUUUCUCUGAAACUGCUAUGUUUAAAAAAAAAAAAAGGGUUAACCCUAGCUGGACCAGGCACCCAGACCACCUCAUUAAGCUGAAGUGGUCUUGGUGCCUAUAGUGGUCCUUUAAGGAUCCCACUCAGGGGUUCAGCCUGGGACAGCCUCCUAAAGCAACACCCUUGAGGGCUGAGUAUAUCCACAUACAAAUUGAGCACAUUUACUUGAGUCUUAUUAUUGGGGAGCUCUGUGAUAUAUAUAUAACCUAAAAUAAUCUGAGCUAUAAAGCCAAACUGCUUCAAGGUCGGAAGAUGAAAUUGGGGGAUUGGGAGGGAAUAUAGACAUCGCUCUCAAAGCAUCUUUUAUCCACCCUGCACCUAGUCUCACAUGGAUUUAUCAUAGACUUCUCCCCUAAUAGUAAAUGUUUCGGCAAAAAAAUAAAAAGCGAAGUAUAAAUCAUAGAUUUCCAGCACUGGGCAUGAUUCAAUGUAAUUAGCGUUAAUCAUUUAUCUACAUCCAUUCUCAAACUCAUCUAAAACCGAGAUGUAAUUUUGUGAUUUCUACUUGCUAUUAAUUACAUAAGCCGUUGCAAAGUUCAUGUAGUGUGUUAAUCAAAGUACAGGUACGUCUCCUGGAAAUUGCUUCACGUCUUGGAAUUGACACGAAUACAGCUUGGCCUAGCAGAGAAAUUGGAUGUCAAAUACUGAAUGAGCAUUUUAGUUGGUAUAUCUUCCUGGCAUUGCUAUUAUUACUAGUCCUGAAACUUGUCAUCUCCCAGUGUGACAUGAUCCACGGGUCAAGCAUGAGUGUGCAUAAUGCAUUUACUUAUCUGAAAUGGCCAUGUGGGUCAGAAAAAGUGAAUAGGGUGCAAGUCCCUGCAUUAUUAAGGACCAGUUACAAAAAAUGCAAAUUGCAACCAGCAGUGUAACCGUUAACAUGCAAACCAUCAGCCAGCAACUCUUAUUCCCCAUUGGACAUAAAGUGCUACAUUUUAUACGGUGUUAGUCCGUGGCUGUCUAUGCGUAUAUCAUUAGCUCUUAUUUAUAUAGCUCCUGCAGACUCCCACAAUCGUGUUAUUGGUUAUAUAUUAAACUACCAUGGCUGCAGACACAAACCUUUACAGUUUAAACACAAAUUAUCGCAAAUUACGCGCAUGCAGCGAUAUUAGUGUUUUAUAUCCGGAUUGACGUAGCAUGGCGUCAUUUUAAGAGUUUAUUUACUAAAGCAGGGUAUGAUCACAUCCAGCACUGGGGGCCCGUGAAGACUUUAAUGCUGGUACUUUAUUUCUCUUAAGUAUUUAUGUAGAAAUUUGUGCAUGAAUUUUGUCAAUGGGUAACAAAAAAACAUCUGUCCCCUGUUGGUCAGCUCCAGUAUACUUCUUGUGAAGAAACAGAAUAUCUGCUCUUCUAUCUGUCUAUCAGAAAAAUGUACAUCCCAAGUACCCAUCUAUUGAAGGGACAGUGCGUCAUUGAUAACCGAAUUCAGACACCCCUAUUUACUAUGCUUCCUUAGUACGAUGCUGUAGCAUAUGCUGGCAUUUUAUAAAUAAUAUUAUAAAUAAUAAUGUAUCAGAUUCCAUCCAAUGUGUGCUUAGAAAUUAGACCGUGCAAAUAAUUGUCUCUCUUCUUGUUGUGAAUUAUUUAUAUUGGGUUCAGAUAGUCUAGUUAUUACUUUAGAUCUAUCAUACGCAUAUAUUUUAAAAAUGUUGGGAUGUAGAAUCCUCCAAUAUUAAUAUAUAUAUAUUGUUAAAUUUUAAAAAAUGACACUAAUGUAAGAUGCCUGGGGGAGGACUGUACCAAAGCUGGUGCAAUAGACUGCAAUACUUAUGACUCCACUUAAUGGAACACUCCAAGCACCAUAACCACUACAGUACACUAUUGUAUCUAGUAAAACAGUUUUGGAAUACUAUGAUCCCAGGCUUGUGAGUUUUAUUGCUCCUUUCACCAACCUGAAGCUUCCCGUAGCAAGACACACACUUCCAUAUCGUCCAACACACCGGCUUCAUUGUCAAGGCAUUGAUGUCUGUCCCUCUGUUUGUAUAAUCGCCUGUCAAAGUGUGAGAUGUACUCACCACAAUAAUAGUGCUUGUGGUAAAUUAGUAUUUAUGCUUCGCCUGUCAGCCAGCCCUCACCAUGUAUUCCUAACACUAGAGUAUUCCUUUAACUACUCAUUCAGCUACGGAGACCUGAAACUUAAUAUAGACAAGGGGUUUGUUUGUUUGUGUUGCACUCCAGGUAUUUUUUGAUGUGACAGCCCUGAGAGCUUUACAUAAGCCCCGUGGUAUCUGCAGAAGGUGAACACUAUUUCUGUAUAUUGAUUUACGUCUUGCAAGUGCUUAGUAUUUAAUAUUCAACAUUCUACUUGCAAGUCAGGAAGCCAUUAUCUCGUAUUGAUUGGAAAAAAAUGAGGCUCUCUUUCUCUUAUUGUGUGUAUGUGUUUGUGCGUGUGUGUAGGACAAGUUUCUUCACGUUGAAACAUUGUCAUUGUGAUUGUUAAUAGCACGAAUAUUGGCUUGCCAGAAGAUUAUUUAAUAUUGAAUUACAAUCUAUUAAGGAAACCGAAAAUGCUCUGUGGCUAAUCAGUACUGGAUUUCACUCUGAAAUAUCGGUGAAGCAAUCUCUUACUUCUGGGUUAAAAUUUACAUUACUGUUAUUUGAGCAGGGUCUUUUUAACCUCUAAAUACCCCAUUUCUGUAAUUGUAAAGUGCUGCAAAAUGUGUUGGUGCUAUGUAGAUGUCAUUAAUUAUAUAUAUAUAUAUAUCAUACAUACAUAUUAAAUGCAAUCACCACGGUUUGCGGCUAUUGUACAUCAUUCGAAUUGUGGAUUUUUUUAUUUUAUUUUUUAUUAUCCAUUUAAACAAUGCCAAGCAUGCUCAGCCUCCCUGCUUGACUGAAUAGAUAUAUUCGCAUUUCAUAUGUUAUGUUUACCUAAUUUAUUGCCAAAGCGAGAGACAGGAGUGCAAGAUUAUAUCAACGGUAUUCCCAGGGAACAGACAGCAGUGACAGCCGAUCUCUCCUGUGCCGGAUACUGAGCAGGGUAGUGUGGGGCUGUAGGUCACCAAGCAUGAAACUCGAAGGCUUGAGAAUAACAAAAAGGUCCCGGACAAAACACUACAGUUCAGGCAAAUGAAAAAUGUUGACUGAACUCUACUUUCUGCUUUUUAUUCUAUUAAACAGCGUUUCAGACCCAUGGUAUCUCUGCUUCGAAUGAGAAAAUAACUGGAUGUCUAAUGGACCUUUUGUACAGAAAUGUAAUCGCACAAUUAUUAUAUUGUGUUUACCGUAGAGUGGCACAGGAGCCAUUUUGCAAUAAGUUCUUUAAAUUUUUAAUUUUGGAUAGUUUCAAAUAGCACAAUAUCAUGUAUUUCUUUUUUGUUUUUUUUUCACUUUAUUACUUAAAUAUCUGAGAUGUUUGCAUUUCACAAUGUUACGAUCAAAUUGUAAUUGCUGUGUUAAAACUAUUGUUAAAGUUCCACACAGAAGUACUCAAAACCAUAAAGCUCUAUUUAUUUUUAACACUAACCUUUACAUUUAGGGGAAAGCCAUAUAGAGUAACCCCUUCACUGGCGAGUUCUUUAGUAAAGCAAGGACCGGCAGGUAGAACGUUGAGUACUCUAACCACUACUACGAUGCCUGGGGUUGCCCCCUCAAUAUAAGUAGUCAAACUAUCUGGUAAUUUUUGACAAUCUACCCUAAGUCAACGCUACAUCUUUCAUCUCAGGCAAGUAUGAAGCAGGACAGGAGAAGACCAGUGAGGUAGAUUAAAAGGAAUAGUUGGCAUCACUGGCAUGUUUUAAAACUGGUCCACCCUCAUCAUUCCUAACCACGGCUUUUAUAAUAAUCAAUAUAGUCUGAUCUUUGCAGAGAUCAUAGACCGGACUGACAGACUGAUCGCAGAAUGUGGGGUAAGCCUCUGGAUCCUUUUUACCCAGACAACAGUCUAAAACUCAGGACUGUCCUGGUAGCACCAGGGCAACUGGCAACUAUGGCUUAGUACAUCAAAAUGUAAAAAUAAUCCGAUAUCACACUUGUGAUCGUGCCGAUAUAUUACUAAAAACUGACCUGCUUUUGAUCCAUGUGAACAGCUUAGGAAAAUCCGCUUUUAAUCAGCCCAAUGAAAACCAUCAGCCAUUAUCAUAAACUGUAGCGCAGCCAUGAAAAAAUGCAAGAUUAAUAAUGUGCUUUAAAGGUCAUGCCAGCAAGCUAUGAGUGUCAUUAUAAAAUUGGCCAUAUUUAAGAAAGCUAGCCUUUUAGAGCAUGCAUUGCUUCUCAAUGGCCCAGCAGUAUGCAUGUACCCAGAUGGCUGUGCCACUUUAUAAAGCUCUUUGCUGAGAAAGGAUUAUCUACCUUGACUAUAAGCCCAAGAUAUAUGUGACUAUUAACCAUUUUUCAAAUAAAGCUGAAAGAGAUUGUCUGCACUGAAAGAACUCCUUUGAAUUCGGUUACAAUGAAACCAGAAGUAGCUUGGAUAUAGUUCUUGGCCAGCAUUUGGAAAAGUUUUGAGACAGACUUCGGAUCACUUGCCAGCUAUGAGAUCAUUGAUAUUGUCCCAAGAGAGAACAAAGGAGCGCAAGUUGCAGAACGUUAUGAAAAUGCGUGUUGAUCUAUGCACGGAGCUGUGUUAGAUAAUUCUUCCUGACCUGUGUUUGUUCAUUUACAAAAAUGGAGCAUACUUCGAGGCUUACAUCAUUUUUAUAGCACAUGGUUUGUUUAACAUGAUCCAUUAGCUGCUCUAAUUACUUUAUUCAAUUAUCUUCACAAGAUGUGUUUAUAGCUUAAAGCCCUUGAACCCUGACAUCUGAUACAUGGUAAAGUUAAAAGAUGAUCAGCUUCAUUUUUUCAAUUUAUUAGAGUUUUUGUCAGUUUUUUUUUUAAUUUUAAGCAAAUUGACGCCCAAAUUGGUAUUUACUAACUGACAAACUUUGCUACGAAACCAGUUAGUAAAGGGUUCUGCCUCCAGUGUUUGCAAUCCAUAGUAACUGCAAUACCAUUCACUAAAUAGCGUUGUAGUAUCACGGGCUCAAACACUAUUUUUUUUCUACCAUUGUAAAUAAUAUACCUAGCAGGCUUAAAGGGACACUAUAGUCACCAGAACAACUAAAGCUUAAUGUAGUUGUUCUGGUGAGUAUAAUAAUUCCCGUCAGGCUUUUUUUCAUAUUUACAUUGCCUCUAGGGACACCUCCAAGUGGUCACUCCUUAGGCGGCCACUUGGAGGUGCUUUCUGUGUCAGUGCUGCCGAAAAAGCAGCCCUGACGUUCAGCAUCUCCACACUCUGCAUGGAGACGCAGAAUUUUCCUCAUAGAGAAGCAUUCAUUCAAUGCAUCUCUAUGAGGAGGUCCUAAAUGGUCAAAAUGACAUUUGCCCUGCCCCAGUGCUGAUUUUAGCCAAUCCAAAGCAUUGGAUUGGCUAACAAUCGGCCAUUUUGAUGAUGUCACAAAGGGGGCAGAGCCAGCGCUGCGCGGGUCUUAUCUGUGACGGCAGAUAAGAACCAUUCGGCCCAUAUAGUUAACCCAGCCCUGGGCCAGAGCACUGUUUUUGGUUAGUUUGGAAGCUUACUCGCAAGUAUGGUGAUACGUAAACAUGUCCAUCAGAACCUUUAUAAAAAUCCUUUCCCACCUUGACGUCUCUGUCAACAUGGAGACCACAGUGGACUUGCAUGGACUAUUUUUGUGUCUGAUUUGUCAUGCUUCGGAAAUAAAAAGUGGAACAUUCAAUGAAUUUACAUCAAUUACUUUUGGUGGCAUUUAAAUGCUUUGGUUUUAAAAGCUGUGCUUAAAUCAGAGGUCCAUUGCUAAGAGAGCCUGUAGAAAUGCAAGAUUACGUGUGACAUGUGAUGCCUGCCUGUGCUCAAAUUUGCAUGAUGAGCUGGGGAUUCUGGGAGAAUUGUAGAAAUAUGAAAUCUCAGAAUGACUCUGAGUUCCUGCCUAUGUAGAUGAUGCACAAGAAUAAAUGUUCAACACCAGCAUCAUUUAAAAUGUAACGCAGCGCUCUCUGACAAAAAAAACCUCCUUAAUUGUGACCUGAUUACUUAUUGUUCAUUUUAAUAAACACUCACCCAUAUGUAAGCUAAAUCAAUUGCAUCUUGGCAUGUGUAUGUUGCCUGGGUGAAUGUAAUUGGAAUUGUACCCCAGGGUGACUGCAUUUCAGUUCUAGUAAAUCUGGGUCAUGAAAAGGUGCCUUCGAUUAAGUGGUACCACAAGAAGACUCACAGCAGAAUUUUGCCAUGAGGCAGCAGAAUGGCAUUAUGUUCGAUGACAGGGUUACCUAUGGAAUAGCAUUUACAGCGCUGCUUACAAGAGCCUCUGGCAGCACAUCAUAUGCGGCUGUCAGCAAUGAUUUAAAACAGGAGCAUAUCUUAUACUACAACAACACAAACAUGGAAGAGUCUGGCACUAACUACUAAUCAGAGCUUAACAACUAGUUUAAUUUGUCAGUAAUUCACAGUACCAAUAUAAAUGUUUGUUGCUGUAGAGUGAUUUUUUAAAUGUACAACGCAAGGGUUUAUGAUGUUGGAUACUUACACAGCAUGGAUUUCUAUAUCACUAAAGCUUUUCUAAGGCACCAAGAAGGUCAUCUUGGUUGGGAUCACUGUCUGUUAGCACAGCUUCCAACAAUUGUGGUCUAUGAAUCGGCCCAGGGUGGGCAGGCACCUGUGGGGGUGUCGCCAGUAAAGCAGACUCACUAGCGACGCACAUAGAUAACUCCCCAAGUCCCACUGUAUCGGGUACAUAGCUUCCUGAUACAGUGGAAAUUGGGGAGGUAUCUACUAAGCGGCUGCAAGAUGUAGCCACAGCACGAAUUGUAUUGGAAUUGCAUUAAUUCGAAUGAAAUUCCAAUCCGGACAAAGUCCCAAAUUGCGUGAAUACUGGCAGGAAGCAUUGCGAGAUCACGGAGGAAAGGUAAGAAUUUCUCUGACCACAGGAAACAGAGCACACUUUGCUCCUCCACUGGUCAGAGAUGGUCAGGCAUAGGAAACCUCCAUAAGACAAAGUAGUCCCUACUUUGUCUUAUGUUUUAAAGAAACCUAGAGCAGACAGGAAUAAAUGAAGACCAGAUCCUGACAGAGGGAGAGAAGAGGAAUUGAUUGGGGAAAGGUAAGUUCGGCAUGACAAUGCCGCUUUAACCUGCAUUGAAAAUCAAGUUUAUAAGGGCUUACUUUUAGCUGUUAUUAAUGAACAAAUCAAACAAAAGCAUUUGAAAUAGCUCAACACAACAAAUUCUUCAAGAGGUUCCCCCAAUUCAACUGAAAAUGCACUUAUCCAGUCUAAAAAUGAUUCCACCCCUUCAUGGCAAGCAUCUUUAGUACUGCUUGGCCAUGAAGUGGUUGAUGGCCACUGUAGAAUUUUCCAGGACCAUUUCUGCAACCAAGCCUUGAUGGAAUUUGAGGUUUGCUUGGGAUCAUUGUCUUGUAAGAAGGUCCAAUGACAUCCAAGCUUCAGCUUCUUUACAGACAGCAUAAGGUUUUCUCCUAGCAAUGAAUCCAUCUUGCCUUCCACACGCUGCAGGCUGCCAGUGCCAGAGGAUGCAAAGCAUCCACCAGCCACCACUUUGCUUAAUUAUGCUGUAGUCGGAGUGUUCUUUUCAGCGUAUGCUUCAUUCUUCUUCCUCCAGACAUACGCUGAUCCAUGGGGCUAACAAGUUCCAGUUUUGUUUCAUUACUUCACAGAAUAGAACCCAAAAACCUCUAUGGCUUAUUUAUAUCAUUUUGAGCAUAUCUGAAACCUGAGAGCCUGAUGCCACCAAGUCUAGCUGCAGGUCUUCUCAAAGCUUUUACACAGCCUGCCUUCUCAAAAAUCUGGCUGUAGCUAUGGAUAGCUUCCUUUUUCUGCCCCGUCCCGGUAGUGUAACAACUGUUUCUUCAACUUGCAAACUAUGCGCCCAGCGGUGUCUGUAGAAAAAUUCGAUGCCUUUGCUAUUUUGUUUGAAUCCUGUACCUUGUUUGUCCCUCUUUGUGGACCAUUCUUUUGACUUAGCCAUAUUUCUAGCAUGCAGUCAAAUGUGACAAUCAACAAACCCAAAUAUACACGCAAACCUGGUGUAUCUAAUGAAACCCUUAAUUAGUUGUAUCAGGUGUGCUUGAGACAACACCUGUCUUGCAUAUUUGUGCUAUUGUGAGGGAUUCCCUUCAGGGGGUUGAAUAAUUUUGAGACUGGAGAAGUCAUUAUAAGUUGAAUUUUCAGUCUGUAAAUUUUGACAAUAAACCUGUUUUUCAAUGGGGGUUAAAUAAUUUUGUUUACAGCUGUAUAUUAUAUGGGGUUAGAUAUAAUACUUAUAGCUAUGGAUAUUAUUUAUAACUAUGGAUAGUGUUUAGAGUUAUGGAUAUUCAUUUUGGUUAGGGAUAAUAUUUAGAGCUAUGGACAUAUAUUUAUAACUGUGGAUAUUAUUUAGGAAUAGUGUUUAGGGCAAGGGGUUGGAAUUCAAAGUAUAAAUAAAGCUUUGGAAAAUGGUCUGAAUUAGGUCCAUUUGCAUGACAUCAAAUAAUCUGGGGGCAAAUAGUGGAAAUCCAACAUGUUAUUUGUUGAAUAACCCUUGUGUCCUCCUAACCAUAUGCUCAGAAAACCAGUAGUGCAUAUACAUUUAUUUAUUUAAAAGGGCUACAAAAAUCACUCAUUAUUUAUUGGCAGUUUUUAAGGUUCAGUACUAGGUGAGAAAGUUAAAAAGGGUUGUUUGCAUUUAUAGCCUCACUCCUUACUGGAAAGCUAAAAUAUGUCUAAAAAUUAGAUUUCCAUGGGAAAUUAGACAAAUCUCUAAAUCUUUUCAUGUCAUGGGCUCGAUACAUUUUUAAACGGGCUCCCAUUUUCAGUUAAGAAUUUUGAUUCAACCCUGUGAUAAAUGGGAAGAUAUGCCCAGUAUUGCAGCUUGCCUUUUCAUUCGGCUGCAGAUCUUUUUUUAUAAUUACUUUCAGUGGUGGGUAAUUACUAUGCAUUUUCCUUGGUGCUACUCAUCAAUUUGUAAUCCUCGUCUCAUCUGUUUUUCAAAUCUUGCAUAAAUGUCAUUAAUCUGUACAAGAUCCUCUUUCUGCAUCAGAAAUCAACAUUUCUUUUGUAUUAUUCAUAAAUGUACUUUUGAAGUUGAGUUUUGAGUUUCUGCUCACUGUGACUGUCCUGCCUUAUGUUAUAGACUGAUUGAUUCAGUAAAUCAGAUUCACAGUUCAGUUCACCAAGGUGAAAACUGCAGCAUUUAUUCCUGUGAAAGGGGAAAAAAAACACACAAAUGCUUUAUUCGGUACUGUUAAGGUCAAGCUCGAACUUUUGUUAAAGUUCAUGUCGUCUUUCCCUGCAAUAAAUUCCUUUGCUCAAAUAUGAAGUAUUUGUCUUUGAAGUUUGUCAAAUAAAUGUAGAAAAUGUUACCAGUGGGUAAAGAAAAAAGGUUGGGUAUAUGUCCAUAUCAAAACAUUUAACCAGGAAAGAGUAUAUGUUAGCAUGCACGUGUGUUUGUAUAUAUAUAGAACGAGCGAGAAUGCAUAGUGGGGUAUCGUGUCAGAAGGCGUUGUGCAAAACCAGAUCAAAGGUCUAAUGACUUUUUUUAGCGCUAAGUUUAGGGUUGCUUUAGUGAUAGGGUAGCAUUAAUAAAAUGUAUCUGUCGGCACGUGGAUGGUCUGCUAUUUGCAGCUGCCUACAUUAAUUUACCCCAAGAGAGGAGCUGGAGUUGCUGGAAAUGUACAUAUUGGACAGACCCCACACGGCAAUGUCGGAUGAACACGGCAUCACCCUCCGUGAUAAAUAAAAUUGCUGUACCUUUAUUUCUUCAUUUUGAAAACACAUAGGCUGGAGAUCAAGAGGGACCACUGCUUAACGUAUUUUGUGAGUUUAGCGCUUCCCCUGAAGUGGGACAAACCACAGGAUCACUGUUCCUUGUACGCACACAAGGGAACAUUGCACAGGACUUCUCUCCCUUUAUCUCCUUAGCUCCUCUACACACAUACAGUUUUGGAAAGGGAUCUGUUAAAUUGGUGUCAGCUUCUGCCUAGGAGUGUAAUUUGCACUAAUCUAACGCAGACCGGGACAUGUAUGAGAUGGAUAAGAGCAAAAUGUGCAAUUGGUGAUUCUAGUAGAAUGGGAAGUUGAGUUGCAGAUAUAUGGUUCGUACACCUUGACAACUGAGCUUGUCAGGGGCUUGUUAAGGAUCUCGAACAUUGUCAUUAACAGAGCAAUCACAACGCGUGACACUGCCAAACAAGUGUACUCUGACUUUUGACUAAAUAAAGAUAGCUUCUUUGGCAUAGAUUUUCUAUAGCACUUAAUAAAUAUCUAGCGGCUUUUAAGAAUAAAAUUAAGCAAUUCUUGAUCCAUUAGGCCUAUUUUUAGAUGAUAAAGUUUCCAUGAAUUAAAGCGGUAUUUGGUAUAAUUAGCUGAAUUAUUCACUACACCAUACUGUUAUUUCUAUGCAGCUUCUGUGCAUGGUUUAAAGGCAGUGCUACAAACAGUAAUUUACAGGAACAAUCCAGCCUAUUUAAUGCAACAUGCAUUACAGAAAAAAAAUACAUGAGAAAAAUGUUCUGACAAGUAUCCAGUACACAUAUAUUCUUGAAAACAUAAAAAAAUCACACUGACAUGUAUAUUUUGUGCAUUUAUCGUAAUAAAAUUUUUUUUUGCAAAAUAAAUAAAAUAAACUUGUUCAGUUAACAGUAGAUUUGUGUAGAAAUAGUAAAAAAAAAUAAAAAUUGUAAAAAUGGUAAAUGUACAGAAUAUCGGUACAUUGUCGGCCCGAAAGUUCACAGAUUAUCGGUAUCGGCUCUAAAAAAAUCAAUAUCGGUCGAUCUCUAAAAGUAAGUAUGAAAAACAUUAUAUGUAGAAAUGACAUAUUUCUGUAUUUAUCCCUGUCUUGGGUCUGAGCACCAGCAUGGUCUCCUGUUAAUCAUUGUUACGAGCUUCGCACUUUAAUGUCAUUGUACACAGUAAGUGGAGAAGAAGAAACAGAAACAAUGGUUUUAGUUUUCCUCCUCAACGCAAAAUGUUGCUUUUUUUGUAUCCGUUCUUACCUAAUUCCAUUGAUCCAUUGUGUUUGUUCACUGUAGAGGACUGCGUAUCCCAUCCACAGUGCUCUGGUCAAGACGUUCUUCUUUACUACUAAUUGUCCGGGAAGCCACACCUGCUACCUGCUUGGAUAAAAUCUUUAUGAAAUUCUCAUCAAGACUGCGUUAGGAUUUCAUUGAAAUUCCAAUACAGUCAAAAGCUAUGAUAAGACAUAUUUUUUCUCGUUUGAUAAAACUUGACAAAAAGCACAUCUACCACCAUCACAUUUUGUCACUUUUCCAGUUGUCUGUAGUGACGGCUGUGGGUAACAGGCAUUCUCUUGCUCAUUGUUAGACAACAUCUAUGGUGAGUCUUGAUGGAUCAUUGGACAUCAGUGUUGUACUAUCGCACAUGUGUGAGCGUACAGCACAGAUGUGGGUUCCUGGCGGACGUCAGCAGCUAAAGAAAGAUGAUGGUGACAGGAUCAGGUCAAUUUAUCUCCUCUACGCUCCCACAGGCCACCAACAUCAACUUACUACAGGUAAGUGAUGAUUCCCCAUUAACCAACGCAGAACAUCUUCUCUGAGCUCAGCAUAUCUCCACUGAGUGUGGCAUCCACGGAUAUCAUUAUGUAAAUGUAAUUGUUGGUUGUAUUAUGAAAUCAAUUCCUCUUAUAUAACCAGGACAUUGUUAAUAGCAGCACAUUAUUGUAUUAUUGUCUGAAAGCCCUAUAGUAAACAAAAAAUAAGAUAAUUGUUUAAAGUUGCUUUUUAACACAAUAUAAUGGUGAAUAUUGUAAAGAAGGUAAAAAAAACAAAACCGCCUUUUCUUUUUUUUCUUUAUCGUGUCGAAGAGCACAGUAUGUUUCCUGUAAGUAUGUUCCCUGUACUCUGUGUUUAUAUGUUGUAAUGCCUAUUCUUUUAAAGUGCUUUUCAGGAAGGUUAUUUUGCAUUUACUUCAUAACCAUAUGUCAAGUGCUAGAAAGCCGAUGUUGCAUCUAUUCAUUACGUAGCUCCUAAAGAAUUAUUUGGGUUAUGCGUGGCGCUGCUUGUUCCAUAUUUACAUUAUGCAUUUGAUGGCUAUACACAAGUACUGCCUGCUUUCCCUCAAUCUAUGGCUAUCAUUUUCAAUGCGAUGCCCCCAACACAUUUAAGAAUAUAAUAAUGAGCAUUUCAAAUAUGUUUUCCGAGGGAGAUGUUACUCCAUCAUUUUUGUCUCUGAUAGCUCACAGCUUGAUACUGUGUUUAAUUUUGUUCUUUCCUGCUCGAAUCUCACUAGCAUGCAGUCUAAACAUCCAUUUAUAUUGAUUUAUGUGGACCAGCCGGAUCAGCCCAGGUUUAGUUAAUCAUCAUAAACCUGAUGGCUAGACAGUAUGGCAACUUUCAUGUAUCCUUCUUAAGAGAUUUGUUUUCCUAUACUAAGGUUUCUGAAUAUUAAUAGAUUCCUCAAAUUAUUUUUGGAUAUAAAUUUUGAAAAUGAAAAACAAAACUGGAGUGGCAUUGUCAAAAUCUGCAUUAUUUGUUUCAAAUGCAUUAUUUAUAGGAAGAAUGUAAUAAAACAAAUAUAUAUAUAUAUAUAUAUAUGUUAUGGAAAUCACAGUUGUUUUACCAAUAGAUGGUAUUUUAGAAAGUGAUUGAAAUUCUAAGAUUUGUGAGCCAGGGUUGCUGGUAUGUCCUACGUUACAGUGCAGGUGGCCAAUCGAGAUCACAUUAUCCUCAGCAAGCCAAUGAUUUCUCAGCACCUUAUUUACAAAUGCCGCAUUUACUUCAAGACCUCCUAGAGAAAUAUGUAUUCUUCUAGCCAAAUUAACGGAUUACUUUUCAUUCAUUCCCAAUAAUUACAGUUGUAAUACUGACAUGUAUUAAAGGACACCUUUUACUGACUGCAUUCCACAUAUUACAGCUAAGGAGGAGUCAGUGAACGUAUGGCACACUUUGCCGUGGAUUGAGGUACACUGGAUGAAAUCCACUGAUUUAGGACGAUAAACAGAACUCUGAGUAUUAUAACUGCUUGCAUAGGCUAUGCUUCCAGUUUUCUUUAUUAGUAUUUCAGUAAUUUAGUAAAAGUGGCCCUGUUAUGUAGUGGCAUGAGAUGGGAGUCUAAGGAUUAUCUGAAAGUGAUGCAAACAUGGAAAGGGGACAGAGGCACCAAUGCAUUGUGCCUGCGGGUUCCAUUGGUUUCUUUGGUAACUGAUCCACUAAACCUCUUAUUAAUUAUUUCAAAGAACAUGCGCAGCACGUACUUUUCAUACCUGCCAACUUUGCCAAUUGUGAACCGAGGAGAGGACAAAGAUGGGAGUGGGGUGCACUAGACAUAUAUGGAGGUGCACUAGACAUAUAUUGGGGGGGGGGGCUACAAGGGUUGUCUUUGCACUCAAGCACUCAUAUAUGAGACAGAAAUGACCUGGAAUCACCUCAUGCAAUGUUUAAACAAGUGAUUGCAUGUUUCAUGGAUGUCCUUAGAAGCAGGGCACAAGAGAAAACUUGGAAACCGGGCCUCUAGAAAAAUUUAAUCUUAUCUUAUAUUGCCACUUGACUUCUCCAUAUUUAUAUAUAUAUAUAUUUAGUGUCAGAACUAUUGUAGAGAGGGCCCUGGUGCAAUCAUUUUUGGCUCCUCUACCGCAAGGAUACAUCCCAAUAAACAUUAACCCAAAAGGUAGAUCCCAAUCUGUUGUACAACUCUCAUACUACUUUGCUAGCUGGGGAUCUACCAUUUCCCCAUCCUUGCAGGGGUGUAUUUAGCACUGAGCAGUGUUUGUGGUUUUUAAUAUAAGCAUGUUUUUUUGGAGUGUGUGUGUGGGAAAGCAGAGGUAUAUUUCUGUAGUUAUGAUUUGAAUGCAAGAGUGUGUUUGUGUGCAGUGUUGGUUUUGAAUGCUGAGAUGUAUGCACAUAUGCAUAUAUACACACUGACACAGAUGCAGAUAUACAGACAAACAGAUACAAACAAUGGCACACAUGCAGAAGCACAGAUACACACAUUCAGAUACACUGGCACACAUGCAGAUAUACAGACACGCAGAUACACACUUACAUACAUGCAGAUAUACAGGCACAUAUAUGCAAACAAUGACACACAUGCAGAUGAAAAUUAACACUUUUUUAGCUACCAUCCAGUUUUCUGCCUUUUGGGUGCAGGAUGGUGGUUUUCUUAGGGCCCAGUCUAUUGGCUGAGGCUGUUGGGAGUCAGAGGCUGGAAGGCUCUCUUAGUUCUCUCACUCCCGCCUUUUCCCCCCCUCCCGUGUUCUUUUCCUCAUCUCUCUCUUGUAUGGCUCUGUCUGAUAGCUGAGAGGAAGUGACAGUCUCUCACUUCUUCCCAGCACUGCUAUCAUUGUUAAAGCACCACAGCGUGCGACCGGGCCCCUGAUGACACAAACCCAUCAGCGUACGACCGGGCCCCUGAUGACACAAACCCAUCAGCGUACGACCGGGCCCCAGAUGACACAAACCCAUCAGCGUACGACCGGGCCCCUGAUGACACAUACCUAUUGGGCGGCCCUACAUGCAUCCGCCACCCGAUGGACCAUCUCAGCGUGCAGGCCCCGUUGCAGCUUCACUGGCAGUAGUUUCACCACUGUAUAUUGGUUUUUUUCUAGUAAAAUAGGCCUGCCUUGUGUCAUAUACAUGCAUAUGUCCUUCUGUGUCACAUAAAUAUAUAACAUAAUCAGACUUUCCUGGCUUUUCUCAUGAAAACAAAUUGAUUAUAUUUGCUUCUCAAAUACAAAGUUAGUUCUUACAAUGUUGUUGAUGUUAAAAUGGUUAACAGCUGAUGGUAUAUGCUGAACAUUUAGAGUGUGGAGACUUCCGGUCCUUGAUGUUCAUUGUGUCUCAUUGUCUGCCCUUUGCACAGAUGCUACAUUAUUUAUAUAUAUAUAUAUAUAGAUAUAUAUAUAUACACAACACCAAGUGGGUGGACAAGCAUUACAAAGUCAAUGCUAUUGAUACAAUAUUCUUGUUGGCAACCAUGUUAGGUCAUCCCUUGUUUCAUGGACACUCGGAAAUAGAAAGCACGUGUUAUCAUCUCUGGUAACUCAUAUUAACAUCUGUUCAUGGCACUCAAGAUCAACCAUGUUCAGUGUGAAAUGCAUGUAAGAAAAUAGAUUAUAGAAAAAUAGAAAUCUUCUACCGGGCCCAAAAUUGUGACCAUUAGUUAAUAAUUAACUACUGCUGAGUAGAGUGUUCUCAUUAAAAAAAUUUUUUUUUAAAAGUCAGAAAAUUUUUGUCUUGUUUCUAUUGUGGACAGACGCUGCAAAUGUAUUCAUUUGCAUACAUAUGUAAAAAAAUAUGCAGGGUGAAUUAUAACCUGGAGUUAAACGAUGAACAAUAGUCAUCUUAAAUGUCUGGUACCAGAGCUCUGUGGAGAGGGAUCCACAAUCUCCUCAGUGGUCAAUAGAGUUUAACCACAAUUUAUAAAAAAAAACAGUCCAUAUAUUUAUGAUUAAGGCCACCAGCUUUUAUUGUCUGUUUUGGGUAAAUUUCUGUUACACAUACCUCUGCAAUGCAGCUUGUGCAUUCCUUCUAUAUAAACCGGAGUGCCCCUUUCUGUUUUUCACCUCUGUCCUGGAACUGACAUCCACUAACUGGUGAAAUGUAGACGGUGUCCGCAGUGACCAAAGAAAGAGUAAGACCAUAUCGGAUUCUUAUCGGACAGGCAGUACUUUUCUUUUCGCAUAGAUUUCUGUCUAAAAAAAAUAAAUGCUGUUUGCGGUUUGGCAUUUUAUUAAAAAACACAAAAACGUUUCUUUUCAGACAUAGUGAAUUCAACCUGAUCUGCUGAACCCCAGAAGAGAGCGCACUAGCUCUGGAGGUAGCGUGUAUGUGCUUUCUUUUCAUUUCUCAGGGGCAUCAUGUUAGAUUGCUUUCCAGCUGUGGUCAUGCGCCUCCUCUAUUCCUGCUGAGUUUGAUUGCCAUCCCAGGCUGCGUUCUCAGCAAAUGUUGCCCAUAGGCGCAGACACACAAAGACACACCAACAAAAUGACUCAGAAGGCCUCAAGCAGCCUAAGGCAGAUGAGGGCCAAUGAAAACACAAAACACAGACUUAUUAAAUAGAACAUUUUCACACACAAAAAGAAAAAAGUGGAAAUGGAAUGCCAGAAUGAAAAGAUUUCCAGAUCAACUUCGGGUUUGCUUAGCAGGAUAAAGUGAGUGUCUUUAUGGAAGAACGGCUACAAUCUGGAGGGCAUUAUGGGGUUUUAAUUGAAUUACAAGUGAAACUUCUUUUUUUCUUCUUCUUCACAAUAGGCACAAAAACUGUGAAUGUUAUCUGUAAGAAAGUUAGAAAAUGUCAAAUGGGGUAAUAUUUCAGCAUGACAUUCGAUAACUUUGUCCUUAAAUCUAAGAGAAUCAUAUAAGUGCCAAAGAAUUGAGCAAUGAUUUUAGAUUUUAUCGUUAUCUGGAAACAUAUAAAUAAAACUUCCAUUCACUGCAGGAAUUUAUUUAGGUGAGGUCUGUUGGCUGUAAUCUCAGGAAGAACUGUGUCAUGCAUUCCCUGGUCUGGCCAAGAUUAGUGGGAGUUGCACUCUCAAGUAAUACCUGAUGAUAUUUUAAGGAUGGCAUCUAAAAUAGCUGCUGCCCAGGACUGUAAAUCUCCUUAACCUCAGACAGCAAUCGGAUGUGCAUGUUCUAGUGAUACCCCUAUUGUAACAUCAUUCCAUUAACAAACUGUAUUACACUAUUGCUGACACUUUAACUUCUACACAACAAUAUAACUAAACAUUAACUCUUACACUAUCAAUAUUACUUAACAUUAACCGUUAUAAUACAAUAACAAUAAACAUUAAUCCUUACACUGCUUUAAAAAUAUUAUAAUUACAUUAAUCUUUAAAAUUAAAUAUUGCAUUUUCAUUUUCAUGAGCGCUUCUUUUUUUUUUUACUUAUCUCACUCAAAAUUGGACAAUUUAUAAACUUUUCGUGAUCUGAAAGUGGUGCGAAGUCCAAGAAGUUGGGCAAUUGCCAUGAAGACCAGCAGAACCAUAACAACUUUGCAGCAUUGUUUAGAUCACAACACUUUAAUAAAUCUCCAAUGGAUUGACUUUAUAAAUGUUAGCGGAUUUCAAACUGAAGAAGAAUUGCUCUCUUUAAAAACAAUAAAAAUUAAAACAAUACAUAAAUGAUGUGGUUCAAUAAACAAAUAUAAACUAAACAGCAGGAUUUUGUGUUGAAUUAUUUUCAUAAUUAGAUUUACUUGUCCCUUCAUAAUCACUGCUAAGGAACAUCAUCUAACCGUAAAAUUGGCCACACUCUGCAGAAAAAUCAGGCCUAAACCCAAAUUGAACAAAUUCUCCUUCAUAUCUUUGUGUUUUUUCCAAAUACUAUAUACAGCUUGUGUAAUGGAUAACCUUCUUAGUCAUAUUCAUUUCUUGGCUUCUGGAAUGUUUUAUUCAUGAAUUUCUAUUCCUUCAUUCCAUUUCAUAUCCUUUUUGAUUCAUUCAUAAAUAAUAAAAAGGGGAAUUAGUAACAAGAUUUGUUGUUCGUCGCAAUGAUUAGUAGGACUAAGGGAAAAAAUAGGCAACGCUAUAUGUUGUUUGUUCUAGUUUGUAUUCAAACCUUGGCUGUUUUCGGUUUUCACGUUUUAUUGGUCACUUUUACCUAUUAUGUUGAAAGAAAAUUGUGUUAGAACCUUUGUAAUUGUAAAUGUCAGUGUUAAAGAUAUUGUAAUUUAUUUUGAUAGCACCAACAAAGAAGUAGUGUAUUUGUGUGUGUGUGUAUAAAAUAUAUAUCUGUUUUGUUUUUGUUAGCUAAUUUAUUUAUUUUUAACAGGAUCUGUCACUUUCAAAUGUCUUUGCAUAUUUUGCAAAGAGCCCCAAAGGUGACUUCUGUAGUUAGGGUACCGUGUCCACAUGGUGCAAUGGUUGGGUAAGGUUACUUACCUGGACCUCGUGGUUGAAGCCAACAUCUUCAUGGAGACCAUCUUUGACUCUUGGUGCUUUAUCUUCCAGGAAAUGCGUCACGCGAGUACAGCACUGCGGUUUAUUGAUUUAUUGAGGAUCCUGUAAGACCGCAGCAUCCUUCAUAGAUCACAUCUCGCUAUGAGUUUAUGACGGCUGCUGGGAUUGGACAAUAUGGCAGACCACUGCCUUUUCUCAACUUAUGUAAAACUCAAGUGUGGUAGCCACCCCGAUAGGAAAAGGGGUUUCACUGCCAGAGAUGUUCUUUUCCCACUAGUGUGAGUGAUGCUGUAGUAUAGCAGUAAUCCAAAAUCGAGUAGCGCAGGUAUAGCUCUUAAAAGAGAUAGUGAUAUAGCUGGUACAGCUUUCUCCCACAAACAGGAGACGAGGCUCUAUGCUGGGGAUGAACUGAUUUAUUGGGAGCCACACGCGGCCUUUUAUGUAACUCUCCAUGCAAGGGGUUUUCCAAAUCAUAUUACAGGGGCAUUCCCCGCUGAACCUGAGAGGAGACUACUGUAAAGUACACAUCUAAAUUACAUUAUCUCUCAGGUUCAGAGCAUAUACAUUUAUUACACCCCAAAACAUACAUUUUACAAACGGGUACCCCCCAAGUCCUGUAUCCCCGGAUAGCCUUGAUCCGAGCGCCCAACAUAUCCCAAAAGCACUCAGAGCCAAAACGCCACCAGAGGAGCAUUUAGAGUGACCGCACUUGAGACACCUGCCCAAAAUAGUUCCAUGGAAUUGGGAUGUGCGGUCGGUCUGUUUCGGGACUACGGAAUACAACAUCAUGCCGAACAUAACCAUUUGUGAGUAUGCUAAGUCUGUGUCUCUCGUUCGGGAGUGUGCUUCCACCGAACAACGUGCUUUCUAGUCGAAAAUAGCUGCAUGUAGGUGGAGGUGUAAGUUUCAGAGGUGUUCGGCCGGUCGAGUGUCUGUUUUGAGUUCCAUACACUCGAUGUCCAAACAUUGCUGUAUAUGUUCGUGGCUUAAAGGAUCACUAUGGUGUCAGAAAAACAAAUCUCUUUUCCUGCCACUAUAGUACCCUUAGGGUGCCCCCACCCUCAGGGUCCCCCUCCCGUUGUGCUCACCUUAUUCCACCACUGGGCUCCCUUACCUCUCCUCCCCCGCCGACGUCCGCUCCCCCGUCUGACGUCAGCGGAGCGGAAUGCUCAUACGCGCGCGCGCAUUCAAAGUGUCCAUAGGAAAGCAUUUCUCAAUGAUUUCCUAUGGAGGCAUAAUAUGCCUUCAGCGUUGCAGAUGCGCCUCUAGUGGCUGUCCAGACGACAGCCACUAGAGGCUGGCUUUACCCCAAAUGUAAACAUUUCUCUAAAACUGCUAUGUUUACAGCAGGCAGGGUUAACCCAAGAAGGAACUGGGCACCCAAACCACUAAGAUUGCCGCUGCCACGUGUUCGCACAUACGAAUGGCAGACACCCAGCCGACCGUUUAGAAUGUUGCGGCUAUUGAGGUGUUGACAGAGGUUAAACGGGUCAACGAGCAGCACACGUAGUAUGGUCAGAUGGUCUACCAGUUCGGGAGUUAAUUUGGUACAUAAACAAAACAAGUGUAAUCCAUUCUGUGAAUCCCAUGUACCGACCCAACAGGUGAAGAAAAAUAAAGUUUAACAAUCCAGAGACAGAGUGGUCUGUCACGUCAAGCUUUACCAUAAAGUAGUCCCUACUAUGUAUUAUGGUAUGUUUGUCUUACAUUUGACAUUCCAAUGCAGUCAGCAUGAGUGUUUCAUAAAGAUUAGAUCUUUAUGAAAUGCUGAAAAGUAUUUUAAUUCACUAUCAUCCAUGUGUUUCUAGCUACAAGCAUGUAGUUUAUUAUGUUUGCCUAUCAAUAAUUAAAUCCAUUGCUUGUGUUAGUUCACAGUUCAUGUUCUUUAAAAGAUCUAGAUCAUCCCUUGAAAGAUCUAGAGCACCGGUCUCAAAGUCAGCUUACAUGGGUGCCAUUUAAUCCUCCUUCAUGGGACCACAGAUCCUUACUGGCAUAUGUAUUCUAGUACAUACAAAUCAGUACUCCCACUUACACACACUUAAUGUUGUUGGCAGGAGUACGUACAGCCUCCUCAGACACAUCAAUUAAAAGCUCCACUGCAGCCAUGAUUAGGACCAGGUUACUGUCAAUUCAAGACCCGGGACUUGGACAUACCCCUCUAUUCUGUAUAAACGUACUAAGGGGCGAGAAACGGCUUCCAGUUUAAUAAUUGGAGUCCCUUGAUCUAGCGUCACCCCAAGUAGUGCAAUUAUCAGAAGUUACAAUAUAUUUUCCAGUACUUUUUGUUUAAAGUGGCUGCCUUUAGUAUAAUGUUGCUUUAGAUACAGUAUUGACAUUUUAACUGUUUGUUAGAGCCCAACCACGAUGGUCCCUGUGUGGGAACCAAACUGGCAGCAUUUCGGUCCUAUCUGCUGAGAGCGUAGGCCAUUCCGGUUUCUGUAUUGGGGAAGAUGCUAUUUUUAUUUUGACCAGCAGACCGGGUAAUUGUUGCUUCUCAGUCAGCCUUGUUUUGACUUGUGAAAAUAGCAUUACAAUCUGAAAAUCUUUGAAAUUGCGCAUAACAGAUGUUUUAGACUCAUAUUAACUCAUGUGCCAGACUGCUGGAAUAGUUGACACACCAUUAGCAAACUUGCACAACAUAGAAAGUUUUAUUUCAUUAAUCUUAAUGUCACUUUUUAUUAAUUCAUGCUCUCAGUAUAUAGAACUGUCUGUGUAUAUUUUACAUUUUAGAAAUUACAAGCUAUUGGUUAUUAUGCAAUACUACCCAUAAAAUGUCAGUUUAAAUAAAGGCAUUAUAUUCAGAAUGCUCCGCUAUGUAAACUGCAUAAGUUCUUACCUUGUAUAAUCCAGAAAUAAUAUGAAAGCUUACAGACAAGUGGAAAAAAAAUAGUAUUUAUUGUUUAACACUAAGGCCACUUUUGAUCUACUUAAAGAUACAUUCUAGUUUUGAAAGUUAUGCUUAAAAAAAAAAAGGUUUAUUCUCUGCAAGUAAAAACUAACCGUAGCCCUCCACAAUAUGCAUAGGUGUCAACUGUCCCAUGUUUGCCAGGGCAGUCCCAUCUUUUGUUCUGGUAUAAACAGGUCAUUGAGACCUGGUUCUCGAUUUGCAACCAUAUCAAUGUGUUCCCCUGUGCAACCAGGAAGUCAGUACAUUUUACUUCCUCCCAGCACACACACAGCUGGGGUAUGGGUCAUCAGAUGUGACAGACACAGGAACCAUACUGUGAGUAGAUUUAUUUUUGUUUAAAAAAAACAAUAAAACAAACCUUGCAUAGAAUACAGUAGCUCAACUUUUACUUUGUUUAACCCCUUAAGGACCAAACUUCUGGAAUAAAAGGGAAUCAUGACAUGUCACACAUGUCAUGUGUCCUUAAGGGGUUAAACCAGUUACACUAAGCCAAUUUUAGACAGGUCUUCAUCAGCGUCUUUUCCUCUGGGUCUAGUUCUGGUUCAGGUAAAUGUUUAUGUAUUGAGUAUUAUACAGCACUACAGAAUAUAUUGACUAUAAAUCUCAUAAUGUCACUGUGUGUUUGUUUAACCAAUUUAGUUGUACACCCCUUCUUGCAAUGUUGUUGCUGAUUAUGUAAACGAUAAGAUACGGAUUUAAUAUAUAAUUGUAAUGUAAUCUCGUUUAAAUCUCGUGUGCCUUGAGAGCAGAGUUUACACCGGGCAUUUCUGUGCCCAAUUUUAAAGUUGUUAAAGACAGUUUUACGAUAAUCUCACUUUGUAACGGGUAAAAUGGCGCUACAGUGAUGUUAUUUUACAAGUGCUUUUCAAUGCAUGUUUAGUCACAAAAAAUAUAGAGAGAAUAUUAAGGGAUGUAAGUACACGUGCCAACACUUUGCGUCCUUUGAGUGUGUGUCUGAAUGCAUCUGUAUGUUCAUAUGUGAAUACCUGCAGUCAUAUGCCAACACGACAAGACAUUUACAUGCACAUUCCAUAUACAAACAAGCUUACAUUCACAGACACACUGCAUAUAUACGUCAACGCUACACACUGGUAUGCCCAUGUAUUCAUACGUCAACGCUGCUUACUAAUACACACCUGCAUACAAUUGCCAACACUACUCAUUGACACACCUGUUUCAUACAAAAACACCCUUAUGUUCAAACAAUCCAUUGUGUCAAAGAAAAAAGUGUGUAUAUUAAAAAAUGAUGGUUCACCGAAAAUAAAUGAAAAAGUGUUAACACGGCUUUGAUACAUCUCCCCCAAAGUGUCCCUGGAUAUAUUUUUUAUAUAUUUGCAUCUAUGGAUAUGUCUGAUUUUUUUCAAAAGUACAUUCCCAGAUACCUAGUGUGCCAUUGCUGGAGAGGAGAGCCUACCAGCCAUUCUGAUAGUGGGUCCCAUUUAUGUAAUACAAAAUAAUAAAUAACUUUUGUUUCAAUUUAUCAAACACAAAUCUUUUAAUAAUUACUAUUUACUGUGUACACUGUUUUGUGUACUGACAAAAAAAGUAAAAAAAUGCAUGUUGGGAUCAAACUUGGGUGUAGGGGGGAUACAUUUUGGGUGUACCUCAUACAACUCUUUUCACCUAUUGUGUCUAUGCCAUAUUGUAGAAUUGUGAUUUCUUGUAAAUAUCUCACCUUUCACAGUGCUCUGCAUGAACAUUCAUCGCACCUUGAGCUGUUAAUCCUGUAUCAUGAAAUGCACUGCAGCCUGCGUUGAAUACUAACAGCGUGGCCACCUUGUGGCUGAAUAGCAGUCGUCAUUACAUUGGUUCAGAAAUUGAAACAGCUCACAUUCAUAUUUGUGCUUUCUAUGUAAGAUGUGCUUUCCCAAUGGGGAUGGAUGGAAGUCUGAUAUAUGAUUUCUGUGUAAAUUAAGGAAUGAAGCGCAAAUAUGAACUAGAGUGUGUUCUCUAAAAAGGAAAUUACAAAUGGCUAAUUUGGGAUUACACGUUUUAAGUCACAAUAGUUAAGUUGUCAUUUUUGGCCUAUAAUUUAGGAAUGUUUGAUAUAUUCUGCAUAGUUUUAUAGAUAAGGCUCUUUCUACUUUGCAAUAUGUGGCACUAACUGAGUAAGUGUGUUAAUAUCAUUUGAUCUGGACAAACGGUUGGGAUUGCCCACACUUUUAUCAGCCAAGCCGCGGCUAUAACUGUGUUGGAGAUUUUCCAAAUCAGCACCUUUUGAAUGUGGCAUUCAGUAUCUGAUUUCCAGUGCAUUAACAUUGGUAAUCCAUUUCCAGGUCACUUAUCUUGUGAUUAGAAUGAACACCUUACACUUCCUCUCCGUAAAACACAGCAAUCCCAAACUGCCAAUACAUUUCCUUAUGUCUGGCAAAUAAGGGAAACGUGGCACAGCAAAUAAAAAAUAAAAGCAGGAGAUGGUUUUGCCUUUGUAUUUCUGCAUUAUACAGGCAUCUGACUGCACUGACUGCUUCUCCAUUGAAGGACUGAAAAUGCCAUCCAAGUCACACACCUCUAAUGCUAUUGGUGGUCCUUUUUUAAAUGUUAAGUGCGUAUACAUACAUUGCUACUUAGUGGUUAAAAAGGCAUUCAAUGCAUCAUCUUAAUUGGACUGGAUUGUUAUGUACAUAAUACAAAGAGUCUUUGGGCACCCAGCACCUGUUUUAUCAAAUAAUUUUCAAUUGGUGUAACAAAAACAGAACUAAUUGUAUUUACUAAUAUUGUGUAUAUUUAAGACAUUGCCUGUAUAGUACAUUAACAUGUUUUAAACCCACUCUGUAGUCUUGCCUUUUGGGGGUGCUACCAUACUUGGGUUAGUAGCUGGGGUGAGGACCAAUGCCCACACGGAGUCCUGUAACACUAUGUGGUCCGGAUGGCCUUUACCUUAGCUAGACCGCAUUCAGGGCCAUAGGUUCCGUAUGGCAUACUUUAAAUAUGCCUUUAAUAUUCCAAGGGUUAAAGUCUUCGUGAAGAGGGUUUUGCAUAAAAUCUGCAGUAAAAAUAUCAUCUAGUGAAAGCAACCAAGUGUGCCAUAUUUCAAGGGCAUUUUUCACCAGUAAUGAGCAGUCACAAAAUGUGAUUUAAUAAAUGCUAUUCCAACCUUAAGUACCUUAGAUAUCUAAUAUUCUGCAGUAGUGUUAUUGCUGGGCCCCUCACCGAAACUCUUCAACGGCUAAUGAGAUCUUUUUAAGCAAUGACAUGCUUUGCAAAUUGUAACAAAGAUGAAUUUACAGAAAUUGACAUGGGCAAUUAUAGAACAAGGUUAAUGAUUAUAUUCCUAAGUGAAAGAGUUUAAUGUUUCUGAUAUAUACUGAUUAUUUCAAAUUAGACAUGAAUAUAGGAUCACUCUCUCGCCACACCGAAUGACGCUCGUGCGUACAAUGCUGUGUGUUUAUAAUGUGUAUGUGCCUGCACAAACGGUUUCUUUGCCAUUCUACUCUUAGGUUUUAUGUAAUUUUUUAUUUUCUUCCUUUUUUUGCUUUAAUCGGAUUUUAUUUUCUCAUCUGGUUAUGUUUACUAUUCACAAUACCCAUCAUUUAUUCCCUUCCUCCCCCCAUUUUGCCUAAAGUCAGGAAUGCCUAAAACAUGAUGCUAUAUCCUGAACUGGUUAGAAGGCUUUACAAUGGUGUUACGCAUUCAGCCCAGAAUGGGUUAAUCAAUUUGUCAUACUAAACCACCUAAAGCCUUCCUCGUAUUCCCAAUGUUGGAGGCCAGUGUGCAGCUUAGAAAGGUAUAACUUUAUUUAUUUUGCAUACAUUACUGAUGGUUAUUUUAAGUCGCUUUUGGCUUCAUCAUUGGAAAUGCUAACAUUCUAAUAAUGUGGCCAUUUUGUUAUUCUACACAACAUAUACCACAUGUAAAUUAAUAAUUGGAUAUUUCACCUUUGUGUAUACUCUUUAAGUGUUCUGUCCAUAAUGUCUGAUAGUUACAAUCUCAAGUCUUUACCCCUUAAUAAUCAAUUCUGGAUUAAUUUCAUGAUUGCAAGUGGACCUAUAAAGAUCCCAUAUCAGAAUGGAAUGGCCCAUUCAUUUAAUGUGUAAAUAAGCAGGAAAUUUCAUACUGGUGUAAGGAUGACAUGAGAAUUCAUUGGUCCUUAAGAGGUUAACACAUGAUCGUGGCAACUAAUACUGCGUGUGUCUUAUGAGUUUGUUCUUUGCCCACAGCUUUGAUAGCCAUUGGUCGGUACAGCAUGACCAUAGAGACGGUGGAUGUUGGAUGGUGUAAGGACAUCACAGAUAAAGGAGCCACACUAAUUGCUCAGACCAGCAAAUCUAUCCGGUAUCUGGGUUUGAUGAGAUGCGAUAAGGU
rnacentral:lncRNA from 1 species